CCAAACUAAGCCUUAUUGUGUGGGCAACCGAUUGAGGAAACUAUAGAUCCUAUGAUAUUCAAAUGCCAAUUCAGUACAGACUGCUAGUUGAAGCCGGGCAUUCUUUGACUACAAACGUUUUAAAUUAUGUUGUUACGUAUAGAAGUAAUUAUAAGUACAUUUGAAUAUAUUUCAUGAAAAUUUUAGUGAUAUCAAAUCGAGUCGUUGUUGGUGUUUUUUUUUGGUAUAAUGAUGACAAAAUGUAAAUAUAUGGCUAACAGAACUCUAAAUGGCGCCCAAUAUCAAUUAGAGGAACUCUAAACGAAUCAUCGUUUGCUAAAAAAUGCAAGUCAGCCGAACUUAGGCCGCGUUCGUUUUCUCUCCGCCCCUGGAACUCCGCUCCGGGAGCGGACCAUACUUUACCUGAAUUUGAUGGAGCUGGCAAAACCCAACUCCCCAACUCUGCGGAGCGGGGAAGUUCCGAAUAGGGCUUUAGUUUAUAACAAAAAGGUUGGCCAUACAAUGGAAAAGGGUGCGAAGUCUUGAGUGGACAAAAUGGAUUAUUGCAAUACAGACGCCAAACACAAUUUAAUUAUCCUGUGGAAAUUUAAUAGGUCAUUUCUCUAUAAUCAUGUGGUUAAUGCAAUCAAACCCCGGUUGCUGGAGCUAAGGGGUGAAAGGAAAAGAGCACAGUUUAGGGGUGGUGGAGCUGUGCAAAACGUGUGACUGAUGCCUAGCUAGGAAAUUACUGCAAAACUAAGUUGGCGGUCGAACAAAUUAACCAAAUGCAUUCAUGCGCGACGCAUGAGAAGCUGGGGCGAGCAAAUUAAGCAUGGAGGUGCGUAGUUGCCGGACGCGUGCUGCAUCUCCAGGCAGCGCGCCAACUGAUUCAGUUUGUAUGUCCGGUGCACUCGAUCUGCCCAUAUAUACCACCUUUCUUCUGCAAAGCCAGCCACACCAUCGAUCUCCAUCUCCACACAUUUCAUCGGAGAAGCAUGGUUUCCAUGGCGGCGGCCAGGAUCGCCGUCCUCCUGGCCGUGGCAGCGCUCUUCACCGCGGCGGGGGCAGCGGAUCCCCAACGCGCAAAGGGAGCACAUUGCUGGCGGUGCUACUCUUCCUGCAUGCACAAGUGCGACGGCCACCGUGAUGCCGCCGCCCGCUCUGCCAGCCGUACUCAGCCCGCAGUCCACACAACCGUCGAUGAUGGUGCAGCAGCCUCCUCCAUCCCCGUCAACUCUACCAAUGGCACUGCAGCAGUCGUACACUCCACCGAUGGCACUCUAGCCACUGUUGACAAAACCGAUCCAGCAGUCGGCCACAUCGGUGAUGCCAACGACGACGAUAACAAGGACUACGACAAAGAUGACGACAAGGACGACGGCGAUGAUAAGGACGACAAUAAGGACGACAAGGACGACGACGAUGAUAAGGACGACAAGGACGAUGAUGAUAAGGAUGAUGAUGACGACGACGAUGAUGAUGAUGAUGAUGAUGAUGACGACGACGACGACGACGAUGACAACGGCGGCAGCGACUGGGCGAAGUACUUCAAGUGCAAGAAGAAGUGCAUCGUGGACUGCUACAGGAGCCUCCGCCACCGCCACCGCCACCACCACCACCAUCCAAGCCCGGGUCCAAAGCCCCCGAGUCCGAAGCCACCUAAGCCAAAGCCAACACCACCAAAGCCCACACCUCCAAAGCCCGCUCCACCUAAGCCCAUGCCGCCGCCAUCGCCCACGCCACCGAAGCCAACCCCGCCCAUGCCACCACCAUCGCCCAUGCCACCGACGCCAACCCCGCCCAUGCCACCGACGCCAACCCCGCCCAUGCCGCCACCAUCGCCCAUGCCACCGACGACAACCCCGCCCAAGCUGCCGAGCCCUCCUAAUACACCGAAGCAAAAGCCAAAGCCGAAGGCGCCCGUGUCCGCUCAAGACUAAGCCUAAGCCAAAACCGCCAUGCCCACCAUCAGCCAUUGUAUCUUCGUCGACGAACACCAGCAGCAACUGAUAGGUGUAAGCCAUGACGUCUACACGCACAUAUUUGGAGCAGAGCUCGCAACAUAUAUACAACAUAUAAGUAGAGAGAUUAUGGUUGCUGCGUAUCAGUAUAUAUAGAUUAUUACCCCGGAAAAGAAUAUAGAUUAUUCUAUAAGGUUACUCUAUAGAUGAAGAAGUAAUUCAUCAGCUCUAGCUAAGCUGGGUAUAGAACAGCAGGUGUUACUGAAUAUCCGAUCUAUGUACAUGUUGUGUAAUCGAGAUUAUUGUGGGAAUAUGCUAAUCUCCUGUAUAUCAGCUAUGUUUGUUUGUUUACAGCUUUUGAAGAGAAUAUAAAUUCAGCUUUACCAUUCUCCCCUACUUAUUAAUUGGUAAUUGAUUAUCGCUUUGGUUCAUUUUUUUCACAAGCAAGAGAGAGAACUAUAUGAAUCACUAGUGAUCGUGCAGAUGCAAUGCAUGGCCAAUGACAAAAUAUUGUACAUAUCAAGUAGAUGAUUUGUUAUUCAACUUUCAAGCUGAUGAUAAAUCCAGUGUGGGAAAACUAUACUCACUCCGAUCCAUAUUAAUUGUCUUUGCUUUAUAUAACAUCCCCGACAAAGAAACCGAACAGUGCAACAAAACAUUGCUCCUUCUGCACUCUUGUAGAUUCAGAUAACAAAUUGGCCCAGCAAUUAGCACAAAUAAAUUUCAGGCUGCAAGGUGAAUGGUAGUAUACUAGAAUGGCUACGCAUCUGCCUCUCAUAUUAUUUGUCCAAAAGCUCUGAAGCAAUUUGAUGAUUGCGGUCCAAAUGAAUGCUGAUGGUCAACCUCAACCAUAUCAACAAAAACUAACAACUCACGAACAUCACAGACCGAACUUCAAGGAGUUUUUUUUUCUCAUAUAACAUGCUUACGCCUCAAAUUACAGCUAAUGUGAACCGAAUUGCAGGUAAUAAUCAUAUCCUAGAAGGCACAUAUUGUUUGUCAGGGCAAACCAUUCUCUGGAAUAACAUAGAGAAAGCAAAAGAAGAUCAGAUUUUACCCAGCUUGCCCAAAGUGAUGGUUCUCUUCUCUUCUGCAUAAGUCAUACUGCCCCCGCAAAAAAAAUAUAAGCCCCGGCAAAAAAGAAAGAAUAGGUCAUAUUGUAUAUAUGUACCUAAAUGCUAAAAAGUGCACGGAUGCUCGUUUGCUCGCGCGAGCACACACCCUGAGAGCCGUCCGAUCGCAACACGCACGCGGGAUCGUGACCCAGGGGGUUUUUUGUCGGAGAAGAUUCGUCGGCUCGGUGUCCCUCUUACGACAACCAUCAACCUGGGGAGGGCCCACCACUACACCCACUCCUCGGUGCUGUUCCCCCAAUCCCUUCUCCCCCGCACAUCUCGCUCGGCCGCCGUGGGUUGCAUCGCCGCCGCAGAAAUUGGAGCGCCAGCCGGCUGCCGCACAGGUCGCGGGUGGUGGUUGAGCGCGCGCGCGGGGCGGAGGCGCGAGAGGCUGCGGUGGUGCGCGCGGGGACUGCAGAAGAGAGGCGGAGCGGGUGAAGGUCGCCGCGGUGCUCUGUCUCCAAUCCGCCAAGGGGUGCGGGGUGAAGGUCGCCGGCGACGCUGCGUUUCCGGUGAGGGGACUCGCCACGGAAUUUCUGAGGUAAGAAUCACGUUGUUCCCCGCCCUUUUUUCACGGUUCCAUUUCUGCUCGGGGAUAAGGGUGGCCCUAGUUCGUUGAUGCGUUUAGGAUUCAUGGGCACAGGGAGGGGGAGAGGUGAUCAUGCGCGCAGAGAGGGGAGGCCCUAGUUCAUUGCUGUCCCUUCCCAAACAUUUUUCCGAGCCCAGUGGGCGGAUCCGUUGUGUGCAUCUCGUGUUAAUUCAGUCGAAUCGAGUAUGUGAUUUGCCUGAGAUUUGUGUAGGAGUUGCCUGACUCAUGUCUAUUUUUUCAUGUUAAUUCAGUUGCUUGGAGAUUUUGGAUUUUGCCUGAGAUUUGUGUAGGAGUUGCCUGACUCAUGUUAAUUUGAGUUGCUACGAGAUUGUGUAGAUUUUUUGUUGUUGGUGGGAUUGAUGAGUUGCUUCAAGUUUGUUAGGGGUUGCCUAACUACGUUAAUUGAGUUGCCGAAUCUAGAGAGGCUGGGGAGUUUGGGGAGUCUCGGACAAGAGUGCCCAUGUUAAUUUGAGUUGCCAAUAUGAUGUGGAUUUUUGGCAGGUUAAUUAAUGUUGUGUGAGGUUAAUUUUUUGGUGUAGAAAUUUGCCAUAAGUCAAUAUAUGAGUUGCCUUGACUUUGUGAUCCAUAAUUCAUGGUAAUUCAUAUUGUGUUUGCUAAAGUGUNNNNNNNNNNNNNNNNNNNNNNNNNNNNNNNNNNNNNNNNNNNNNNNNNNNNNNNNNNNNNNNNNNNNNNNNNNNNNNNNNNNNNNNNNNNNNNNNNNNNNNNNNNNNNNNNNNNNNNNNNNNNNNNNNNNNNNNNNNNNNNNNNNNNNNNNNNNNNNNNNNNNNNNNNNNNNNNNNNNNNNNNNNNNNNNNNNNNNNNNNNNNNNNNNNNNNNNNNNNNNNNNNNNNNNNNNNNNNNNNNNNNNNNNNNNNNNNNNNNNNNNNNNNNNNNNNNNNNGGGGUGGGGUGUGGGUGUCUGGUCUGUUUUGUCACUUUUUUAUUUGUUGCUUAAGUCAUUUUUAGAUUUUGGGAUUGAGGUAGGAUGGCACAUCAGCAAGCUCUAGCAAGUUUUUGAGCCAUGAAACAGGCAAAUAUAGUGCUAUAAGCAGACAAGUUUUCAUCAAGCAGAAGAAAUUGUAUAUGUGGCUAAUAAUUUUUAUAUAUUUUUUCAUUUCCCUGAUAUCCUUUUGUGUUUUUGCAGCAUCAACAAUGUCUGAGACAAGCAAAAAAAAGUGACGGUCAGGUCGCACAAGCAACCCAACAGGGUGUAGAUGAAAUAGAGGUAACCACUUUUUCUCGGGCUGAAAUAAAACAGGUGGCAGGUGUGGCACAGGGGCGGUGUUGUUCCUUUUUUUACUAGUGUUUUUUCAAGAUGAAUAUGGUGGUGGGACGGGGCGGUGGUGUUGUCAUGUUCGAGUUAUGCGACUAUUUUUUACUAAACAAACAAGCAUCAUUUUUUUCAGCGCAGGUACGCCCACCACAGCAACAAAACACGCCGGUAAUUGUCUACAAGUGUAUGCGCACUAAAGAGAUCAUCUAUCGUGGGAAGCGCCCAUCAGACAUAGAUAGUAAUACCAGUGCACCAGAUGCUGAUUUAGAAGGCAAGGAUAUCAUGCAAGAGGAGGAAUCGAAGCCAAAACGGCGGAGGACAGGCGAAAACGAGGUAAAUAUGCGUGCACUUAGUAGUUUCCACCGCCCCUUUUUUUUGCUAAGGCUGGAUGAUCAUGAGUUUUCCAAGUUAUGUAUCAUGUGAUGUGAAUGUGUGGCAACUUAGUAAAAAAAAAUCUCGAAAGCAUCAUGCGUAAGCAAGUUCAGUAUUGGAGGCCUCGGAUGAGUGCUGUUUUUGUUAUUUUUUGGUGCGCAUUGGAAGGCUAUUUGCCUGGUUUUUUGGUUUUACUUGCUUGGAAUUGGUAUGUGAGUUUCCAGUAUCCGAGAGACGAUAUCCAGAAAGUCAUCUGAAUGCACUCUUUUUCGUUUUGUGUAGUAGAAACUAAUGGAUGGAUCAAGCAAAAAGGGCAUUCAAGAAGAUCAUCAUGCAGUUAAUCGUGAUGCUGAUCCCUCGCAUGCGAUUGAAUAUCAUCAAGAGGUGUGUCAGAAAAAAGAUUCAAUAAACUUGUUGUGUGUUCUUUUAACUUGUUGCGUGUUCUUUUUGCAGGGCUAGAGACGCACACCCUUUAUUGGGUACCAGCAUCGGGGAAGAAAGGAGAUUGCUUCCCGUGGCAAACGUCCGCUAGACAUCAACAACAAUCCGAGUGUUUCCACAGAUGGUGAUGGAAAUGUUGAGAAAGACACUGCUGUGGAACAACCACCAAAAGCAAAACGUCAAAAGACCGGAUCUAACGAGGUAAUACACAGUCGCUUCACUUCUGAUCAACAUUUGCCCAAGUUCUGCUGUCAAGUUGCCUAACUGUCCAGGAAAUACACAUGUUUCAUCUGUUGUUGUAUUUUUCUUCUAGGAUAAGAGAAACAGGGCAUCGCCUGCAAGGCUUUUCAAGCUGAAUAAACUUCUUGUACCUGUUUAACAAGGCCAAGCUCAAGUCACUUUCAGUCAAUUUCUGACACCAGGUACCAUAAAUCCAUCUCUAUAUGAAAACAGUUGUUGCAUAGUAGUAAUCCUUUCUUGCCUAACAUUAUUUUUCUUCAACCAGCUUUUUUUACAUUCAUUUCUUUCUUGCUUAAUCAUGACAUGUAAGUUGCCUAAACAUAUCACCAAAGUUGCCGAAAACACCUGAAAUUUUGCUUCAGAAGAAUACCCAUGUCAGUUUCAUGUUUGAUUCACAAUACUACUGAAUUUGCACGAAACAAGCCCUAAAACUUUGCCUACCAUUGUUUUCUUGCAAGCAGUUUUUUUACACAUCAUUUUCGUCCUUUGCUUAAACAUAACAUGUAAGUUGCCUAAAACAUAGCACUUAACUGGCUAAAAACAUCUGGAGUUUUGCUUCAUAAUAACCAUACCGGUAUUUCUUGCUUCACAUUUGUCCUAAUUUUGCCCAAACAAACCCUCAAACUUGCCUACCAUUAUUUUCCUUCAACCAGCCUUUUUUUACAUUGACUCCCCACCCUUUUUGCUUAAUCUUAACAUGUAAGUUGCCUAACCAUAACACUUAACUUGCUUAAAACAACUAGUCGUUGCACAACACUCCUGGAUUUGUCCAAAUAGGGCUUGAAGCUUGCCGAAACAUCUACACACACACCUUGCUUACGAUCUACAGUUGCUCAAAACAGGCCAAGCAAGUUGCUUUACCAGUAAACAUACUUGUGUUUCUACCAACUUAUUAAGCAGAACAACAAACCCAUCAAAGCAAUUAGGCAAAAAAUCUAACAUUUGCAGCAAUUAACAGCACCUGUGCAACUUUGUAUUUCUGUUUUUUCAUCCAGUACAUGCUCUUACACAUUUUUUUAAACUGCAGCCUUAUACAUAUCAUGCGGAAAGAGAAAGGGAGGCUUGUGUUCUUCAGUAACCCAGGGGACAGGGAUGAAAGGGAGGCUUGUGUUCUUCAGUAACCCAGGGGACAGGGAUGAAAGAAGCACACAACCAUGGGGGAAAGUGAAAGCUAAAUCUGACCUUUUUCUGUGCUUCUUCUACCCUUAGUCAAUAUGAAUUGCCUGGAGAACAAAUCCUAAACCAGCCACCAUUGGAGGAUUAUGGAGAGUUUUCUGGAUCUGGGAGUUGUCCCUUUGUGGCUUGGGAGAGAGAAGAAGAUGGGGCUGGGCGAUUUGAUGGGGAGAAAAGGAGACGCCCAGGGGGGUGGAGGAGGGAAACACGUGGGGGAGAGAGGAUCAGGUGAGUUCCGCGGCUCGAUGGUUGGGUGGAAGGAAUCGGGAGCGGGGGCCAGGUACUUUCCUAUUCUGGAUAGGAGGGACAGAAAAUUACUAUUUUGGGAGGGCUGCCAGGGAACGCUAGGGAGCAGCCUCCCUAGACGCGUCCAUAUAUGUAUGUACAUAUGUGUCCAAUUCUGCACAAAUGAAGAAAAGCAAUACAACAGAAAAUAUCUCAAGAUGGCAAUGAUAGCUUACUGAACUUCUUUUGCAUUCAUGUGCAACAUGCCUAUGACUGCAGAGACAAAACAUCUUUAGAAGCAGGAAUUCAAUGAGUUGGAACUCCACAUACCUAUGAUUGUAUUUCUGACAUAUCAAUAUGCUUGAGACACAUUUUUAGAAAUAGGAAUUCAGUGUGUUGAAACUCUGAACUCUGCGACGUGCCUAUGAUUAUACUUGUCCCCUAUCAUCUAUCAAUACUAGCAGGCGGAAGGCGCGGCGGGCAGGCUGAGCCCGCGUGUGUGUGUUGUUCUUUAUUUUAGAACAGAAGGAGUGAGUGAUAAUGGGGUCGAGCUAAUAGCGAAUAAGUCUUUUUGUCAGAUUUCAGAAAUUUUCAUUACACAGACCAUUAAAACAUAAUUAGAAUCUGGAAUCAGUCGUUCAUUAUUUGACACUUCCGACUUCUGCUAGCUAUGAAAAUCGGAUGCAUCAUAAACAAAAAUUCAAUGCAUAUGCCUCCGCAAGAUGUUAACUUUGUAAUCUUUGCAAGAUUAGAAUCAAAGUAUCGUAUUAUUAGCCUAGGAAGUCUGCAGCGUGAUGAAAGGUAACAUAUAACGUCGGAGGAUGGAUAUCCCCUAUAUGUACAACAGUCAAUUAGAAAUCAGUGUGUUUCUCAUCUUUACCAAAUCAGUACGGCCAAAAAAAAGCUAAAGCAGCACAACUACACCACAACCUAAUUAGUCGGCUGCCGAACUAUGUUUGAAUGCUGUAGUUUAGUUAUCCAGAACAUGUACUUCUAAAAGAGAAACCUAGAACAUUUGAAAAUAAAAGCAGAUAAAUACUAAGAGCUUGAUAAAUGAGAAAACCUCGUAAACCAACAUUAAGCAACUAUACUGCUUCAGUGCAAGUUGGUCAAUCAUCUGCCAAGCAAAAGUAGCAUCCAUCGCUAACCAUUUGUCGUGCAUAAAGUAGUGUCUCGCAUAACAACCGAAUAUCUUAAUUUUACCGGAAUUAUUGACAAUGACCUACCGUGCCGCAAAAGUAGAUGUGUGAGUACCACCAAAGACCACAGCAAGAAAACAAUGCAAGUAUAAAUGUUCCUCGUGCCCGUCAUAUAAACUACAUUUCUAAAUACCAUUGUUACUCUUUUUCUUCACAGAUUAUCGCUAGUUUGAAUGCACUGAACCUUUUAGUGUGAUUUUCAGUUAAUGAAAACAUUUUUUAUCGAACUGUACAUGCUUAUAUUCAUAUAUUAGAUGUGAGUACAUGGAUUAGAUAGUCGAUUCUCCAUUCUACUCCCAUCACUUGCAGCAACAUUUCUAACCACUAGAUGACUCGUUGCGCCGAUGGCGCAAAGAGCGAGUUCAAACCAAGCAUUGAUAGAGUGAGCAUAAAAAUAUGUAGAUACCCAUUAGAGCAUAUGGAUUUUUUUGCAUCAUGGAAGUUUUCAGUCAUGUAGCGAAGUCCACCAGCGUAAGAUGAUGGCAUUACAUUUUUCUUAGCGGUCUCGGUUCCAUCAAGCUUACCAAGGCCAACAACAGCAACAAUAAGCUGGAGUUUUUCAACGCGCAUGUCAUCCUGAGGUUCUUCGGAAAGGGUUCUCAUUGAAUAGCGAGAAGAUUAUGAGCCAACAGGUCACCAGAGCUACCAGAGCAACAGCCAAAUAGCAAGCAGAAGAUGAUAGGACAGCAACCAAAUGCUCUUCUAAAAAAAUACAUAGCAGAGAGAACUUAUUUGCGGUUCAUCUUACAGAGGAAUGUUGUUAUAAUGAAAACUAUGUAAUCACACUUUGUUUUUUUUCCGGAUCUUUAAAGUGCACAGUGGUUCUGUGUUACUCUUGUAUAAACCCUGAGCAAGGUAUAGGCCAUUUAAAAAUCCGGGAAAGACACCUGAACAGUAUACAAAUUAUGCAAACUGACAGUAAAAGCUAAACAUAGGUAGGACAUAAAGAGGAGCUGGUUACUGUGCAUGAAGUAGGCAGAAUGAUGAUUAAUUUUAGCAGCUAAUUUAUGAGCAUUCAGUUGACACGGCAGAAUAUAAUGAUUAUCCUGUCAGAUAAAUUAGGCAAGCAGGGUCCAUAAAGCAGCAGGCCCAGGACUAAGCAGAAGACACAAGAAGGCAUACAAAGGGCAACGACAUUGACAAGCAGUAGAUUAAGUACCAUGGCCCAACGGCAUUUACAAUGAGUAGAAAUUGUCAUAGGAAGGGAGAUAAGAUAGAAAGGGCCAACGUGAUAUUUACAACGCAUAGCAGAUGGUCUGUUUGAGCGCCUAAAUAGAGGAAUUGUCAUGACAAGGGCUUGACAUAGCUCCACAGAUGCCAAAGCCGUGUCUUAAAAAGGUGCACAAAAUACAUCAGAUGCAUAACCAAAAGUGUGCCGGGCUGGCGAUCUUCACACCCGACGGCGAGACCGCUGCUACGAUGCAGUAGAGCUGAGAAGCUCUCUUGACCAGCAUAUCCAUCUAGCGGCUAACUUAGCUUGAUAAGAAAGCAGAACAUAGAAGAUACCCUAAGGAAGGAGAUGAACCAUUAGUCAAUCUACGACGACAGGUCAUGUACGCCGGAUGCACCAGGAACAGAAUUCAAGAAGGGAUUGUCGUACCAUAUGUACACGGCGAACCUAGCCUAUUGAAGAACUACCGCUUUGCUUUCUUUGGAACGCUGGCGCCCUUGGCCACUGCAUUUACCCUGAGUUGCAAGCAGUGUGAAAAACAAGAGGCAUCUCAGGAAAGCUAGCACCGGCAUAUAUAACAAGAAGCAUAGAAUGUAAUAAGAAGAAAAGCACAAACAUCAAAUGUAGUAGAUGUAGGCCAGCAUAAUUUAGUAGCAGGCUAAGUGAGCCCAAAAAACACAGCUGAUUCAGUUACAUGGUUAAUUUAGUUGCAUAUAUGAAGUAUGUUAUCUACUAUGCAACAACAAGUAUCGCUUGCACAAGCAUCAGAAAUGAAACAGGAGCAUCACACAAUACUAAGCAGAACAGAUGUUGCAUCCUGAAGCUAUAAAGCUGUUUUACUGGGUAUUUGGUAAGCUCUAAUCUAACAGUGAAAAAAAAGGUUCAAUGAAACUCCAUCACAUGCAUCGGUUAAGAAGAAAACAAUUUGUAAAUCAUAUAGAAUGAAGCUUUGCAUUUUUAAAACGACACGACCAAGGAAGAAUAACAAUCAUCAGGAUACACCCUGCACUGAACUGGGAAAAUGUAAUGGACUAAGAGCCUUUACCUCUUGUUUUUAGUCAGCUCAGGAAUAACAUUCGGUGCAUCUUCAGCAGCUGCGGUUUCAGUCUCUUGACCAACUUCUUUAGUUUCCUACUACAAAACAUUGGUGUGGAUCAAGCAUGGUUUGUGCAUAAGGGGAAGGUAGUUACAUGUGAAAGAGGCACGAACAUUUGGCAUGGGUACAGCUUCAACUGUAUCUCCAGUAGAAGCACUCUUUUCAGCUUUGGCAAUAACAAAGGUAGUAGAAGCAGGUAGGUCAGCCCCCUUUAACUUCAGCGGCGGUGAUCUUCAAAGGUGUAGUGAAAAGCUUGCACCGAGAAUUUUUUGGGCACGGUGAUUUGCUGCUUCCCAAGACAAAAAAUACAUUAGCCGCAGGCAAAGAAAAAGAAUUUUGAAACUUCAUGAUAGCAUAAAGGAAGGGUUGAUACCUAGGCGUUUUAGGCAUAGUGGCCUGCCCUUUGCUUUUGAACGCAGAGAUAGGAGUGUUCAUCUGGAAAAGAAACAAUAUAAGAGCCAAUCGAUGGAAAGAGUUUGAAAGGGGGAAUGACCAGUAGAUAUACCUCAUCUAGAGGGAGUGCAGUAAGUGUAGCCGAUCCUGUAGGGAAAGACUCGAGAAUGGGCAACGCUGCACCAGAGUUCUCAGCAGAAGACGACGUUCCAGAUGCGCCUGAUGCACCACCAAAUCCCAAGGGUGGAAGUUCAGGCUUAAAGGUUUGAUCGAUCCUGCUAACUUGGAAGAACAGCUGAGUGCUUGUAGGCUGGAAGCUCUUGGUGGAGAUAGAAACAACAAGCACAUACUUCUGAGCAACAAUGCGGGAAAUUUCAGUAGGCAUUGCCACAUCGCCACCUCCUAUCUGGGCAAGAUCAUGCACACUUGUAAAACCUGGGUAUUUGCGUUCAAUUAGAGGCAGGACUGGCUUGCCAACAACACUCCUUGCAGCUUUAUCAAACCACAUGAAUUCUGCUUCAGCUCCACCAUCACUUCCAAAGGUGCACACGCAGUAUCUACAUACCACAAACCAAAUGGACUAAGAAGCAAGCGAAUAUACAGAUGGAACAAAGCCUCAUGCGGGAAAUGCACUCACGAGGGAUCUGCAUUAACGGAAGGGCAAGUGGGGUCCGAGCAACGGAAAUGCCUUCCAAAAACAUAGGUUGUUUUAUGACAUUCCCGGCAUGACAGGAACCACCAGCAAUUGUCAUAGCCCAGCCUUGUAAUAAUAACCUUCACCAAUAACUGUUUCUUCUACAUUUGAUCAGCAACACAAUUACAAUGAGAAGGAAGGCAAGUUGAAAACAGGGAUAGAACAAAAGAAUUUUUUGCUCCCAUGGAUGUAAAAGCAAACAAGCAAUUGUACUGGGCCUUUUAUAAUCAAGCAGGGGUUCUAAAAACUGAGGCGGUUUCUUAAAGGGAUCAACAAAUACUUUUCCAGCCUUACAAGAAUUGUUGUAUAUAACACGCCUUUUUGUGAUAGCAGACUGUGACUUUACCCUCUCACGCCACCAAAAGCUAGCCCCGCAGUGGUUGCAUCGGUAGUCGGGAGCUCCGUAGUAUGACCUCUUUGGGUAGAAAUCUAUAGGAGUUUUAAGAGCGAUAAGAACGCAGAACAUUGGGAAGGGGAAAACAACAUGGUUAAUAAUAACAAAGAGAUACCUUUAAGGAUCUCGACUUCGUCAGGAGAAAAACCAACCCAACCAGGUUCCAGAGGAGAUGCUAGGGUAUGCUCUGCGAGAGCUAGAACAAGAAGGCACCAACAUGACAUAGAGAACGCAAGGAAGCAGCACUACAAUCGAUCAAGGAGAACAUGAACUAACCAUUCUUGUUGUGGGAGCAGAGCCUGUCCAACAAGAACCUGCACAUUUUACGGUUGUGGGAAGUCUCAGCAGAAGAAAGAGAUACGAAACACAAAACAUGCUAAGGGAGAAAGCCCUAUUUAUCAACGGAUGCCAAGAGUUGGCAUAACUAAAAAGGUGUAAAGAACAUACGUUUCCUCUUUCAAACAACAAGGGGAACGGCAGGCGUGGCCGACACAGGAGGCAAAAGAGCUGCAGCACGAGCAGCACAGCGCGGGAGAACAGCACGGUGCACAACAGGAGAAUGGGCUGAAGGAACAGCCGGUCUGGCAGGAACAGCUGCCCGGGCAGGAAUAACACGGCGCGGAGGCAUACCGCAACCAGAGAAACUAAAAGCACGAAAAGAUACACGCCAUGGUACUACAAGAAACAAGCAAACAAGCGGAAACUAAGCUCUAAAAUUGCUUCGGUGCAGGUUAAAGGAUAAUCAAAUAAGAAUAGCACAAUUUUCCAAGGGUAUCAACACAGUCAUUGAAAGACACAUCAUAUAAGGUAACAAGAAUAAACAACAUAAGAAGAAAAGAGCAUGAAACUGAAUUCAUUCAUUACACACAAAUAAAUAGAAUCCUGGAACAACAGAAGUACCCUGUAUAAAAGCUAAAUAGAGUACAAAGACGCCAAAAGGCUUGAGUACAGCAAUGCCAGGUUAGGCGGUGGCUGUGAGCGAGUACAAAAGGCACUAAUGGGUGUGGCUACAGAGGCCGAGCGCGCGCAAGCAAGGGCCCUCUCUAAGUAAGCCGCAUAACGAACAGCCGACGCGAAGACAGCGACAACAGCAUUCCCUGAAUUCCUAUAGCAAACCACACACUCAUAGCUGUAAUCCUUAACUAUAAAACCAUACAUCCCUUGCAAAAACCUAAUUGCCUGCAAAGCAGCCUGCUCGUAUGCAUCUACACAACCUUCCCACCCAGAGGCCCAGGGGAAAAAAUUGCAGCAUCGCCAGGACACCAUCCCCAGGAAUGUCAAUCUCUACCCCAGCAAGGACAUGGCCAUCCCCGUCAACCUCAUGCAUAUAGCAAGGGGCAGGCAGUGCACGGUGCGCUGCUACGGCUUCCAGGAUUGGAACAACAAAGGACAGCACAACACACAUUCUGGACAUGCGAAGCAAGGAUGCAAUAAUAAGCAUGAAAGAACACAUGGAAUCAAGAAGUAAAAUAAUUAAUCAACAAUAAGCAAUGGUAAACAAAGCCACAAAAUGACACAACGCACGGAACACACACAGUUAGAAGCGGGCAAAUGACAAAAUUUGAGAUGAGCAUAAGGACAACAAGCGAAGAAGGAAGAUGGUACCUCCGCACGCCAAAGUAGAGCAGCCGAUGUGCCAAAUGAGAUGAACCACAACAGAACCUUUGCAGAGCUGGAGCCAGGAGAUCAAUUAUCCGAAUAAUAAAGACCUGUAACACACGAGAAAGCCAAAAAACGUAAGCAAGCAUAUAGUCACAUACCCUCCUUACAGAGGCAUGCUAAAGCCUAAACUAAAAGAAACCAACGGAAAGGAUAAAGAAAAGAAAGAUGGCAAUCGCAGCAGGAGAAGACAAGCAACAAUUUAAUGCGAAGUAACCUGGUGCAGAAGCAUUUAAGCAAACCGAGAACACUCAAAAACAACCUCAAACAGCAGUUAAGUAUUGCAGACAAGAGCAUGCAGACCAUAUCCAUGCAAACGCAGCUAGACCGACGUAAACCAACCGAGGCACGAUGAACCAAACCAGACAAGAUACAACCUUUAUAAGAAAAAGCACAAGAAACAAAAAAAAACAUGCGACGGUAGUAACCUGAACAAAGGCAAGGACGAACACUCAACCCAGCCAAACCUAAGAUCGAACCAAACCACCCAUGUAAGCAGUACGCAACAGAUCUGAUGCAACCAGCAGCCAGGAAAAACGAACGCAGCGCAAGAAACAACCCAUAAUGAAAGGAACCUAGGCAGACAUUUCAUCGAACAGCUGAUAAGCAAAGCAAGAGGUGUUGGAUAAUCCAAACAAUCUCUAGUAGUAUACGUGUUGGAUGUCUAGUAGUAGUCCGAGUAGAGGAUGAAGCUCACCCUGAGAAGGACGGACGAACAGGUGAAGAGGCGCACGGCAAACCAGCCGCAGCGAGGAAAGAAGAAGGGAUUAAUACGCAAUGCAAGCAACCGAAGCCAUAGCCAUAAAAUCAGCGAAUCAGCGGCGCUCACCCUAACCGAACGCGGAGGCAGGCACGCGAGGAGCCAUGAGCAAAGAAGUGACAAGCACGGCGACGGCAACCAACGAUGGCGGCGGAGGACGAACAACGACGCCCAGGCGAGACCGAGCGGAGUGGAGUGAAUCGAGAGGGAGGCACUGACAGAGGGGAGGAUGAGGAUGAAAGAAAAGCGCCUCCUCGGUCAUCAACAGGACAGGGGCGCUGUAACUCCUAGAGUGACCCAGAUAAAGGAGAGCACGAGACCGACAAAUGGGCCCAGCCGCACGAAGGGCCACAUGCAGCAGAACAACUGGAGAAGUCCCGCGUAUGAACAAGAAAAGGGCGGAGCACCCUAUUACCCAGCGAGUACAGGCGUGCUGGCACAGCGGCAACCAAUGGGAGCAGCGCGCGGCUAUGAAGAGACAGAGAUGUGGGACCACAUCGGCUGAAGCAGAAUGGUCACAGGUGGGUCAAACGCACCUCGGUAAAAAAAAUGCCACGGCGGCCUGCAGCCCACGAUCGCCUCUGGCUGCCUCUGGCCAACCCACGAUCACCGCUCCGCAAGCACGCACCCACGCUCUCACCGCAGGAUGGACCCGCGCGCAAAGGCUGGCCCAGCUGUCAUCCUCUGCGACCGAAGCACAGAACGUAGAAAAAGAACUAACACCGGGAUGUUUGACAGCGAGGUAAAACGCUCAAAGCAAGUAUUAAGCGAGAUAGAAUGGCCAGACCAGAUGCUCAAAGCAAGUAUUAAGCGAGAUAGAAUGGCCAGACCAGAUUCUCUUAUCUNNNNNNNNNNNNNNNNNNNNNNNNNNNNNNNNNNNNNNNNNNNNNNNNNNNNNNNNNNNNNNNNNNNNNNNNNNNNNNNNNNNNNNNNNNNNNNNNNNNNNNNNNNNNNNNNNNNNNNNNNNNNNNNNNNNNNNNNNNNNNNNNNNNNNNNNNNNNNNNNNNNNNNNNNNNNNNNNNNNNNNNNNNNNNNNNNNNNNNNNNNNNNAUUCUCUUAUCUCGCUGCUAGCUGUUUUUUCGGACCACAUCGGCUGAAGCAGAAUGGUCACAGGUGGGUCAAACGCACCUCGAUAAAAAAAUGCCACGGCGGCCUGCAGCCCACGAUCGCCUCUGGCUGCCUCUGGCCAACCCACGAUCACCGCUUCGCAAGCACGCACCCACGCUCUCACCGCAGGAUGGGCCCGCGCGCAAAGGCUGGCCCAGCUGUCAUCCUCUGCGACCGAAGCACAGAACGUACAAAAGAACUAACGCCGGGACGUUUGACAGCGAGGUAAAACGCUCAAAGCAAGUACUAAGCGAGAUAGAAUGGCCGGACCAGAUUCUCUUAUCUAGCUGCUAGCUGUUUUUUCCUCUCGCACGACACUAUUCAUAGCGUAUACGUGGAGCCGGUGGUUGCGCCUAGCACCCCAGCAUCCUUUAUAAGGUAAAUUGGGGAAAAAGCAUCACCGAGGCAACCAAUACUUAUUAUAUCAAUUGAAUUAUAAGAAAAAUAGGGGACAUCCUGAAUAUGAUAAUGCACUGAACAUCCAAUUUACACGGAGGAAAAAACUGUAUUUUUUGUCUCGUCUGACAUAAUAAAAAGCUGGUGCAUGUGAAAUAUAUGAUAACAGUAAUGCUAACACUAAAAAUGUCAGUGUCUGUGUUGUACUCCCUCCGUCCCGAAAAACAUGUCGCAAGUGGAUAUUUGCAAUUUAGUCCUCCAUGUUUUCCCGACCGAACCCGAGGUCCCUCUUCUUCCUCGCUCUCGCUCUCACUCCCUCCCGGCCGAACCCGACGACGGGUGCCGCCUUGCCGCCCCCCGCCGCCCCUCUCCGCCACCGCUCCUCCCGCCCCACGCCGCCCCCGCUGGCACCACCCCUCCCGCCUCACGCCCCACGCCGCAUCGUUCCCCGCUUCGUUCCCCAACGUGAAGCACGCGUUUUUUUUUGUCGAUCCUCCCGCCGCUCCUGUCCGACGGCCAUGUGUUUACCUCGCCAGGGCACGGCAGUGGGGCGCCCUCCUUUCUCGCAUUCCUGGCGCGGCGGCUGCUCGGCGGAUUGCAAAGAGGCAGGUGGAGGAGCUCACCAAGUAGCCCGCCGGAGUCAGAGGUCUCCUUUUUCCCCUUCUCCUCCCUUCGAUCUACUGCGCCCAUGCAAUUUCUUCUUUUAUCUUCUUCGAUUGUUCGGGCCAUGUCCACCCAAUUUCUUCUUCAUCAUCCUAGAUUUCUACAGGGCGUUCGAGGAUAGGGACAAGCCGGCGGCGCGAGCUCUGCCUCCGGGGAGAGGCCGAGGGGCGAUGCAUCUUUGGCCUUGAGACAAGAACCGAGACCAAAUUAGGUGCAUCAAAAACUUCAGGUAACAAUGGUGAGAAUAACUCUGAAAUUGACUUGCCGAGUUCCUGCUCAGUGUAACAGGGAUAUGAUUCUGAAAAAUAUAUGCCUGAAUUUACCUUCUUGGUGAGAGAAUCGCGUGGAACAAUGUCAAGUUCGAUGACCUUUCUUCCUGACAGAAGCUGCAGCACAACCACGCCAAAGCUGUAGAUAUCACUUGCGCGCAAGUAAGCUUGGAGUGUGUUAAUGUACUCAGGAUCCAUGUAACCAAUGGUUCCCCCCACAUCUGUGAAGACCUUGGUCUCCUCCAUUUGCAGCGUUUUUGCUAGCCCAAAAUCAGACAGCUUAGGCUCCAUGUCCUCUGUCAGCAAGAUGUUGGUAAGCUGUAAAAAUGAAUUCAGCACACAAAAGAUAAGAUGGCUUCGCAAAUUUUGCGUGCGCAUGCUAAUGUCGAGGGAUCAAAAAUAUAAGGAUAUUGUCACCAUAAUGUCUCUAUGUACAAUGCAUCCAUCGGAGUGUGUGUGAAGAAACCUCAGGACAGAUGCACAGUCCCUGAGGAUCUUCACCCUUGUUGGCCAUGAGAGCAGAGAGUCACUUCCUGCCAAUCAAUAGCAUGCAAAACUUACAGUAAUUCAACCUUGUAGCUCGCGAGCUUGAAUUAACAUGAUGGAUGGAUCCUUCUUACUGAGUAGAUCGAUUUUCGGCGGCUUCGCUCAAGGCCGACGAUUGGGCGCGUGUGGUGGCAGUUCGAGGAGUGGCGACAUCUUCUGGUGGAUUGUUGUGUGUGCUCUGGUCUGAAAGUUUGUGCUUGGAAGGAGUGGCAACAUCUUCAGGUGGAAGGAGUGGCAGUUCAAGGACAUCUUCAGCAGUGGUCUGAAUUGAUUCAGGUGAUUCCUGAAUUGCUGCAUUUUAAACUGCACUAAACAACUGCAUUUUCAACUGCUGAAUUAGACUGAAUGUUCCUCCUGUAUAAUGUCACAACUAAACAUUUGCACUUCUAGAAUUAGUGUGCACUUAUAGAACUAGUCUGCACUUAUAAAAUGGCACAAUAGUGUACAGGAGUAAUCUGUCAUGUGACAGUAGUCAUGAUUAAUCAUCUUGAGCUUUUUCCAUUUAAUUUUUGAAUCGCAGCAUCAUUUAAAUUUGUUUUUAAACUUGUUUCAUGCAUCCAUGGCCGCACCAUAGCAGCGAGUACUGCUUGUUGAGAUACUACUGCUCCUGUCAAUAGCAUACUGAAUACUCCUGUCAAUAAACUGAAUGGCACAGUACUGUACAUGAGUAUUUAGACAGUUCAGUGUUGACGUAUAAACUGAAUGUUUAGACAGAGUUCUUAUUCAUGUGCUCCUGUCAAUAGAAUCAAAACUGAUUUAUUACCUUUCCAAGUUUGUUUCUGAACAGUAGUGACCUGGAGUAGUGUAGUGGUCCUGUAGUGACCAAAUUUUCAAAUACUCUCUCUAAAUUGGUGAAAAUACCCCUUAUACUUCAUGCUCAAGAUGUUUUUUGCAGAAAAUGCUGCCAUACUCAAGUUUUUUUGCUGAAAAUACUCCAUGUUCAAGUUGAAUGCAUCCAAAAAUUUUGUGUUGUCAGCGAGGGACUGAAGAAAAUGUGUUCUCAAAUUUAUUUACUGUAGAUCCAGUAGAACAAAUUGUGUUGGCAAAUUUCAAAUUGUGUCUCAGACAAUGGCCUGGAGUACUCAUCAUGGAGUAGUUCUGGUAGAUUUCUUGGACUUAAGAUUUCAAGAUCAUGGAGUAGUUCUGGCAUGGAGUAGUUAUGGCAGAUUGAUGUAUUAAUAUAGGAGUACUCUGUUUAGAACAUGGAGCAAAUUCAGUAGACAUUUUUAACUGAAUGCAUCUUUAACUGAAUUUGCUAAGUUAAGUGUCAUACACAGGAAUUCUGCACGCCAUCCAAAUUGAUUUACUAAAUAUUGGAUGUUCAGCACUGUAAGUCAAUUUUCUUCCUUUGAUAAACUUUACUCCAUUCUUUGUAUCUAAUCUAUCCACGCUAUGGCUGCAUAUUUAUUUACUGUACCAAACAUGUCCACUGAAAAUCUGUUUUUGCUAUGCCAAUCAUUUCAGUAAAUUAGAAUAUACAGUAGUAUUUCUUGCAAAUUGUUUUGUGACUAUUCUUGAGAUGGUCUUUCUUACUUUAGCUGAUCCAUCCCAUGUGAUAUGCUAGAUUUUAGCAUCUGUAUUGAUGAACCUUUGAUGAAACUAAAGAAAAACUGGAAGUGUCCUUGAUAGCAUGAAAUGGACCUCUUAACUAAAUAGAAGCGAUUUCUUGUCAUCCACAGUCCUUUUUUAUUUGUUCCAUGCUGAUAGCUUUGCUGAUUUAACAUUAAUAAGAAAACCAUAUUGAUUUUAAAUUUUACAUGCAGCUCCUGAGGUGAAUAAUGUAUUGAAAGAGAUGUCAUCAUCAGAGGAUGAGCAAGUUGAACACGGCACUGUAGAACAUGAAUUGUUUUCCAUGCCAUCUGAUGCCAUGGAGCAUGGAACAAAAUUGUUUUCCAUGCCAUCUGAUGCCAUGGAGCAUGGAACAAAUAGCAGCAGCAGCACAUAGCAGCAGAUCAAUCUACAGGCAACUGCACCUUCUUCAGAGUGCAAAUAGCAGCAGCAGCAACACGGCGCAGUCACUUGGACCAGCAGCAGCAGCAACACGGCAUGUUCACUUGGAUCAGCAGCAGCAGCACAGGCAGAGGAGCAGCAGCAUCAACACGGGCAGAGGAGCAGCAGCAGCACGGGCUAGCUCCACCGGCGGCAGGGGAGAAGCAGAGGAGAAACAGAGCAGCAGCAGGCACGCGGCCAGAUGAGAAGGAGCAGCACGGCAGCCGGUGGGAGCUCGACGAGGACUUGCGGGAGAUAGAGGAGGACGCGCGCAAGCUCUUGUCCACCGGAUCGUGGAGGCCGGUUCCGGCGAUGCCCGUAGGAGAUCACGGCGGGAGGGAUCGCGGCGGCACACGGGAGGCAGCUCAAGGUGAGAGGAGGACUCGCGGUAGCUCGAGGAAGAUGAGAGGGAGCUCCUGCUCCGCCGGAUCGUGGUGGGAAAUUCCGGCGACGUCCGCAGGUAAUCCGGCGAGUGGGGAUCGCUGCGGCACAGGUUCGGGCGGCGGUGGCGGAGCAGGUACUUGGCACGGCGGCGGCGGCGAAGGUACGUGGUGACGGAGGCGGAGCACUUCCUGAUGGGCGCCAAAUCACGCAGCUUGGCGGCGCCGGCCCCUAGCGACGCACGGGCGACGGCGGAGGAAGAAGACGGGGGUGGAGGGACUUGUUUGCGACGGUUUGGAAACUACGAGUUUUUUUUGCAAAAUCACCAAUGAACUACGGGCACGACAUGUUUUUCGGGACGGAGGGAGUACUAACCUGGCAAUCUAUCACGACAAAAUCAAGUUCAUAGACUGCAUCAUUAUCUGAGUUUCUGACUCCCAGAUACUUGCAAACCACAUCAUAAUUUCGCACUUAUAAGAUUGCCUAGAAUAUAGCUCAUAUUGAUGCACCCCAACCUACAACAUCAGCAACAUUCAUUAGAGGAUACAAUGAAAAUUAAGAAUAAAAAUACUGUUGAUAUUAAGGGAAAACAUGGCAGACCAGCAAAUCUUGUGCCAGUAAAAAAUUUGAGCUAAUAGAAGAUGAUGAACAAACAAAUAUAGUCAAGCUACUUUCUUCACCAUGAGAUCCCAUGUAUUGAAGUAACUACUAAAUAUGUCAUUUUCAGUUUAGUAGCCUAAAUGUACCCUCACUCAUGGUGCAAUGCCAUGAUGCAUAGAAGAUUUUUUACGAAAAAAUUGCAACCUAUAUUAACAUAUGGGAAGAUUGUUUCAUGUAUAGGGGAGAUCUAGUGGCUUACCAACCAACCGGACAAUGAGAGCAAGAUGUACCAUACAACUCACGGCUUCAGCUGUUGUACCCCGUGUGCUUGUCAAUCAGCAAGUGCACACAACCUAAGUGCCAGCAGGUAACGCCCUGUUCACAAACCUGAGCAAGAAUUGUGAGUUUGCUCUUACGAAAAAUUAAUGACCUGUGAACCAGGUGCUUGAUCGCUUACCAGAUCCUGUCGGUAUAUCUGGUGCCAGCGCCAUCCGCCGGCAUGGACCUCACGUACCCACAGAGUGCCAGCGUUCAACGCGUCCGCCCUCCUCGUGCAGUUGCCUGGGUGUGUCUACUCGUGUUCAGGCUGUCGCAAAAGCGCAACUGAAGAUCGUUGGCGCCGACUGUCUCCUCCAGAACCGCUUGUACCAGGGCUGACCCCAUGGAGGCAGGAGGCUUACCGCGCAGGCUAGGACACAAAGAGGCUGGCGGUGGCAAAGCCCACAAGAGGCCAUCGAUGAUCUCGAGCAGCUCCCCACUGGAAGCGAUAGGAAGGCCCGAUAGGACGCGCAUCUUCCAGACCAUGCAUACGCCGCCAUCCUGUGCAAGAGCAAGCAGCCAAUUCACAGGUCAGGCCCAAUAUUCAGCACACAAACUUAUGUAAAAUACAAAGAAAUUUACCAAGGUCAGGCCCUCUUUAUACUCCGUAUACCACAAGAAUGGUAUUUCACAAACAGAGCUAGUAAUUCGUGGCAGACAAAUUUCUAGAAAGAAAAGGGAUUGCAUUCACAAAACAAAAGGAUAGAAAAAUUGGUAGAUUAUUCUUCAUGAAGAAGAGUAGAGCCUGACAACCAGAGACAUUUGAUCAAAUAAUGACAAAUACAUGGGAAUAGUAAACAUGUCAGCAGAAGAUGUUUUUGGCUGAUACGAACAUCAGAUUAUGUAACAAAAGAAGAUAUAUCAUCGGAAGUGAAUUGAGAAGAAAGGCCAUCUGAGUUUAAGAAAAUUACCAUGGGUUAAUCAAUAUUUUCAAUGCGUCCCAUAGGAGAACACGUACAUGUAUAAAAUGAUAUAACAUCAUCUUUUCAUCAUCACCAACGAAAAUCUCAUGCUGAACAUAAAUUGUUGGAAGUCCACAGCAUUAUUGCAAAACAAAUUCAGGGUUAAAAUUCAGUUGUUAGAUUGGUUCAUGGUUGAAGAAAAGUUGCAGCCCUGUACUACCACAUAUGGUCGCUUAUAAUGAAGGAAGCACAGUUGUGGAACUGCACAAAAAGAACAAUUCUUCUACAUGAUUCAGUUAUUGAUUUUAGCCAGAUUGGAUCAUCAUGCCAAUGGCAGCUAUAAAUCACAUGGGUUUGUAUAGGAAGAAGAGGUUACCAUAGUCAGGAUGGGGUUGCAGCCAUCGGCGAAGUCGGGGAGGCUGACAGCGAGGUGAAGAUGGCCAAGGCGAGGCGUUAGAAUCGGGGGAUUGGAAAGACAGCUGAGGCAAGGGAAAGUCGCCAAGGCGAGGUCGGCGAGGGGAGGCAGCGAGGCUAGCUGCUCAGAGAGGGUGCGGUGUUGUUGGGGGUCGGGGGAGGUGGGGAGAGGGAGCGCUGCCGCACUACCGACGUCUAGCUUUGACAGAGGCUCCUCCCACAAGUUCCCGAGGGAUCUCCAGGGCCUCCAUCCCCAACUGAUCUUCGGCAAAAGCGGCGUCCGAGCCAAGGAUCGGCGGUGGGCGGCGGCGGCCUGCCCCCACCUUCCGGUGGAUGCUCACGGGACGCAGCUUCAGUGACUUCACGAAGCUAAGUCUCACAGUAACUUAGCCCCCUCUAUCAGCCAUCCAUUUCAGAUCCGACGGACCAGAUUGAUCCAUAUUUUAAAUGAAUUUUUUUUAAGUGUUCAGAAAAUUUUGAAAAAAUUCCAAUAGAUCGUAAAUGUUUCGUUUAGUAGUCUGUGAAAAUUUCAACCCAUUUGAAUGUAGAGUUUGCGAAUACACAUUUUUACUUAUUUGAGCUCAAAAAGCUAUUUAAUCACAAACCAUACAUCCAAAUGGGUUGAAAAUUUCCAAGAAUACAAAACGAAACAUUUAUGAUUUAUUGGAUUUUUUUCAAUUUUUUUUGAACACUUUAAAAUUUUAGUAUGGAAAAUAGGUCAAUUUGGAACGUUGGAUCUUUAACGGACGACUGAUAAUGGGGGCUAAGUUACGGUGAGACUUGGCUUCAUAAAGUCAUUGAAGCUGCGUCCAGGUGGCAGAGGAGAGGAGCAGGUCAGCCGGGGCAGUGUCCAAUUUUCUUGGGGAAGGGGAGGGUCGGACGAUAUUCCCUUUUUACAAGGAGAGGUAAACCGGUGGCUAUCCACGUCCUCUGCUCUCUCCGUGUCGGUAAAAAAAAGAGAGGGAUGGAUCGAUCGACAAAACCCUCAAGCAUUUAGAGCAUAUAAAAAAGCAUCACCAAUAGAAGAUGUAGACAUAAAAAUAACUAAUUUUUUCUUCUCUGAGGCCUAAAAACACAUCUCUAAGAGAUGAUGUAAUUGCAAAAAGAAAUUACAUCUCCACCUUCCAAAAGUAUAAAUACAAUGCCUCGUGUUGCAAAUUUACAUUUCCAACCGCCCGAGAUGUAAACCCAGAUGUAAACGGCCAGCCGUGUGCAAACCCCAACUACCCUGAAAUUCCCUUCCUCUCCCCCAACCGGGCGCCUACCUCAAUCCACCGCUGCGCAGUCGACCCGCCGCGCCCCUCCGCCGAAAAAUUCGGCCUCCCCACCCCCGCUGCCGCCCUUUCCAUCGGCGCUCCGCCGCAUUUCAGCCGGACUCCGCCUGCAAAGCGGCCGCAAAUGCCGCUUUUCCGUCGCACCGUCGUCAUUGUGUCACCGCCCGAUUCGAGCUCCACUGCACUGCCCCGCCUCAGUUCCACCCUUGCUGCCCUAUUUGAAGCUCAGUCGCGCCUUCCCGCCGCAUUUCUAGCUCAACCGCCGCCUGAUUCGACCUCCGCCGCGCUGCCCCGCCUCAGUUCCGCCCCUGCUGCACGAUUUUGAAGCUCGGCCGCCCCUUCCUGCCGCACUGAAGCUCGGCCGCCGCCCGAUUCAAGCACCGCUGCUGCCCUGCCCGCUCCUCCUCUCGACUCCGCGCUCGGCCGCCGACGUUCGAUCCACAUCCGCGUCGCCCCACAGUCUCAAAGCUCGGCCGCCGCUGGUCGAUCCGCGACCGCGCCUCCGCCAUGCCACCAAUGCUCGGCCGCCGCCGCUUCGAGUAGUAUUUUUACAUCUUCAAAUAUGUAUCAUCUGUUGGACCACUACUUUUACAUUUUCAAUAUACAUCAUCUGUUGGAGUUGGCUCUUUUUUUGAGAUGUAAAAAACACUUUUUGGAGAUGUAAUUUUUUACAUCUCAUGUCUUACAUCUUCAAAUUUGCAUCUUCUAUUGAAGAUGCUCUUAUUAUAGAUCUGGUAUACCCGUCUCGCAAAAUUCGAUUUAUAGGAUAGCGCAAAAUAUUUUUUCAUGAUUUUACGUAUGACUUUUGUUUCACCGGAACGGAUCCUGUAAAAAAUGAUGCUCCCAACAAAAUUACAUAAACCCCCUAAGCAUAAUCUGAAUUACAAUUGGGUCUUUUGAUCCCACGCCGGCCGAGCAUUUGCUGUCACGCCCUCGCCGCAGGCUCCUCGCCACCGCUGUUGACGCGCACCUGUAGGAUCGAAAGUAUGUCUAGAGGGGUUGAUUAGACUACUUGACCAAAUAAAAUAUAAUAUUUUCUCAAUUUUAGUUGUAGACAGAUUUUAGCAAUUAUAGGAAGUCAAGCAACACCCUACACAUGCAAUUUUAAGAGUAUAGAAGUGGAAAGUGAGACCCUGCACAUCUAAGUAAAAGGAGGGGUUUGGAAAAGGCGAACGCAAUGGGGACACGAUGAUUUUUGGCGUGAUUCCGAUAGGUGGCGCUAUCAUACGUCCACGUUGAUGAAGACUUCAACCCACGAAGGGCAAUGACCGCACGAGUCCACGGAGGGCUCCAUCCACAAAGGGUCCACGAAGAAGCAACCUUAUCUAUCCCACCAUGGUCAUCGUCCACGAAGGACUUGCCUCACUCGGGUAGAUCUUCACAAAGUAGGCGAUCUCCUUGCCCUUACAAACUUCUUGGUCAACUCCACAUCACGUAGGAGGCUCCCAAACAACACCUAACAAAUCUAGGAGACAUCACUCUCCAAAAGGUAAUAGAUGGUGUGUAGAUGAUGAACUCCUUGCUCUUGUGCUUCAAAUGAUAGUCUCCCCAACACUCAACUCUCUCUCAUAGAUUUGGCUAUGAUGGAAGAAGGAUUUGAGUGUAAAGCAACUUAGAGAAAGCUAGAAAUCAAGAUUCACAUGAUAGGAUUGGAAUCUCUUGAUCUCAACACAUGAGCAUGUGGUUCUCUCUCUCAGAAAGUGAAUGGUGGAAGCGUAGUCACGUUCUAAUGGUUCUCUUACUAAGUAAGAGGGGGUGGAGGGGUAUAUAUAGCAUCCACAUGAAAUCCAACCGUUACACACAUUUGACCCAACUCGGUGGCACCGAUCAGAAUUCUCGGUGGCACGGACCUGUGUAAAAAAUAUGAAUGUUGGAGGUCUCGGUGGGACCAAAUGGAAACAUCUCGGAGCGACCGAUGUGCAAUGGUAAGGCAAACCUCGCUUCGGUGACACCAAUUGCAUCAUCUCGGUAAGACUGAUGUGAAGCAAUAAGGCAACAUAAGGCUGACAAGCCAUCUCGAUGGCACCGAUUGCAAAACUUGGUAAGACCGAAAUAAUUGCAACAUAUGACAGAGUGUUGGCAAGGCACCGAGAGCCAUAUCGACGGAUCCAAUUUGUUAGGGUUUGACUUUCGUAGUGUCCAGAUGAACUCGGUGGGUCCGGAUAGGUAGGAUUCGGUGGGACCGAGUUGGCUUGUAAGGUUUUGGACAUAUUUGGAUAGAGAAAGUGGCUGUGGGUUUUGGAGCAAUAUCACUAAGCACUUGAGCAACCUGAUCAUCAUCAAAAUCUCAUCCCCUUUUAAUAGUAUUGGUUUUCCUAUGGACUUGAUGUGAUCUUGUCUCACUUAACCAAAAAUGCAGAGUCUUGAGCUUUCGCCAAUCCAAGUCCCUAGAAUUUUGAGGGGUCCACAUUCACUACUCCUUGCAAUGCCAAUCAUUGAACUUCCUGAAAUCUUUAACUUGAAUGGAUAUUAGUCCAAUGAGGUAUAUGUUGUUAUUAAUUACCAAGUCCACUCGGAGAUUAGUUGCACUUUCAAUCUCCCUUUUUUGGUAAUUGACAACAACAUAUAGAUCAAAGCUUUGACAAUGAUUAAAUAUGAAUGAGAUACAUCAUCGCUUUGAGAAGUAUGUGAUAAGAAAGAGCUCCCCCUAAAUUUGUGCAUUAUUAAAAAUUUGCGUUAGAAUGCAAAUGCACAAUUGAUUAGGAUCAUGGGUCACUCUUCCAUGUCACAUACAACUUGGUGGAGCGCACAAAAAGAUAUGAUCGGAAUAAUAAGCACGCAUCACCAAAAGCACAAGUGAAUGAUCAUACAUAGAUAAUGAUAAUGAUAAGCAAUGUGCAUAACAUGAAGCACCGUAUGAUCAAGCACAAAAACAACCAACAUAGUAUCUCGCAAACACAACGAACAAAGUAGCACAAAUCAAAUAGUAGCGAUAACUCAAGGAAAAUCAAACGAGCGAAAGCAAGACUCUCUCUCUCUCUCUCAGCCUAAUGAUCUCUACAAAUUCUCCCCCUUUGGCAACAAGUACCAACAAGCUUGAAUAGGUAUAUAGUUAUGCGUCACUCUAGGCAUGAUCUUCGGCAGUGAUACAUCUCCAACGUAUCUGUAAUUUUUGAUUGUUCCAUGCUAUUAUAGUAUCUAUAUUGGAUGUUUUAUAUGCAUUUACAAAUGAUUAUAUAUCAUUUUUUGGGGAUUAACCUAUUAACUUAGUGCCUAGUGACAGUUGCUGUUUUUUGCCUGUUUUUCGUUUUUCAGAAUAUCAGUACUAAACGAAGUCCAAAUGCCACAAAUUUUUUUGGAGAUAGCUAUGCAAUGGAAUUACAUCCUACUUGUGGUGCAUUUUCGGUGUUUGUUAUGCUUAAUGCUCGUUUAUGAGAAUUUUUGUUUCUUGGUUGGUUGCUACUCAAUCUAUUUGCUAGCCUCCAUUUGCACUAAGUGGGAAUACGACUUGUGCAUCCAAAAUCCUUAAACCCAGUUUUGCCAUAUGAGUCCACCAUACCUACCUAUAUGCGGUAUUUCUUUGACGUUAUAAGUAAAUUUGUAUGUACCAACUCUAAUUUUUAAAAUGAAUUUCCUUUUUGUGUGCCCGUACCGCUCAUGAAGCGGCAGGGGGUGGCCAAUAUUUCUCCAUGCUAGAUCUAUUAUCUCAAGAUGAGUGUUUAUUCACUUGUCAUUGCACGAGAGUGUGGCGGUAAUAGGGAUGCCCAAUCCCGAAAUGAAAAAGAAAUUUACUUUAUGUUGUCAAAUAAUAAAUGUUGGGGAACGUAGCAUGCAAUUUCAAAAAAAUUCCUCCGCUCACGCAAGAUCUAUCUAGGAGAUGCAUAGCAACGAGAGGGGGAGAGUGUGUCCAUAUACCCUCGUAGACCGAAAACGGAAGCGUUUGACAACGCGGUUGAUGUAGUCGAACUUCUUCUCGUUCUGACCGAUCAAGCACCGAACGUACGACACCUCCGAGUUCUGCACACGUUCAGCUUGAUGACGUCCCUCGAACUCUUGAUCCAGCAAAGUGUCGAGGGAGAGUUUUGUCAGCACGAUGGCGUGGUGACGGUGAUGGUGAAGUGAACCGUGUAGGGCUUCGCCUAAGCACUACAACAAUAUGACCGGAGGCGUAAACUGUGGAGGGGGCGCCACACACGGCUAACAGAUGUUUGUGUGUCUUCUAGGCGCCCCCUCCCCACAUAUAUAUAGGUUUGAGGGGGAAGAGGCAGCCAGGGGGGGCGCCCAAGUAGGCCGAAUCCUACUUGGGCUCCCACCCUAGUUCGCCCCCCUUCCUUGUUUUGGCACUAGGAAAAGGAAGGAGGAGGUGCCCCCCCUUUCCCUUCUCCCUUGAGAAGGGGAAGGAAAGAGGGGCUAGCCCUCCUCCCUUGCCUUCCCUAGGGCUAGCCGGCCUGGUGGAGGGGUGGACCAGCCCCCUGUGGGCUGGUCUGUCCCUCCCUAGGACCAUUAAGCCCAUAUAGCUUGCCGGGGGUUGCCCGAAACCCCUUCCGGUGCCCCGAUGCGUACCCGGUACCCCAAGAACACUUCCGGUGUCCAAAUACUAUCGUACUAUAUAUGAAUCUUUACCUCUCGACCAUUUUAAGGCUCCUCGUUAUGUCCGUGAUCUCAUCCGGGACUCCGAACAACAUUCGGUCACCAAAUCACAUAACUCAUAUAAUACAAAUCGUCAUUGAACGUUAAGCAUACGAACCCUAUGGGUUCGAGAACUAUGUAGACAUGACCUAGACACCUUUCCGGUCAAUAACCAACAGCAGAACCUGGAUGCUCAUAUUGGUUCCUUCAUAUUCUACGAAGAUCUUUUUUGGUCAAACCGUAAUGACAACAUACGUUAUUCCCUUUGUCAUCGGUAUGUUACUUGCCCGAGAUUCGACCGUCGGUAUCUUCAUACCUAGUUCAAUCUCGUUACCAGCAAGUCUCUUUACUCAUUUUGUAAUGCAUCAUCCCGCAACUAACUCAUUAAUCACAUUGCUUGCAAGGCUUAUCAUGAUGUGCAUUACCGAGAGGGCCCAGAGAUACCUCUCUGAUACUCGGAGUGACAAAUCCUAAUCUCGAUCUAUGCCAACCCAACAAUCACCUUCAGAGAUACCUGUAGAGCAUCUUUAUAAUCACCCAGUUAUGUUGUGACAUUUGAUAGCACACAAGGUAUUCCUCCGGUAUCCGGGAGUUGCAUAAUCUCAUAGUCAAAGGAAUAUGUAUAAGUCAUGAAGAAAGCAAUUAACGAUCAACAUGCCAAGCUAACGGAUGGGUCUUGUCCAUCACAUCAUUCUCCUAAUGAUGUGAUCCCGUUAUCAAAUGACAACACAUGUCUAUGGUUAGGAAACUUGACCAUCUUUGAUUAACGAGCUAGUCUAGUAGAGGCUUACUAGGGACACGGUGUUUUGUCUAUGUAUCCACAUAUGUAUCAAGUUUCCGUUUAAUACAAUUCGAGCAUGAAUAAUAAACAUUUAUCAUGAUAUAAGGAAAUAUAAAAUAACAACUUUAUUAUUGCCUCUAGGGCAUAUUUCCUUCAGUCUCCCACUUGCACUAGAGUCAAUAAUCUAGUUCACAUCACCAUGUGGUUUAACACCAAUAGUUCACAUCUUUAUGUGAUUAACACCCAUAGUUCACAUCGCCAUGUGACCAACACCCAGAGGGUUUACUAAAGUCAAUAAUCUAGUUCACAUCGCUAUGUGAUUAAGACCCAAAGAGUACUAAUGUGUGACCAUGUUUUGCUUGUGAGAGAAGUUUAGUCAACGGGUCUGCCACAUUCCGAUCCAUAUGUAUUUUGCAAAUUUCUAUGUCUACAAUGCUCUACAUGGAGAUACUCUAGCUAAUUGCUCCUACGUUCAAUAUGUAUCUGGAUUGAGACUUAGAGUCAUCUAGAUCAAUGUCAAAGCUUGCAUCGACGUAACUCUUUACGACGACCUCUUUAUCACCUCCAUAACCGAUAAACAUUUCCUUAGUCCUGUUUAAGGUAACUAAGGAUAAUUUUGACCGCUGUCCAGUGAUCUAGUCCUGGAUCACUAUUGUACCCCCUUGCCAAACUCAUGGCAGCAUGGCAUACUUUAAACCUAUGGCUGAGGCAUAGGGAAUGACUUUCAUUCUCUCUUUAUAUUCUGCCGUGGUCGGGUUUGGAGUCUUUACUCAACUUCACACCUUACAAUACAGGCAAGAACUCCUUCUUUGACCGACCCAUUUUGAACUCCUUCAAAAUCUUUUCAAGGUAUGUACUCAUUGAAAGUCUUAUCAAUCGUCUUGAUCUAUCUCUAUAUAUCUUGAUGCCCAAUAUGUAAGCAGCUUUGAUACGUCUCCAACGUAUCUAUAAUUUUUGAUUGUUCCAUGCUGUUAUAUUAUCAAUCUUGGAUGUUUUAUAAUCAUUUUAUAUCUUUUUUUGGUACUAACCUAUUGACAUAGUGCCAAGUGCCAGUUGCUGUUUUUUCCAUGUUUUUUUACAUCGCAGAAAAUCAAUAUCAGACGGAGUCCAAAUGCCCCAAAACUUUACAGAGAAUUUUUAUGGGCCAGAAGGAACACAACGGGCCCUGGCUGCGCCUGGGGGGUGCCCCGAGGGAGGCACAACCCACCAGGGCACGCCAGGAGGCCCAUACGCGCCCUGGUGGGUUGUGCCCACCUCGGGUGCCCCCCGGACCGCCUCUUUGCUCUAUAAAUACCCCAAUAUUCCAGAAACCCUAGGCACUUCAACGAAAUAUUCAUCCAGCCGCCGCAGAGUCCAGAACCACCAGAUCGAAUCUACACACCAUCUCGGAUGGGGUUCACCACCUCCAUUGGUUCCUCUCCGAUGAUGCGUGAGUAGUUCUUUGUAGACCUUCGGGUCCAUAGUUAGUAGCUAGAUGGCUAUCUCUCUCUCUGAAUUCUCAAUACAAUGGUCUCUUGGAGAUCCAUAUGAUGUAACUCUUUUGCGGUGUGUUUGUUGGGAUCGAUGAACAUUGAGUGUAUGAUCAGAUCUAUCUUUUUAUAUCCAUGAAAGUAAAUGAGUUUCUUUGAUCUCUUUUAUGCAUGAUCUUUUAUAGCCUCGUAUUUCUUCUCCGAUAUUUGGGUUUUGUUUGGCCAACUUGAUAUAUUUAUCUUGCAAUGGGAAGAGGUGCUUUGUAGUGGGUUCGAUCUUACGGUGCUUGAUCCCAGUGAAAGAAAGGGAACCGACAUGUAUGUAUCGUUGCUACUAAGGAUAAAACGAUGGGGUCUAUCUCUACAUAGAUAGAUCUUGUCUACAUCAUGUCAUCGUUCUUAUUGCAUUGCUCCGUUUCUCCAUGAACUUAAUACACUAGAUGCCUGUUGGGUAGCGGUCGAUGUGUGGAGUAAUAGUAGUAGAUGCAGGCAGGAGUCGGUCUACUAAUCUUGGACGUGAUGCCUAUAUAAUGAUCAUUGCCUGGAUAUCGUCAUGAGUAUUUGAAGUUCUAUAAAUUGCCCAACAGUAAUUUGUUCACCCACCAUUUGCUAUUUUUCUCGAGAGAAGCCACUAGUGAAACCUACGGCCCCGGGGUCUCUUUCUCAUAUAUUUGCCUUGAGAUCUACUUUUCGUUUGCAUUCAUUUUUAGAUCUAUUAAACUAAAAAUACAAAAAUACCUUGCUGCAAAUUAUUCUGAUUUAUUUUAUUUGGCGUUCGAUCUAUCAAUUUACUACAAAUUUACCUCACGUCCGUUUGCCUACUUGAGGCGCCGUACCCCGGAAGGGAUUGUCAACCCCUUUAACACGUCGGGUUGCGAGGAUUUGUUAUCUGUGUGAAGGAGCUAUUUACGUUGUGUUGCUUGGUUCUCCUACUAGUUCGAUAACCUUCGUUUCAUAUCUGAAGGAAAUACCUACCGCCGCUGUGCUGCAUCAUUCCUUCCUCGUGGAGGAAAUACCAAGUAGCUUCAAGCAACAUCCAAAGGAAUUUCUGGCGCCGUUGCCGGGGAGGAUCUUCAACAUAUACCAGGUUCCUAGUCAAAAAUCUCAUCUCCUCGCAAUUUAUAUUAUUUGCCAUUUCCCUCUUGUUUUCCUCUCCCCCACUUCACAAAAAUUUGCCGUUUUAUUCGUCUCUCUUUUUCCCGUUCGCCAUUUUCUUGUCGCAUCUAUCCUUUUCUUGCAAUCAUGAGUGAUUUCGGCAUGGUACCAACAGAUGUGGCCUAACUCCUAAGAUUGGACGUACGGACAAUCUGGAUGCUAAAACUUUUAUCUUGGGGCAAGGGAAUGUUAUGGGAAAAGAACGUAUCCAAGAAUUUGUCAAUUGUGUGGGAAAUUUGAGUCUUGAUGAUGCCCCUAUACUUAAAGCUACUAGAUCAUAUGCAGAUGCUAUUUCAGCACUAGUUCUGAAACUUGAAAGUAAAUUUAUUCGUAUCCAUCCUACUUUACAAAGAUUGUUUUUUGAGCUUCCCGUUAUAAAGAAUCCUAGGGCUAAAAAGUUGGCCACUCUCGUUCUUAUGAAUGAGUUUGACUACAUAAUACAGGAAGCAAGGGAAAUCUUUGAUUUUUAUGGUAUGAAUCGUGAAAAACCUGUGAUAGAUGAAAUUCUUUACAAUAGUGACUAUGCUUUAAGACAUUUGCUUGGGGAUAAUAAAAUCUUUGAUGAGAAUCUUAAAAAGGAAGUCCCUGUUUUAGAUAUAAUCCAACAGGUUUUCAAUAAUGUUAAUCAACAUUAUUCUUGGAUUGUUGCGGGGAAUCAAAAAGGUUAUGAUGAACACCAACUUAGGAACGCUAAGGUUUCCAUGGAUAAUAUGUUUUAUGUUGUGUUCACAAAACCCAUGAUGAAAAUACCUCUAAGAAAGUUAAGAACAAGGAUGACAAAACUUAGACCCUUGCUUUGUGCCUAGCUAAGGGCGUAAAACUAUAACGCUUCUUCUGAGGCAACCCAAUGAAUAAAAUUUAUUUUUUUCUUUUUUGCUUUCUGUUCUUGAGUGUUUACACAAUUAUGCUACUGUUAUGAUUGUGUUUUUGUGUUUUAAUUAGUGUUUGUGCCAAGUAAAGCCUUUAGGAUCUUCAUGGGUGAUAGUUGUUUGAUCUUGCUGAAAAACAGAGACUUUUGCGCUCACGAAAACAAUUCUCAUUUCUUUACCAGAGCGUGAUAAAAUACCAAUUCCAAUUGCAGUAGAUUAGUAUACAAAUUUCUCAGGUCGUCCUAAUUUUUCAGAAUUUUUGGAGUUCCAGAAGUUUUCGAAAUAGUCAGAUUGCUACAGACUGUUCUGUUUUGACAGAUUCUGUUUUCUUUGCGUUGUGUGCUUAUUUUGAUGGCUCUAUGGUUUUGUUUGAUGAGUUUCUGCCAUAGAAAAGUUGGAAUACAGUAGAUAUAAUGCAAAAACAAAAUAUGAAUUGUUUUGGUACAGUACUUACAGUAGUGAUUUGCUUUCUUUUACUAACAGAUCUCACGAAGGUUUUGUUGAGUUUUGUGUGAUUGAAGUUUUCAAGUUUUGGGUUAUCUUACAAUGGAUAAAGGAAUAAAGGAUAGAAGAGCCUAAGCUUGGGGAUGCCCCAGCAUCCCAAGCUAUUAUCCAAAGAUCAGCAACCAACUAAUCUUGGGGAUGCCCCCGAGUGGCAUCCCCUCUUUCUUCUAACGACCAUCGGUAUUUUACUCGAAGCUAUAUUUUUAUUCGUCACAUAAUACAUGUUUUGCUUGGAGCGUCUUGUAUGAUAUGAGUCGUUGCUUGUUUUAUUUUGUGUUUUAAGUCUUGAUCCCUUGCUGGACACACCUAUUUGAGACAGCAAAUUUAUGUCAUGACUUCUUAGAAUUGCUCUCUAUGCUUCACUUAAAUUUUUAUGAGCAAUGGACUUGCUCUAGUGCUUCACUUAUAUCUUUUUGAGCAUGGUGUGCUUAGUAUUUUUGAAGAAAUGCUCUCUUGCUUCACUUAGAUUUAUUUGAGAGUUAGUAAAAUUUUCAGGAAAUUCCUCUUGCUUCACUUAAAUUAAUUUGAGAGAAAGAAAGAAAUUUUAUGCUCAUGAUCUUUACUUAUAUUUGUUGAGCUUAUGAAAAGCAACACAUGAAAAUUAGUCCCAAAGUGAUAGAUAUCCAAGAAAGAUAUAAUAAAAACUUUCAUGAAGACCAUUGGACAAAAUAAACUUGAUUCUUAGUAAUAGUUUUGAGAUAUGAUGAUGUGAUAUGUGAGUUAUGUUGAUGAGUAGUUAUGCUUUAGUAAGAAUAUUGGUGUUAAGGUUUGUGAUUCCCUAUGCAAGUAUGAAAGUCAAUAGUCAUGAAAUGAAAUUAUAUCCUACUUGUGGUGCAUUAUUCGGUGUUAUUUAUGCUUAAUGCUUGCUUAUGAGAUUAUUCGUUUCUUGGUUGGUCGCUUCUCAAUCUUUUGCUAGCCUUCAUUUUGCACCAAGUAUGAUCUCUACUUGUGCAUCCAAAAACCCUUAAACCAGUUUUGCCACAUGAGUCCACUAUAUCUACCUAUAUGCGGUGUUCUUUUGCCGUUCUGGGCAAAUUUGUAUGUGCUAUCUCUAAUUUUCAAAAUAAACUUCUCUUUUGUGUGUUUGUUUCGCUCGCGGAGCGGUGAGGGGUGGCUAAUAUUUUCCAUGCUAGAUGUGUUAUUCUCAAGAUGAGUGUUUAUUCACUUGUCAUUGCACGAGAGUAAGGCAAAGGUAUUAGGGAUGCCCAGUCCCGAAAUGAAAAAUGAAUUUACUUUAUGUUGUCAAAUAAUAAAUUCCUUGGAAAGUGUUGGUAUGGAGGGCAACCGUGGAUACGGCUAGCCAUGGAAAGUGAAAGUAUGGUUGAAAAAGGAAUAAACUUUAUUUUCUGUUUGGGAACCGCCUAUGAUAUAUCUAGCAUGGAAAGUGUUGGGAAAUCUAAGUCGUUUUCGUUGGUGGGAUGGAUACACCUCCCAAAAUGUUUUUAUAUCUAAGUUUUUUGCUUUGAGCUCUGGCACCUCUACAAAUCCCUACUUCCCUCUGCGAAGGGCCUUUCUUUUACUUUAUGCAAUUUUUAUUUUUGAAUUUGAGUCUCCAUCUUCUCUUACAAAAGCACCAACUAGGAGGCUAUAUGAUCGUACUUAAGUAUAGGGUGUAACUAAUAUUCGAGUGUGUUUCAUGAAUGGAUCAAUGGUUGAGCAUGAUGGGCUAGGGAUAACUUAUUUUAGCAUUGAUAUUUUGAAAGACAUGGUUGCUUGUUGAUAUGCUUGAGUAUUUAAAUUAUCAUGUCAAAACUAGACUAUUGUUUUGAACAAUAUAAAAGUCCAAAUGUCCAUGCUAUAAAUAAAGAAAUAUGAUAUGACAUGAUAGGCAGCAUCCCACAUCAAAAAUUCUGUUUUUAUCACUUCCCUACUCGAGGACGAGUAGGAGUUAAGCUUGGGGAUGUUGAUACGUCUCCAACGUAUCUAUAAUUUUUGAUUGUUCCAUGCUGUUAUAUUAUCAAUCUUGGAUGUUUUAUAAUCAUUUUAUAUCAUUUUUUUGUACUAACCUAUUGACAUAGUGCCAAGUGCCAGUUGCCAUUUUUCCAUUUUUUUUACAUCGCAGAAAAUCAAUAUCAGACGGAGUCCAAAUACCCCGAAACUUUACGGAGAAUUUUUAUGGCCAGAAGAAACACAACGGGCUCUGGCUGCACCUGGGGGGUGCCCCGAGGGAGGCACAACCCACCAGGGCGCGCCAGGAGGCCCAGGCGCGCCCUGGUGGGUUCUGCCCACCUCGGGUGCCCCCCGGACCGCCUCUUUGCUCUAUAAGUACCCCAAUAUUCCAAAAACCCUAGGCACGUCAACGAAAUAUUCAUCCAGCCGCCGCAGAGUCCAGAACCACUAGAUCCAAUCUAGACACCAUCUCGGAUGGGGUUCACCACCUCCAUUGGUGCUUCUCCGAUGAUGCGCUAGUAGUUCUAUGUAGACCUUCGGGUCCGUAGUUAGUAGCUAGAUGGCUAUCUCUCUCUGAAUUCUCAAUACAAUGGUCUCUUGGAGAUCCAUAUGAUGUAACUCUUUUGCGGUGUGUUUGUUGGGAUUGAUGAACUUUGAGUUUAUGAUCAGAUCUAUCUUUUUAUAUCCAUGAAAGUAUUUGAGUUUCUUUGAUCUCUUUUAUGCAUGAUCUCUUAUAGCCUCGUAUUUCUUCUCCGAUAUUUGGGUUUUGUUUGGCCAACUUGAUCUAUUUAUCUUGCAAUGGGAAGAGGUGCUCUUUAGUGGGUUCGAUCUUACGGUGCUUGAUCCCAGUGACAGAAUGGGAACCGACAUGUAUGUAUCGUUGCUACUAAGGAUAAAACGAUGGGGUCUAUCUCUACAUAGAUAGAUCUUGUCUACAUCAUGUCAUUGUUCUUAUUGCAUUACUCUGUUUUUCCAUGAACUUAAUACACUAGAUGCAUGCUGGAUAGCGGUCGAUGUGUGGAGUAAUAGUAGUAGAUGCAGGCACGAGUCGGUCUACUAAUCUUGGACGUGAUGCCUAUAUAAUGAUCAUUGCCUGGAUAUCGUCAUGAGUAUUUGAAGUUCUAUCAAUUGCCCAACAGUAAUUUGUUCACCCACCAUUUGCUAUUGUUCUCGAGAGAAGCCACUAGUGAAACCUACGGCCCCCGGGUCUCUUUCUCAUAUAUUUGCCUUUGCGAUCUACUUUUCCUUUGCAUUUAUUUUCAGAUCUAUUAAACUAAAAAUACAAAAAUAGCUUGCUGCAAUUUAUUCUUAUUUUUUAUUUGGCGUUCUCUCUAUUAAUUUACUACAAAUUUAUCUCACGUCCAUUUGCCUACUUGAGGCGCCGUACCCCGGAAGGGAUUGACAACCCCUUUAACACGUCGGCUUGCGAGGAUUUGUUAUCUGUGUGCACGAGCUGUUUACGCUGUGUUGCUUGGUUCUCCUACUGGUUCGAUAACCUUGGUUUCAUAUCUGAGGGAAAUACCUGCCACCGCUAUGCUACAUCAUCCCUUCCUCUUUGGGGAAAUACCGACGUAGCUUCAAGCGACAUCAAAAGGAAUUUCUGGCGCCAUUGCCGGGGAGGAUCAAGUCAAGAUAGUCUCCCGGCCACGUGCCAAUUUCUGGCGCCGUUGCAGGGGAGGAUGUAACGCCCCGAGUCCGAUGCACCAGGUCUCUUCCAGUUAUUCGCUGUCGUUGCCAUGUCAUCUGAUUGCGUGUUGCAUUUUUCCAUGUCAUCAUAUGCAUUUCAUCUGCAUGUUUUUCAAAACUUGCAUCCGUCCGGGUCUCCCAGUUCUCUCUGUUGUCCGUUCUGAAUCCAACCACACUCGCACGCGCCCGCGCCACGUCCGAAAUAUUAUUUUAUAAGUGGCAUAAAAAUGCUCUCUAAAUGGGAUGAAAGUUGGUGUGCGGUCUUAUUAUAGUGUAGAUAGACCGCCUGUCAAGUUUCGUCGCAUUUAGAGCUUGUUUGAUAGCCCAACCGUUAAACAUAUAGCGGCAUUAUAGCCGGUCUAACGUCGGACGUUUUCGGUCUCCGGAAAUCGUGCCGGGCUGCACUUCUCUUCUCUUCCCCCAGCCCAAGUCAUUCUACACCACCCACCUGCAGCCCACUAGGCCUGUCUAACCCCUCCUUGCGUCCGAAGCCGUUCGAUCGAGAUCAAACGGUCCAAAAACGACCUCAAACCCCAAAAUCCUAGCCCCCUAUAUAAACACCCCCACAUGCCAUUUUUGGCCUCCACCUACCUCCCUCCUCGGGAUCCGCGCCACCAGCCUCCCACAAUCGCGCCGCCGUCUUCCCCUCCAGAUCCGGCGCAACCCAGCCCGAGCACGACACGUGGCGCCAGCCCAGUGGCCAGCCGCCUGCAGCCACCCAGGAGGCGCCACGCGUCCCCAGCAGCCUCCCCGCCGCCGCGGCCCUUGGAGCCCAUCUAAAGCCCGCCCGAGCCCAUCAAGGCCCGAGCCAGCCCGCGUGUGCCGCCGCGGCCCAUCGCCCGAGCGCCUCCCUCGCUCUGGAUCGGGGAGGGCCGAUCCCCUCGGAGCGCCCCGCCGCCUCACCGCCCGCCGGCGACCAAGGCCGCCGGAGCAAGCUCGUCGCCGGCCACCUCGACCCUCCAGGCCGGCCUCGCACCGCCCCUCCUCCUUUGUCCCGAGUCCUCCCUGUCCCUGAUCUUCUUUUCUCCCUCUCCCUCUCUCUGUCUCACGAUCUCUCUCUCUCCCUCGAACGAUGCAGGACGGCGCCGCCCAUGGAGCUCGCCGGCAGCCACGUUCUUCGCUCGAUCCGGCCGCGAUCCACCGGAUCCGGCCACCCUCGGCCCAUUCUCGGCCGUCCCAAGCCCGGCCGGAGUCCCAGCUCGCCGCCCGCUGCCAUUCCUCUUCUUCAACCCCCGACCUGGACCACCCCCCUCGAGGUCCAGAUUUUCCCCAAGUCCCCGAACUUCAACUUUAUGUGUGCAUGUUGUGUGGGCCCUAACUACGUGCAUAGUUGUUUGUUUGAGAUGAACUUCAUAUGAAUUUGUUGAGCUCAGUGAGCUCUACAUGUUGGCAUAGUUUGCAUUCAUGCUAUUAUUGAUCUUGAUGCCUUUAUCAUUGUUGCAGAAGUGCUACAUGAUAUAAACUACUGAAAACUGUUGUAACUUGCUGAUUUGUCUUUUUCAUAGCAUUUUGUGUGUUCAUCUUUUGAACAUAAUGUCAACAUGUUUUAGGAGCAUCUUCAUGCCAUCUGUACAGUGGUGCCAUCCAUGUAUUUUUAUGUGCCUUGUGGUGAGUGCAUCAAGCUCGUGAAGUGUGCUACUUGAUGUUUGCUGUUUUCUGAGACGGUGAUAUUUGCCAAGUUUGUAACUGUUACUUGACGUUGCCAUGUUAAUUUGGUGCUACCAUCAAUUCCGUGCAUAAUCUGGAGAUGCCUAGUUGACAUGUUUUGAUGUCCAUGUUAUUCUCUAUCAUGCCAUGCCAUUUGAUUCCUCAUAUAUGUCCUGUAGCAUAAGUUUUCAUUGCCAUGAACAUGCCUAAAUGAUGUUCCAGUUUUCUGUUAACUUCAUGAUGCCAUGUUGUGAGCUUGUUAUUAAUUAAUCUAUGUCUCUUUUGGAGAUUCGCCAAUUACAUGAAUUGAAGUAUGGUAUGAGUGCUUUGUACACAUGCCAAGUUUGAUAAUUUUGGACUUCGUAUGACCUCUGUUGCAAGCUUGCAAACAUGCCUACUUGUUGUUGUUCCUGCCAUGUUCACUAAAGUUUGCUAAGUCUGUGAAACUGUUAUCAUUUGCAGUUUUGUCUUGAUUAAUGCUAUUCAUCUAUAGGUUAUAUGGAGAUGCUUAGUAAUCAUGUUUUGCCAUGUUUAACCUGUACUUUGAUGCCAUGCUUUUGUUUGCCAUGAUCUUGCCAUGUAGCAUGUUUUUUUCAGGCUCCAACACGUUAACAUGUUAUUUCCGCUCACAUGUAUGCCCUGUUUGAUGCCAUGCUUUUGUUUGCCAUGAUCUUUCCAUGUAGCAUGUUUUUUUCAGGCCUCCAACAUGUCAACAUGUUAUUUCUGCUCACAUGUAUGCCCUGUUUUUCACUAAGUCAUAAUCUGUGUUGUUAAGUUGCUUCUUGCAUUGAUCAUAUUGGAUUAAUCCUGAUGCCUAUGAACUUGAACCUUGAUGUUAUUUGAAGCAGGUAAUCUAUAAUUUAGUGAAUAUCAAGUUUGUGUCCAUAUGCUUCAUGUAGCAUGUUGUUUCGUUGAUUGCAAAGUGCUUAGUUGCUGUUUUGGGCAGAUUGUGUUUGAAACUUGUAUUGAGUGUAUGUGUUGAACCGUUGCUCCGUUUUGAGCAUGCUCUAUAUGAAACUUGCUUGGUUUUGCAUGUAGUUUCAUGUUGCCUUGUUGAAUUCUUGUUUUGGAGUGUUUGUGAUGUUGUUUUGCUUGCAUUUGAAUCAAUGCCAUGUUUAACUUAUUUUGCUCAUAUCUUCUGGGCCGUAGCUCCGAAUUAAAUGAACUUUAUAUAUAACUUGACUAGAAAAACGCAUAAAUCAUCUUGGUGCACUUUAACUUGCUAUUUAACCACUUUAACAUAAUGUUUUGUUCAGAUCUGGACCAAUUUCGAAAUUUGCAUAUGGGGAGUUACCGGAAUUGUUAUAUGUUGUUUCCGGCCUCAUUUCAACUUGCUUUGAUGUGUUGCUCUUGUAUGCAUCAUCUCUUGCCAUGAGUAGCAUCAUGUAGCCUUGUCAUGCAUCAUACUUGGUUGACCAUCAUGUCAUGUUUAUGUGUUGUGUGUUUAUCAUGUUGUUUGCUUCUUUCCAGUUGUGCUCCUUCUCGAUAGUUCCUGUUUCGUUGCGAUUGUGAGGAUUCAUUCGACUACGUGGGAUCGUCUUCUUCAUGGACUCGUUCUUCUUCCUAGCGGGAUUUCAGGAAAGAUGACCAUCACCUUGGAUAUCACUACUAUCUUUGCUAUGCUAGUUAUCUCGAUGCUAUCGCUAUGUCGCGCUACCUACCACUUGUUUAUCAAGCCUCCCAAAUUUCCAUGAUAGCCUCUAACCUUCUCACCCUUCCUAGCAAACCGUUGUUUGGCUAUGUUACCACUUUUCUCAGCCCCUAUUAUAGCAUUGCUAGUUGCAGGUGUAGUUCCAGGUUGUUCCAUGUUAGGACAUGGAUAUCAUGGAUAUCAUGGGAUAUCACAAUAUCUCUUAUUUAAUUAAUGCAUCUAUAUACUUGGUAAAGGGUGGAAGGCUCGACCUUAUGCCUGGUGUUUUGUUCCACUCUUGCCGCCCUAGUUUCCGUCAUACCGGUGUUAUGUUCCUUGAUUUUGCGUCCCUAACAUGGUGAGGGUUUAUGGGCCCCUCUUGACAGUUCGCUUUGAAUAAAACUCUUCCAGCAAGGCCCAACAUUGGUUUUAAAUUUUUCCAUAAUAGUACUUGAACCUAAUAAUUAAUUGGCAUAGGGCAUCAUGAACCCGAGGAUUCUUUUCUACAUACAGGGAGGGGCCAGUGCUGAUGGUGUUGGUCCCAAAUGGGCAGCCUGCGGGGCCACCUCGGGGAAAUUCGAGGGCUGGUUUUACUCGUAGCUUGUCCCAUCCGGUCGUGGCCUGAGACGAGAUAUGCGCGGCUACUAUCAGGGUGUCGGCACGCCGGGAGGUCUUGCUGGAUUUGUUUUACCAUUGUCGAAAUGUCUUGUGCACCGGGAUUCCGAGUCUGAUUGGAGGGUCCCGCGAUGGCGGAUUGUCUCCGUCGAUCGUGAGCUUGUCAUGGGUAAGUUGGGACACCCUUGCAGGGUUUAAACUUUCGAGAGUCGUGCCCACGGUUAUGUGGCAGAUGGGAAUUUGUUAAUAUCCGGUUGUAGUGAAUUUGAAGUAAACUCAAUUAAAAUACACCAACCGUGUGCGUAACCAUGACUGUCUCUUUUUGGGGAAGUUCGAGAGGAUAACACGGUUGGGUUAUGUUUGAACGUAAGUAGUUCAGGAUCACUUAUUGAUCAUUACUAGUUUGCGACCGUUUGCGUAGAUUCUCAUCUUACUCUUGUACUCGUAAGUUAGCCACCAUACAAUGCUUAGUCGCUUGCUGCAACCUCACCACCUUACCCUUUCCUACCCAUUAAGCUUUGCUAGUCUUGAUACCCAUGGUAAUGGGAUUGCUGAGUCCUCGUGGCUCACAAAUUACUACACCAACAGUUGCAGGUACAGGUAAUGCGAUGAUCAUGACGUGAGAGCGAUGUUUACUUGUCUUGGAGUUCUUCUUCUUCUUCGUCGAUCUUGGGUUAGGUUCCUAGUCGGCAAGCUGGGCUAGCAGGGUGGAUGUCGUUUCAGUCUCUGUUUGUGUUUCAUCCGUAGUCGGAUGUUGUUGUUAUGUAUGAUUUUGAUGUAUUCAUGUGGCAUUUGUAUGCCUUGUAUGUAUCCCCAACUAUUAUGUAAUGGUACGAUGUAAUGAUAUCCACCUUGAAAAAGCGUGUCAAUAUCAAUAUGCGGUUCUAUCCUUGGUGGGACCUUAGAGUUCCUUUAGGAUAGAGUCAUAUACUGGGCGUGAUCGAGGAUCUUCAACAUAUACCAGGUUCCUAAUCACAAAUCUCAUCUCCUCACGAUUUACAUUAUUUGCCAUUUGCCUCUCGUUUUCCUCUCCCCCACUUCACAAAAAUUUGCCGUUUUAUUCAUCUCUCUUUUUCCCGUUCACCGGUUUCUUGUCGGAUCCAUCCUUUGCUUGCAAUCAUGAGUGAUUUCGGUAUGGCACCAACAGAUGAUGUCCUAACUCCUAAGAUUGGACAUACGGACAAUCUGGAUGCUAAAACGUUUAUCUUGGGGCAAGGGAAUGUUAUGGGAAAAGAACCUAUCUAAGAAUUUUUCAAUUGUGUGGGAAAUUUGAGUCUUGAUGAUGUCCCUAUACUUAAAACUACUAGAUCUUAUGCAAAUGCUAUUUCAGCACUAGUUCUGAAAUUUGAAAUUAAAUUUAUUCAUAUCCAUCCUACUUUACAAAGAUUGUUUUUUGAGCUUCCCGUUAUAAAGAAUCCUAGGGCUAAAAAGUUGGCCACUCUUGUUCUAAUGAAUGAGUUUGACUACAUAAUACGGGAAGCAAGGGAAAUCUUUGAUUUUUAUGGUAUGAAUCGUGUAAAACCUGUGAUAGAUGAAAUUCUUUACAAUAGUGACUAUGCUUUAAGACAUUUGCUUGGGGAUAAUAAAAUCUUUGAUGAGAAUCUUAAAAAGGAAGUCCCUGUUUUAGAUAUAAUCCAACAAGUUUUCAAUAAUGUUAAUCAACAUUAUUCUUGGAUUGUUGCGGGGAAUCAAAAAGGUUAUGAUGAACACCAACUUAGGAACGCUAAGGUUUCCAUGGAUAAUAUGUUUUAUGUUGUGUUCACAAAACCCCAUGAUGAAAAUACCUCCAAGAAAGUUAAGAACAAGGAUGACAAAACUUAGAUUCUUGCUUUGUGCCUAGCUAAGGGCGUAAAACUAUAACGCUUGUUGGGAGGUAACCCAAUGAAUAAAAUUUAUUUUUGCUUUUUUCUUUCUGUUCUUGAGUGUUUACACAAUUAUUAUACUAUUAUGAUUGUGUUUUUUGUGUUUUAAUUAGUGUUUGUGCCAAGUAAAGCCUUUAGGAUCUUCUUGGGUGAUAGUUGUUUGAUCUUGCUGAAAAAUAGAAACUUUUGCGCUCACGAAAACAAUUCUCAUUUUUUACCAAAGCGUGAUAAAAUACCAAUUCCAAUUGCAGUAGAUCAAUAUACAAAUUGCUCAGGUCGUCCUAAUUUUUCAGAAUUUUUGGAGUUCCAGAAGUUUUCAAAAUUGUCAGAUUGCUACAGACUGUUCUGUUUUGACAGAUUCUGUUUUCUUUCCGUUGUGUGCUUAUUUUGAUGGCUCUAUGGUUUUGUUUGAUGAGUUUUUGCCAUAGAAAAGUUGGAAUACAGUAGAUAUAAUGCAAAAAAUAUGAAUUUUUUUGGUACAGUACUUAUAGUAGUGAUUUGCUUUCUUUUACUAAUGGAUCUCAUAAAGGUUUUGUUGAGUUCUGUGUGAUUGAAGUUUCCAAGUUUUGGGUUAUCUUACGAAGGAUGAAGGAAUAAAGGAUAGAAGAGCCUAAGAUUGGGGAUGCCCCGAUAUCCCAAGCUAUUAUCCAAAAAUGAGCAACCAAUUAAGCUUGGGGAUGCCCCCGAGUGGCAUCCCCUCUUUCUUCUAACGACCAUCGGUAUUUUACUCGAAGCUAUAUUUUUAUUCGUCACAUAAUAUGUGUUUUGCUUGGAGCGUCUUGUAUGAUAUGAGUCUUUGCUUGUUUUAUUUUGUGUUUUAAGUCUUGAUCCCUUGCUGGACACACCUAUUUGAGAGAGCCAAAUUUAUGUCAUGACUUGUUGGAAUUGCUCUCUCUAUGCUUCACUUAAAUUUCUAUGAGCAAUGGACUUGCUCUAGUGCUUCACUUAUAUCUUUUUGAGCAUGGUGUGCUUAGUAUUUUGAAGAUAUGCUCUCUUGCUUCACUUAGAUUUAUUUGAGAGUUAGUAAAAUUUUCAAGAAAUUCCCUCUUGCUUCACUUAAAUUAAUUUGAGAGAAAGAAAGAAAUUUUAUGCUCAUGAUCUUCACUUAUAUUUGUUGAGCUUAUGAAAAGCAACACAUGAAAAUUAGUCCCAAAGUGAUAGAUAUCCAAGAAGGAUAUAAUAAAAAAAUUCAUGAAGAUCAUUGGACAAAAUAAAUUUGAUUCUUAGUAAUAGUUUUGACAUAUGAUGAUGUGAUAUGUGAGUUAUGUUGAUGAGUAAUUAUGCUUUAGUAAGAAUAUUGGUGUUAAGGUUUGUGAUUUCCUAUGCAAGUACGAAAGUCAAUAGUCAUGCAAUGAAAUUAUAUCCUACUUGUGGUGCAUUAUUCGGUGUUAUUUAUGCUUAAUGCUUGCUUAUGAGAUUAUUCGUUUCUUGGUUGGUCACUUCUCGAUCUUUUGCUAGCCUUCAUUUUGCACCAAGUAUGAUCUCUACUUGUGCAGCCAAAAACCCUUAAAACCAGUUUUGCCACAUGAGUCCACUAUAUCUACCUAUAUGCGGUAUUCUUUUGCCGUUCUAAGCAAAUUUGUAUGUGCCACCUCUAAUUUUCAACCAUCAACACUUGAUGUUAUUUCUUGAUUUCUACCUUCGCGGAUUUCAGCAUCGCGAAGAGCUUGGGAAUCGUUUUCGUCAUCCCUUGCAUAUUAUAGUUCAUCACAAAGUUCUAAUAACUUGGUAAUAGUGAUUAGAGAACUCUGUCGAUCACUAUCUUAUCUGGAAGAUUAACUCCCACUUUAUUUAAGCGAUUGUAGUACCCAGACAUUCUGAGCACAUGCUCACUGCCUGAGCUAUUCUCCUCCAUCUUGUAGGCAAAGUACUUGUCAGAGGUCUCAUACCUCUCGACACGGGCAUGAGUUUGAAAUACCAAUUUCAGCUCUUGGAACAUCUCAUAUGCUCCGUGGCGUUCAGAACGUUUUUGAAGUCUCAGUUCUAAGUCAGUAAGCAUGGCAUACAAACUAUCAAGUAGUCAUCAUACCGAGCAUGUCAAACGUUCAUAACCUCUGCUUCUGCACCUGCAAUAGAUCUGUCACUUAGCGGUGCAUCAAGCACAUAAUUCUUCUGUGCAGCAAUGAGGAUAAUCAUCAGAUCACGGACCCAGUCCGCAUCAUUGCUACUAUCAUCUUUCAACUUAGUUUUCUCUAGGAACAUAUCAAAAAUAUAUAGGAGCUAUAUUGCGAGCUAUUGAUCUACAACAUAGAUAUGCAAAACUAUCAGGACUAAGUUCAUGAUAAAUUAAGUUCAAUUAAUCAUAUUACUUCAGAACUCCCACUUAGAUAGACAUCCCUCAAGUCAUCUAAAUGAUACGUGAUCCAAAUCAACUAAACCAUGUCCGAUCAUCACGUGAGAUGGAGUAGUCAUCAAUGGUGAACAUCUCUAUGUUGAUCAUAUCUACUAUAUGAUUCACACCCUUUCGGUCUUGUCAGGACCCUAAUUCCAAGUCACAUCGAUCUAGCCGGUAACACCUCAUAUCACUUUGCGGCCUCACGCACGGUAUUCCCACGGGUGUCGCCUUACCAUGUCCCGGGACCAUUUGCGCCUUUUGGCUCACGUAUAUGAUAGUGUCACUAGCAUCCAUAUGACAGAGAACCCGGGCCGACAUGACUAGUCGUGAACCCAAAGUGGCACUAACUUAUGGGGACAGACAUACAUGAAUCAACAUCGAGCAUGUCGGUCAGCAGCGUGUGAAUCCGGGCUGUAGCACUAGGCUAACAGGACUGCGGUGAACCGGGCUGUAGCAGGCUAGGCAGGACUCCGGAUGUCACCGCGUGACAUUUCCCCGAAGGGACAGACACAGGAACGAAGUGAAUCACAUGCCGGCCAGUCAAGUGUUCCGGAGCAGUAGUGCUAGGCUAGCAGGACUCCGGUGAACCGGGCUGUAGCGGACUACUAUAGCUCAUAGAAGCACAAGACUACAUUUCCCCAUAAGAGAGGCUACCAAGGAUAAAAAACUAGGUUGUCGGAUCCCACACAUACCAAGCAUUUCAAUCAUACACACAAUAUGCUCGAUAUGUGUAAAUACAACAUGGCAUCACAACAUAACUCUACGACUUAAGUAUUUAUUCAUUAGGCUCCGAGAAACCAAGUAUUACAAACAUGGUCUCAUGACCCAACAUACAGAGCAUACAAGCAACAAGCACAUGCGGAAGCUUAACAUGUCUGAGUACAGACAUCUACAAAUGAAAAAGGCUGAGAAGCCUGACUAUCUACAAGAUCCUACUGAGGGCACAAGAUCGUAGCUGAGGUAACAAGCUAAACGUCGAAGUCCACAUGGAACUACUAGCAAGACUGACGUCUCUCUGCAAAACAUAAAAUAGGCAAACAUGAGUACAAAUGUACCCAGCAAGACUUACAUCAGAACUAUCUACAUAUGCAUCAGUAUCAAAAGGGGGUGGUGGAGUUUAACUACAGCAAGCCAGCUUUGACUCGGUGGCUAUCCUGAACUACGAAUGCUGGUAACUCUUUUGAGGUGGCGCACACGAGUCCACAUAUUCACCAUAUCAAUACACCACUAUGGAUCCGCUCCCUUCUCCCUACGAGAAGGCCAUCCAUAGCACUCACGCUUAUCUUGCGAGUUUUAGAGUAUCCACUUUCACUUGUCUAUGAACUGUACAGGCAACCCAGAAGUCCUUUACCGCGGACACGGCUAUUCGAAUAGAUGAUGUUAACCCUGCAGGGGUGUACUUCUUCACACACGCUCCCACCACUUACCGUCGUUUACACGACAUGUACUCGGCAACCUUCAAGCGGAAGCCCAACGCGGGUGUCGGCCACGGCCUACCUAAACACUCAAGUCUCUAGUCCAGGUUUAUCGCCUAUUCAGGUUCCAUCCGCAGGGAGUCCGGCCGAGGUUUCCACAUACGGCCCCGAACGAUGUGUACAGGGUUCCGCGACACCAAACGGGCGCCCGGUAUACCCGGCCACGUGCCUACCGCAUCACAGCCCACCCCUCGGGUCAGCGCUGCGCACGGCCUCCAGCAUACUACAAACACCAGAAACUACUUGCAACUCCUGGACAGAGGACAAGGGUGGUUAAGAAGCCGAGAGGGUCCAUUGGUUUUGGGCCCAAUGCAUGGUAGUAGUUGUUCAUGGAUCACAAACACAGAACUCAGUUCCUGAGGAUGGUUUCAAUGAGACAACCCACCAUGUACUCCUACAUGGCCUCUCACCGCUACCUUUACCAAAUUGUGUUCACACACUUAGCUCACACACAGUAGGACAUGUUCAUCACCAUUCCAAUUCAUCCCCGAUGAAUCAGACCUGACUCAACUCAAGCAGUAGCAGGCAUGACAAACAAGCAUGAAUGAGUAGGCACAUCAGGGCUCAAACAACUCCUACUCAUGCUAGUGGGUUUCAUCUAUUUACUGUGGCAAUGACAUGUCAUGCAGAGGAAAAGGGGUUCAACUACCGCAGCAAGUAACAGAUGAAUCAUUGUUGUCCUAAUGCAGUAAAAGAGAGCAGGAGCGAGAGAGUGGGAUUGUAUCGGAAUGAACAAGGGGGUUUUGCUUGCCUGGCACUUCUGAAGAUAGUAUAGUUCUUCAUCGGUGUCAUCGAUCUCAUCGACGAAACCACGUCUAUCGAGAGGGGACAAAUACCGGCAACAGAGAAAGAAACACAAUCAAUGCAAUGCACAAUAUGAUGCAUGAUCAUGACAUGGUAAAAUGAGUGUGUUGGGCUAAUGCAACUACAACCAGAUGGGUUUGAGCUAUUUUGAACCAAAGAUUCAAAGUUCAAACUCAUUUGUGAUCUUAAAUAGUGCUUUAUCAUGUUUUGCACUAAACAUCAAGUUAACUUGUUUAAACAUGCAUGAAACCAGUACAAAAGGAUAGAUUGGAUUUUUCUGAUAAUUUUUCAUAUAUAACUUAUUUCAUUCUGAGCUACGGUUGAAUUUCUAUGAUUUUUAAAAGUUAGCACUAUUUUCUGGAAUUUCCUGGAUAAACUUAAAUCCAGAAAAUACUUUACUGCGUCAGCAUGACAUCAACAUGACGUCAGCGGGUCAACGGGGCUAGUCUAGGUCAAACCUGACCAGUAGGGCCCACUGGUCAGUGGCACAGAGUAAUCUACAGAGGCUGACACGUGGGACCAGGUCAAUGCUGACGUGGCUAGGUCAAACUGACCUGUGGGGCCACGGGCAUUAGCUUAAUCUAAGCAGGGGAUAAACCUGUGAUUAAUUAAGGGCGCGGGGCCCAUUUGUCAGUGGCAGAGGAUGUUAGUUAGCCCCGUCAUUAGUACUAAUGACGAUGCCACGUCGGCUGCCGCCGGGGUUGGUCGCCGGCGAGCACGCAGCACGGCGGAGGGCUUCGGGUUCGCGCUAUAGGGCACGGAUCGACGAGCGGUUUGUGGCUACGGGUUGCUGGCGCUUGCGCGCAUCCAUCGGAGUAGGCGGUUGGGCGAGAGGAGGCCGGAAACGACGGCUGCAACGAUGGCAGGCGGCGGCCGGAGUUCGGUUGCGCUCGGAACCGGCGUUGUGGUGCACGGUAGGUCGAGCGGUGGGGUGCUAGGUGCUCCUGCAAACGUGCUGAGGACGGUGACGCUCUCAGAUGCGGCGGAGGUGGGCUCUAGCCACAGCGGCGACGAAGCGCAACGGCGGCGAGCUUCGGUCGGGGUGGCCAAAGGGGCUAGUGGAGGAAAUCGACAGAGGGGAGAGAGGGGUUGGGAGCAGGGGCUCACGGCGAUGCCGAAGAGGAGGUCAGCGAGCCCGGGGAGGUCCUGGCGGCGCCGAAUCGACCGGAGGGAGCUCGGGUGCCCGAGGUUGAAGACGAGGCAGAAACGUCACUGUGGUGCUCUCGCGGUCGAACGGACUGGUGUAGACGACGAAGGAGACGACGCCAGUCCUUCUGGAUGCUUCGGCAAGGCGAUGGGUGGAUGGUGGCCACGGUGGUAGUGAACGGUGGCGACGGGCUCGCUUGGGUGGCUACGGGCGCGAGCGCUGGGGGGAGAGGGAGGAACCAGAGAGGGGGGAGAUGCAGGGGGUAUCGUGGCGCUCUUGGCGCCCUCCAGCAGCAGCGGCGGCAAGCAGGAGGUGGCCAGGCGCGUGGGCGCGCGCGGCAGGCCCACGCCCCUCGUCCUUCUGGCGAGAGGAGGGAGACGACUGGCAUCGGCCAGCUGGGCUGGGCCGGCUCCUGGGCCGCACAGGUAAGUGGCCCAGGUACUAACUCUCUCUCUCUCUCUCUCUGUGUUAUUUAAUUUGUUCUGUUUUUCUAUUUUUGCUAUUAUGUUUUGAUUUAGUUCAAAGACCAAACCAUUUUCAAAAUUCAUGAAAAUAAUUGUGUCAACUAAAUGGACUUAUCCAAAGCUACACAACAAUUUCCAGAAUUAUUGAACAUAUAUUUAUUAUAUAACAAAUAUAGAUCCAAUUCAAAUAUUUAUUGGAUUAAUUCAAAGGCCCAAAGUAAUUGUUUAUGAGAUUCUAGAAAUAUUGGUUUGAAUUUUAUCCCUUGCCAAUAUUUCCAGAGUUUAACAGGAACAUUUUCUUGGACUCAUUUGAUGAGAUUUAGAUGUUGGUCAUUUUUAGAGGUCUUCUGAGGCUUUUGAAAAUUCCUCAAUUCAAAUUUCAUUUGAAUUUAAACAUGAUGCUCACAUGAAGGGCUAGCCUAGUGUAUACGAGAACUAGGGAUGUGACAGCUCACCCCUACUAAACAAGAAUCUUGUCCCGAGAUUCAAGUCGCGAGGUAAGAAGACAGAGGGACACAAGCUACCACAAUCUUCACGAUCCAUAUGUCUUUCUCGAGGAUGUUGAUUCAUUGCAUCACCUUGAUCUCGACGUCUUGCUUUGAGAACUACAUCCAACAUGACAACGAGUAGAAAGGGAGAAUUUUAGAAGAAUCGAUCUUCCUGAGGUUGGAGCAACUUAGGAUCAUCUUAAUGAUCACAAGAUCAACUCAUGGAAUGAGACAUAGAAACAUCUCUGGAGCUGAGAGGCAAAACAUGCAUCAGGAGGGACGGAAGAAACAAUUUGACGAGGGUUUCAAAGUAGCGAGGAAAAAUUGCCAUGAUUUCAUAAUGGGGCACCUCACGAAAGGUGACUCGUGGAAUUAUUCCCUUAAGUGGCAAAAAGAAUUACUUUUGGUACAUAGAUCAUUGAAACCCUUUAUACCUGCCUAAGGCAAUCACAAUCGAUCGUUUGGUGGAGUUCGAAUGGAUGAUGUGGACUACCUAGUUGAAGACAACCCGAUGGAUGAUUUCUGCUUAUCAUCAGAAAUGGAAGGGACCCAUGGCAGACUAACACAAUCACGGGUGCAAGCUGGGAACAAAAUGCAAAUACUGGGAAUGACCCAACCAUCAUAUCUGCCUGAGAUUCAGAUCUGGUUGGUAACGGGAUAUUUCAAACAUCAUGUCUGGAGAAGAAAGUUUGCAACACAAACCAACGAGAUGACGUUGCGAGAUUCUCGGGAAAUGAACUACGAUAGCAAGCUCCAAAACAUGAGCUGGUUCUGCUACAAACCUGUGAACAUGCUGUCCAAAACAAGCAUGACCACGUAGUAGUCUUAUAAUAAAACACUACCGAGUUCAGGUGGGGAACCAUCAUCAAAGAUAUCGAAGUCCUUGUAUAAGCCCCGGGUCUUAAGAAGGAGCUUCUUUUCCUUGAACAAAUCAAUCAGUGGCUUGGUGUGCUACGGAAUACAUAUGGAGUGGAGGUAAUUAAUCUACCAAACCAUAGUAUACUUUGCACAUGCAUGACUGACUUGGGAUGGUACCAGAGGAAACAAAAACAAUCUUUCUCGAACUCACGGCGGCAACUUGCACCAAAUGCACAUGAAUUCGAGGAGGUCACUUCUUCCAUCCAAGUAUAAGCUUCAUGAACGGAACACGAAGGCAUUGCUUACAAAGUUUCCAACACUAGGUUGAUGUUCAACGUGAAUCUUGGGUGAGACAAAAUGCUGCUGAUGGACUCAAUAGCAACUCAUCGGAAUUUCCAUAUCACUGGACUUCCACCAUCAUGUGAACACGGUGAUAGUAUUGGUCAGACCAAAAGAUGUAAUGGUGUAUGCUCGAGGGAUCAACCACGAGUAAGACAACAUUACAUACACCGUUGUUCUGAUUUGACUUGACGAUAGCCCAUACUCAAGUCAAAGUUUUGACAAGACAAUAGAUCCAAUAACUGAUCACGAGGACCAAUUGGUGAAGAUAUCAUCUUUCUUCAACACACACACAAACACAAAGAUAUCCCUUCAAAAAGAACCAAAUUCGGCAAAGCUUUUUAUCUUCCAACUCUCCAGGUUGUUGUUUAGCUUAACCAACUAGCUCAGGGGUAUCCAACACAGAUUCUUGGAGAAGGGGUGGUUUAGAGGAAAACCAACUUGAUCACGAACUCAACAUAGCGGUCAGGUGACAACCUGGUAACACUUCCGAGAAGAUAUUCAGAAAAUUACGAACCACCGAUAUGUUACUAAGCUCGAGAACAAUCUUGCUUUUCAGAGCAAGACGAUAUGACCAAAUAAGCAAGGGAUUGAAUAAUCCUCACUCAUUGAUCGAGGAGUGCACCAGAAAUAAGGACUAGGUAGCACAAUCUAUCCUAGAACAGUGAUUCGAUAUCCAACACGAUAAGAAUGAGAGUAUUGUCCAUUAACUACCAAGCAAUGGACUUGCUAGGAGUAUUGAUUUCAUGCAUCACAGUUCACUUGUCGGCAUUCUGGUUACAAUAACACGGAACCGAGGAAUGAAGCAAUGAUGGCGAGAAGUAUCACCGUGUCAAGAAUCCAUAAGAGACGGUGCAAUUCCUAUGACAUUCUUGACAUAAAUAGGGUAAUACUCCAAUGUAGAACAGAACAAUAGCUGGAUUGGCAUUUUGAUCUGCAGAACACAACUACUUUGACCCAAUCCUGGAGUUUUUUUUCUCCUAGUCAUUCCGGAAUAGAAUGGCUUGACGGACCACAAGUAUAAUAGGCAUCGAUGAACACGAUCGCACACAUACUCUAGACUAUCGAUUGAUAGACAAUGGUCAGAAUACAAGUAAAGAGUAACAACUCAAGGAACAUAUAUCUUUCUGAGUUGUGGAUGCAUAGAUUAGUACGUCGAGAAAAACUCAACAUUUCUUCCGGAUAACCCGUGCAGAACGGUAGAACUGGCAGAUUCACAAUGUAGGAUGGAGAACUCGUUAAGAGCACUCUGGUUGUGAUCUUUUGGUUCAAAGAACUUCUGCCAUAAGCGGUUCAUGGUAAUUGGAAGAAGGAUGUACCACGAACCUCGAGGACUAUCGCAAAGGUUACUAAUAUCCUAAAGAAACUAGCAACACUAUCAACAUGAGGUAAGUAGGGUGAAUCUCGGGUUCAAGAACCCAGGAAUAGAAUACCUACUAACUAAUAACAUCACGGGAUGCUUUUGAGAAUGAUGGCCAUAAUCAUCACAUAGGGAACACAAAACAUGGUAGAUUACUAGGUGAUCCUGACACCUAGGGUCAUAAUAAUAGCUCCAACCUAUAUACUGAGGCAGUGAAGCACCUCAACUCACUGGUUUAAUGUGGUUGAUCUGGCCCAAAAGGACAUCGGGAACGGGGAGGAAGGCUUUGCAAAUGCAUCAGAUUGUUUAGAGACCUAGGAUGACUCGGACAGCAUAACGGCUGUAAAUGCUCAAAAAGAUUUGAGACAUCCUGCAAAAUAGCGGCAUGACCACUCAACAUCACAAUAUCAAGGUUCCGAGAUCAACUAUCAACACAUGGAAGUAGUAGAAACUAAACUGAGGCUUGAGACCAACAAUCCUACGAGUCUAUGGAUUAGUAACACGUGAUCCUGAUAGAAAGAUGAGAAGCCUAGUUCUUAAUCCCCGUAGAAGAGAAGAGGAUGACUCAGAUCAGAAGGGCAUAAGGUAAAGGAGUAAAAAGAGCAUUACGUUCCGUCCCACAAUCAAUUCCCCUACAUAUAACUAAAGCAUUUCUAGACUCAACUUCGACCAGUUUGGCUUGGUAAUCCUACAGGCAGUCAGGCUCUGAUACCAAAGCUGUCAGGACCCCGAUUCCAAGUCACAUCGAUCUAGCCGGUAACACCUCAUAUCACUUUGCGCCCUCACGCACGAUAUUCCCACGGGUGUCGCCUUACCAUGGCCCGGGACCGUUUGCGCCUUUUGGCUCACGUAUAUGAUAGUGUCGCUAGCAUCCAUAUGACAGAGAACCCGGGCCGACAUGACUAGUCGUGAACCCAAAGUGGCACUAACUUAUGGGGACAUGCAUACAUGAAUCAACAUCGAGCAUGUUGGUCAGCAGCGUGCGAAUCCGGGCUAUAGCACUGGGCUAACAGGACUCCGGUGAACCGGGCUGUAGCAGGCUAGGCAGGACUCCGGAUGUCACCGCGUGACAUUUUCCCGAAGGGACAGACACAGGAACGAAGUGAAUCACAUGCCAGCCAGUCAAGGGUUCCGGAGCAGUUGUGCUGGGCUAGCAGGACUGCGGUGAACCGGGCUGUAGCAGGCUAGGCAGGACUUCGGAUGUCACCGCGUGACAUUUCCCUGAAGGGACAGACACAGGAACGAAGUGAAUCACAUGCCGGCCAGUCAAGUGUUCCGGGGCAGUAGUGCUAGGCUAGCAGGACUCCGGUGAACCGGGCUGUAGCGGACUACUAUAGCUCAUGGAAGCACAAGACUACAUUUCCCCAUAAGAUAGGCUAUCAAGGAUAAACAACUAGGUUGUCGGAUCCCACACAUACCAAGCAUUUCAAUCAUACACACAAUAUGCUCGAUAUGUGUAAAUACAACAUGGCAUCACAACAUAACUCUACGACUCAAGUAUUUAUUCAUUAGGCUCCGAGAAGCCAAGUAUUACAAACAUGGUCUCACGACCCAACAUACAGAGCAUACAAGCAACAAGCACAUGCGGAAGCUUAACAUGUCUGAGUACAGACAUCUACAAAUGAAAAAGGCUGAGAAGCCUGACUAUCUACAAGAUCCUGCUGAGGGCACAAGAUCGCAGCUGAGGUAACAAGCUAAACGUCGAAGUCCACACGGAACUACUAGCGAGACUGACGUCUCUCUGCAAAACAUAAAAUAGGCAAACGUGAGUACAAAUGUACCCAGCAUGACUUACAUCAGAACUAUCUACAUAUGCAUCAGUAUCAAAAGGGGGUGGUGGAGUUUAACUACAGCAAGCCAGCUUUGACUCGGUGGCUAUCCUGAACUAUGAAUGCUGGUAACUCUUUUGAGGUGGCGCACACGAGUCCACAUAUUCACCAUAUCAAUACACCACUAUGGAUCCGCUCCCGUCUCCCUACGAGAAGGCCAUCCAUAGCACCCACGCUUAUCUUGCGAGUUUUAGAGUAUCCACUUUCACUUGUCUAUGAACUGUACAGGCAACCCAGAAGUCCUUUACGGCGGACACGGCUAUUCGAAUAGAUGAUGUUAACCCUGCAGGGGUGUACUUCUUCACACACGCUCUCACCACUUACCGCCAUUUACACGACAUGUACUCGGCAACCUUCAAGCGGAAGCCCAACGAGGGUGUCUGCCACGGCCUACCUAAACACUCAAGUCUCUAGUCCAGGUUUAUCGCCUAUUCAGGUUCCAUCCGCAGGGAGUCCGGCCGAGGUUUCCACAUACGGCCCCGAACGAUGUGUACAGGGUUCCGCGGCACCAAACGGGCGCCCGGUAUGCCCGACCACGUGCCUACCGCAUCACAGCCCACCCCUCGGGUCAGCGCUACGCACGGCUCCAGCAUACUACAAACACCAGAAACUACUUGCAACUCCUGGAUAGAGGACAAGGGUGGUUAAGAAGCCGAGAGGGUCCAUUGGUUUCGGGCCCAAUGCAUGGUAGUAGCUGUUCAUGGAUCACAAACACAGAACUCAGUUCCUGAGGAUGGUUUCAAUGAGACAACCCAACAUGUACUCCUACAUGGCCUCUCACCGCUACCUUUACCAAAUCGUAUUCACACACUUAGCUCACACACAGUAGGACAUGUUCAUCACCAUUCCAAUUCAUCCCCGAUGAAUCAGACCUGACUCAACUCAAGCAGUAGCAGGCAUGACAAACAAGCAUGAAUGAGUAGGCACAUCAGGGCUCAAACAACUCCUACUCAUGCUAGUGGGUUUCAUCUAUUUACUGUGGCAAUGACAGGUCAUGCAGAGGAAAAGGGGUUCAACUACCGCAGCAAGUAACAGAUGAAUCGUUGUUGUCCUAAUGCAGUAAAAGAGAGCAGGAGCGAGUGAGUGGGAUUGUAUCGGAAUGAACAAGGGGUUUUUGCUUGCCUGGCACUUCUGAAGAUAGUAUAGUUCUUCAUCAGUGUCAUCGAUCUCAUCGACGAAACCACGUCUAUCGAGAGGGGACAAAUACCGGCAACAGAGAAAGAAACACAAUCAAUGCAAUGCACAAUAUGAUGCAUGAUCAUGACAUGGUAAAAUGAGUGUGUUGGGCUAAUGCAACUACAACCAGAUGGGUUUGAGCUAUUUUGAACCAAAGAUUCAAUGUUCAAACUCAUUUGUGAUCUUAAAUAGUGUUUUCACAUGUUUUGCACUAAACAGCAAGUUAACUUGUUUAAACAUGCAUGAAACCGGUACAGAUGGAUAGAUUGGAUUUUUCUGAUAAUUUUUCAUAUAUAACUUAUUUCAUUCUGAGCUACGGUUGAAUUUCUAUGAUUUUUAGAAGUUAGCACUAUUUUCUGGAAUUUCCUGGAUAAACUUAAAUCCAGAAAAUGCUUUACUGCGUCAGCAUGACAUCAACAUGACGUCAGCGGGUCAACGGGGCUAGUCGAGGUCAAACCUGACCAGUAGGGCCCACUAGUCAGUGGCACAGAGUAAUCUGCAGAGGCUGACACGUGGGACCGGGUCAAUGCUGACGUGGCUAGGUCAAACUGACCUGUGGGGCCACGGGCAUUAGCUUAAUCUAAGCAGGGGAUAAACCUGUGAUUAAUUAAGGGCGUGGGGCCCAUUUGUCAGUGACAGAGGACGUUAGUUAGCCCCGUCAUUAGUACUAAUGACGAUGCCACAUCGGCUGCCACCGGGGUUGGUCGUCGGCGAGCACGCAGCACGGCGGAGGGCUUCGGGUUCGCGCUAUAGGGCACGGAUCGACGAGCGGUUUGUGGCUACGGGUUGCUGGCGCUUGCACGCAUCCAUCGGAGUAGGCGGUUGGGCGAGAGGAGGCCAGAAACGACGGCUACAACGAUGGCAGGCGGCGGCCGGAGUUCGGUUGCGCUCGGAACCGGCGUUGUGGUGCACGACAGGUCGAGCGGUGGGGUGCUAGGUGCUCCUGCAAAUGUGCUGAGGACGGUGACGCUCUCAUACGCGGCGGAGGUGGGCUCUAGCCACGGUGGCGACGAAGCACAACGGCGGCGAGCUUCGGUCGGGGUGGCCAAAGGGGCUAGAGGAGGAAAUCGAUAGAGGGGAGAGAGGGGUUGGGAGCAGGGGCUCACGGCGAUGCCGAAGAGGAGGUCAGCGAGCCCGGGGAGGUCCUGGCGGUGCCGAAUCGACCGGAGGAGAGCUCGGGUGCCCGAGGUUGAAGACGAGGCAGAAACGUCGCUGUGGUGCUACCGCGGUCGAACGAACUGGUGUAGACGACGAAGGAGACGACGCCAGUCCUUCUGGAUGCUUCGGCAAGGCGAUGGGUGGACGGUGGCCACAGUGGCAGUGAACAGCGGCGACGGGCUCGCUUGGGUGGCUGCGGGCGCGAGCGCUGGGGGGAGAGGGAGGAACCAGAGAGGGGGGAGAUGCAGGGGGUGUCGUGGCGCUCUUGGCGCGCUCCAGCAGCAGCAGCGGCAAGCAGUAGGUGGCCAGGCGCGUGGGCGCGCGCGGCGGGCACACGCCCCUCGUCCUUCUGGUGAGAGGAGGGAGACGACUGGCAUUGGCCAGCUGGGCUGGGCCGGCUCCUGGGCCGCACAGGUAAGUGGCCCAGGUACUAACUCUCUCUCUCUCUGUUAUUUAAUUUGUUCUGUUUUUCUAUUUUUGCUAUUAUGUUUUGAUUUAGUUCAAAGACCAAACCAUUUUGAAAAUUCAUGAAAAUAAUUGUGUCAACUAAAUGGACUUAUCCAAAGCUACACAACAAUUUCCAGAAUUACUGAACAUAUAUUUAUUAUAUAACAAAUAUAUAUCCAAUUCAAAUAUUUAUUGGAUUAAUUCAAAGGCCCAAAAUAAUUGUUUAUGAGAUUCUAGAAAUAUUGGUUUGAAUUUUAUCCCUUACCAAUAUUUCCAGAGAUUAACAGGAACAUUUUGUUGGACUCAUUUGAUGAGAUUUAGAUGUUGGUUAUUUUUAGAGGUCUUCUGAGGCUUUUGAAAAUUCCUCAAUUCAAAUUUCAUUUGAAUUUAAACAUGAUGCUCACAUGAAGGGCUAGCCUAGUGUAUACCAGAACUAGGGAUGUGACAGGUCUCCAGUGUUCCAAGGCCAUGUCUAUACAUGCCAGGCUCGUCAAGUUUAACCCGAGUAUUCCGCAUGUGCAAAACUGGCUUGCACCCGUUGUAUGUGAACGUAGAGCCUAUCACACCCGAUCAUCACGUGGUGUCUCAACACGACGAACUGUCGCAAUGGUGCAUACUCAGGGAAAACACUUAUACAUUGAAAUUUUGUUAAGGGAUAAUCUUAUAAUGCUACCGCCGUACUAAGCAAAAUAAGAUGCAUAGAAGAUAAACAUCACAUGCAAUCAAAAUAUGUGACAUGAUAUGGCCAUCAUCAUCUUGUGCCUUUGAUCUCCAUCUCCAAAGCACCGUCAUGGUCUCCAUCGUCACCUGUUUGACACCUUCAUCUCCAUCGUAGCAUCGUUGUCGUCUUGCCAACUAUUGCUUCUACAACUAUCGCUAACACAUAGUGAUAAAAUAAAACAAUUACAUGGCGUUUGCAUUUCAUACAAUAAAGCGACAACCAUAAGGUUCCUGCCAGUUGCCGAUAACUUUUACAAAACAUGAUCAUCUCAUACAAUAACGUAUAUCACAUCAUGUCUUGACCAUAUCACAUCGCAACAUGCCCUGCAAAAACAAGUUAGAUGUCCUCUACUUUGUUGUUGCAAGUUUUACGUGUCUGCUACGGGCUUCUAGUAAGAACCGUUCUUACCUACGCAUCAAAACCACAACGGUGAUUUAUCAAGUUUGCUGUUUUAACCUUCAACAAGGAUCGGCCGCAGUCAAAUUCGAUUCAACUAAACUUGGAGAAACAGACACCCGCCAGCCACCUUUAUGCAAAACUAGUUGCAUGUCUAUCGGUGGAACCGGUCUCAUGAAUGUGGUCAUGUAAGGUUGGUCCGGGCCGCUUCAUCCAACAAUACCGUCGAAUCAAAAUAAGACAUUAGUGGUAAGCAGUAUGACGAUCACCGCCCACAACUCUUUGUGUUCUACUCGUGCAUAUCAUCUACGCAUAGACCUAGCUCGGAUGCCACUGUUGGGGAAAGUAGCAUGCAAUUUCAAAAAAAUUCCUACGCUCACGCAAAAUCUAUCUAGGAGAUGCAUAGCAAUAAGAGGGGGAGAGUGUGUCCACAUACCCUCGUAGACCGAAAGCGGAAGUGUUUGACAACGCGGUUGAUGUAGUCGAACUUCUUAUCGUUCCGACCGAUCAAGCACUGAACGUACGACACCUCCAAGUUCUCUACACGUUCAGCUCGAUGACGUCCCCUCGAACUCUUGAUCUAGCAAAGUGUCGAGGUUGAGUUUCGUCAGCACGAUGGUAUGGUGACGGUGAUGGUGAAGUGAUCCGUGCAGGGCUUCGCCUAAGCACUACGACAAAUAUGACCGGAGGCGUAAACUGUGCAGGGGGCGCCACACACGGCUAACAGAUGUUUGUGUGUCUUCUAGGCGCCCCCUCCCCACAUAUACAUAGGUUUGAGAGGGGAAGAGGCAGCAGGGGGGCGUCCAAGUAGGCCAAAUCCUACUUGGGCUCCCACCCCAAUUCGCCCCCUCCUUGUUUUGGCACUAGGAGAAGGAAGGGGGAGGUGGCGCCCCCCUUUCCUUUCUCCCUUUAGAAGGGGAAGGAAAGAGGGGCUAGUCCUCCUCCCUUGCCUUCCCUAGGGCUGGCCGGCCUAGUGGAGGGGCGCACCAGCCCCCUGUGGGCUGGUCUGUCCCUCCCUAGGCCCAUUAAGCCCAUAUAGCUUGCCGGGGGUUGCCCCGAACCCCUUCCGGUGACCCGAUACGUACCCGGUACCCCCAGAACACUUCCAGUGUCCAAAUACUAUCGUCCUAUAUAUGAAUCUUUACCUCUUGACCAUUUCGAGACUCCUCGUCAUGUCCGUGAUCUCAUCCAGGACUCCGAACAACAUUCAGUCACCAAAUCACAUAACUCAUAUAAUACAAAUCGUCAUUGAACAUUAAGCGUGCGGACCCUACGGGUUCAAGAACUAUGUAGACAUGACCGAGACACCUCUCUGGUCAAUAACCAACAGUGGAACCUGGAUGCUUACAUAUUCUACGAAGAUCUUUAUCAGUCAAACCGUACUGACAACAUACGUUAUUCCCUUUGUCAUCGAUAUAUUACUUGCCCGAGAUUCGAUCAUCGGUAUCUUCAUACCUAGUUCAAUCUCGUUACCAGCAAGUCUCUUCACUCAUUCCGUAAUGCAUCAUCCCGCAACUAACUCAUUAGUCACAUUGCUUGCAAGGCUUAUCAUGAUGUGCAUUACCGAGAGGGCCCAGAGAUACCUCUCCGAUACUCGGAGUGAGAAAUCCUAAUCUCGAUCUAUGCCAACCCAAUAAACACCUUCGGAGAUACCUGUAGAGCAUCUUUAUAAUCACCCAGUUAUGUUGUGACGUUUGAUGGAACACAAGGUAUUCCUCCGGUAUUCGGGAGUUGCAUAAUCUCAUAGUCAAAGCAAUAUGUAUAAGUCAUGAAGAAAGCAAUAGCAAUAAAACUUAACGAUUAACAUGCUAAGCUAACAGAUGGGUCUUGUCCAUCACAUCAUUCUCCUAAUGAUGUGAUCCCGUUAUCAAAUGACAACACAUGUCUAUGGUUAGGAAACUUAACCAUCUUUGAUUAACGAGUUAGUCUAGUAGAGGCUUACUAGGGACUCGGUGUUUUGUCUAUGUAUCCACACAUGUAUCUAGUUUCCGGUUAAUACAAUUCUAGCAUGAAUAAUAAAUAUUUAUCAUGAUAUAAGGAAAUAUAAAAUAACAACUUUAUUGUUUCCUCUAGGGCAUAUUUCCUUCAAUAAAUUCCUUGGAAAGUGUUGGUUUGGAAGGCACCCGUCGAUAUGGCUAGCUAUGGAUUGAAAGAAUGGCGGAAAAAGGAAUAAACUUUAUUUAUGUUUGAGAAACACCUAUGAUGUAUCUAGCAUGGGAAGUAUUGGGAAUUACUUGAUCGUUUUGUUGACGGGAAAAGCAUGCCUCUCAAAAUAUUUUAUCUCUCAAUUUAAGCUUUGAGCUCUGGCACCUCUACAAAUGUCUGUUUCCUCUUCGAAGGGCCUAUCUAUUUCCUUUAUACAAUUUUUAUUUUUAAUUGAGUCUCCAUCUUCUCUUAUAAAGCACCAACUAGGGAGCACUAUGAUCAUACUUGUGCAUUGGAUGUAGCUAAUAUUCGAAUGUGUUUCGUGAAUGGAUCAAUGAUAGAGCAUGAUGGGCUAGGGAUAGCUUCCUUUAGUGUUGAUAUUUUGAAAGACGUAGUUGCUUAUUGUUAUGCUUGAGUAUUGAAGUCUUCAUGUCAAAUGUAGACUAUUGUCUUGAACCAUCUAAAAUUACAAAUGUCCAUGCUACAAAAGAAAAGAAUAUGUGAUGAACAUGUUAGGCAUCAUUCCACAUCAAAAAUUCUGUUUUUAUCAUUUACCUACUCGAGGACAAGCAUGAAUUAAGCUUGGGGAUGCUGAUAUGUCUCCAACGUAUCUAUUAUUUUUAUUGUUCCAUGCUGUUAUAUUAUCAUUCUUGGAUGUUUUACAAUCAUUUUAUAGCAACUUUAUAUCAUUUUUUGGGACUAACCUAUUGACAUAGUGCCCAGUGCCAGUUGCUGUUUGUUGCUUGGCUUUUACUUCGUAGAAUAUCAGUACCAAACGAAGUCCAAAUGCCAUGAAACUUUUUGGAGAUUUUCUUGGACCAGAAGACAACUUGGGAGGCAAGGAAGCACCUGAGGGAGGCCCAUGGGGCCCACCACCCACCAGGGCGCGCCAGAGGCCCCUGGCACACCUUGAUGGGUGGUGGGGCCUAUGGAGGUCUCCUCCAUCGCCUCUUAGCUCUAUAAAUACUCAGAUAUUCCAGAAAUCCUAGGGCCCUUUUCCGGCACUCAUCUCUAUAAAUACUCAGAUAUACGACGAAACACAAUUCAAGCCGCCGCAAGUUCUAGAACCACGAGAUCCAAUCUAGACCCCUUUUCCGGCGCUCCGCAGGAGGGGAACACGAUCACGGAGGGGUUCAUCAUCCUCAUUGGUUCUCCUCCGAUGAUGCGUGAGUAGUUCACCAUAGACCUACGAGUCUGUAGGCAGUAGCUAGAUGGCUUCUUGUCUCUUUUUUAUUCUCAAUACAAUGUUCUCCUCGAUGUUCUUGGAGAUCUAUUUGAUGUAAUGACUUUUUGCGGUGUGUUUGUUGGGAUCCGAUGAAGUUCGAGUUUAUGAUCAGAUCUAUCCAUGAAUAUUAUUUGAGUCUUCUUUGAUCUCUCAUAUGCAUGAUUGUUAUAGCCUCUUAUUUCUUCUCCAAAUCCUUGGUUUAGUUAGACCAACUAGAUUGAUUUUUCUUGCAAUGGGAAGAGGUGCUUUGUGAUGGGUUCGGUCUUGCGGUGUCCUCACCCAGUGACAGAAGGGGUAGUGUGGCACGCAUGUAUUGUUGCUAUUAAGGAUAAAAAGAUGGGGUCUAUUCCUACAUGAAUAGAUCUUGUCUACAUCAUGUCAUCGUUCUUAUUAUAUUAUUCCGUUUCUCCAUGAACUUAAUACACUAGAUGCAUGCUAGAUAGCGGUCGAUGUGUGGAGUAAUAGUAGUAGAUGCAUAAUCGUUUCGGUCUACUAAUCUUGGACGUGAUGCCUAUAUAGGCGAUCAUUGCCUUGGAUAUUGUCAUAGUUAUUUGUUCUUCUAUUAAUUUCCCAACAGUAAUUUGUUUACCCACCGUAUGCUAUUUUCUCGAGAGAAGCCACUAGUGAAAUCUACGGCCCCCGGGUCUAUCUUUUAUCAUUUUAUUUUCAGAUCUAUUAUUCCAAAAACCCAAAAAUAUCUUGAUGCACUUUUUCUUUAUUUAUUUUAUUUUUGUUUUACUCACAUCUAUUUAUCCAAUCUCAUACAAUUUAAUCUAUCUUUUUACCGAGGAGGGAUUGACAACCCCUCUUACGUGUUGGGUUGCAAGGAUUUGUUCUUUGUGUGAAGGUACCGUUUACGUAGUGUUGGUUGGUUCUCCUACUGAUUGAUAACCUUGGUUUCAUAACUAAGGGAAAUACUUGUUGUAGCUGUGCUGCAUCAUCCCUUCCUCUUUGGGGAAAUACCAAUGCAGAUCUAAGCCACGUCAGAUAUGUGUUUUGCUUGGAGCGUCUUGUAUUAUAUGAGUCUUUGCUUUAUUUGCUUUUUAGUUUGCCAUAAUCAUCCUUGCUGGACACACCUUUUGAGAGGGACACACAUUAAUCAUGAAUUUGUUAGAAUACUCUAUGUGAUUCACUUAUACUUUUUGAGCUAGGUAGUUCCUCUAGUGCUUCACUUAUAUCUUUUUAGAGCACGUCGAUGGUUAUAUUUUAAAGAAAUUGAUGAACUCUCAUGCUUCACUUAUAAUAUUUUGAGAGUCUUAUAAAUAGUAUGGCAAUUUGCUUGGGUUAUGAAUUUAGUCCUAAUAUGAUGGGUAUUCAAGAGGGAUAUAAUAAAAACUUUCAGGAACAUCAUUGAAUAUAUGAGAAGGUUGAUUCCUUGCAUUUGUUUUGAGAUAUAAAGAUGGUGAUAUUAGAGUCAUGCUAGUUACUAAUUUUGGUUUAGUAAGAAUAUUUGUGUUAAGGUUUGUGAUUCUCGAAGCAUGCACGUAUGGUCUCUUGUUAUGCUAUGAAAUUUGAGCAUGAUUUAGUAUUGAUUGUCAUCCUUUGCAUGGAGGUUGGGAGCAUGUGAUGGUUAACUCCUACCAACCUCUCCCCUAGGAGCAUGCAUAGUAGUACUUUACUUCGAGGGCUAACAAACUUUUGCAAUAAGUAUGUGACUUCUUUAUGACUAAUGUGAGUCCAUGGAUUAUACACCCUCUCACCUUUCCGCAUUUUGCUAGCCUCUUUGGUACCGUGCAUUGCCCUUUCUCACCUUGAGUUGUGGUGCAAACUUCGUCGGUCCAUCUAAACACCGUGAUAUGAUACGCUCUUCCACACAUAAGCCACCUUAUAUCUUUCUCAAAACAGCCACGAUACCUACCUAUUAUGGCAUUUCCAUAGCCACUCCGAGAUAUAUUGCCAUGUAACUUCCACCGUUCCGUUUUAUUAUGACAUAUAUCAUCAUUGUCAUAUUGCUUUGCAUGAUCAUAUAGUUGACAUAGUAUUUGUGGCUUCGCCACCAUUCAUAUUUUUUAUACAUGUCACGCUAGAUCAUUGCACAUCCCAGUACACCGCCGGAGGCAUUCAUAUAGAGUCAUAUUUUUGUUCUAGUAUCGAGUUGUAAUUCUUGAGUUGUAAGUAAAUAAAAGUGUGAUGAUCAUCAUUAUUAGAGCAUGGUCCGAGGUGAGGAAAGGGUGAUGGAGACUAUGAUUCCCUUACAAGUCGGGGUGAGACUCCGGGCGUAAAAAAGAAAGAAAAAAGAGGCCGGAGCCCAAAGUAAAAAAAGAGAGGCCAAAGAGCCAAUGAAAAAGAAGAGAAAAAAUAAUAAAAAAUGUGAGAAAAAGAGAGAAGGGACAAUGUUACUAUCCUUUUCCACACUUGUGCUACAAAGUAGCACCAGGUUAUUCAUGAUAGAGAGUCUCCUAUUUUGUCACUUUCAUAUGUUACUAGCGGGAAUUAUUCAUUAUAGAACUUGGCUUGUAUACUCCAAUGAUGGGCUUCCUCAAAUGCCCGAGGUCUUCAUGAGGAAGCAAGUUUGAUGCAAACCCACUUAGAUUUAUUUUGAGUUCAUACACUUAUAGCUCUAGUGCAUCCGUUGCAUGGCAAAUCUUAUCAACGUUUCUAGCCAAAUCAUCAACUUUAACAAUUUUUAUUCUACCAUAGCAUUUCUCCAAAGAGCUAUAAGCGUAUGAAAGCUCAAAAGAAAACUAAGUGGGUGUGCAUCACUACAGGAAUCAGGCACUUUGCCGUCUACCUUGGCUGACGGCAAAGGCAUGCUUGGCGGACGGCAAAGGCCUUUACCGUCAGCCAGCAGACGGCAACAGGUCCGGCUGAAUAAGCUACGGCAAAGGGCACUUUGCCAUUUGCUGGUGGACAGCAAAGAUGAAAUGGUCUUUGUCGUCUGCCAGCAGACGGCAAAGAGCCUGGACGACACACGUGGCAGGUUAGGUCCGUUAGGGGGUUAACGGCGUGCUUUGCCAUCGGCAAAGACCUUUGCAUCUUUGUCAUCUGCCAGCGGACAACAAAGUGCACAAAUAUGCCAACCCAGAUGCCCCCCAGGUAACUGCCACAUGGCAAGCUAUGCCGUGUGCUGGCAGAUGGCAAAGAUGCCAAGGUCUUUCCCCCUCCCAGCAGACGGCAAAGCUACCAAAUAGGCCAGCCCAGUGCACCCCAGGUUGCACAGGUAGCUGCCACAUGGCAACUUUGCCGUCUGCUGGCUGAUGGCAAAGCUCUUUGCUGUCUGCCAGCAGACGGGAAAGAGCCUGUACAGCCCCUGUUUUUUCUUAAAUUCAUUCAAUUUCACAGAAUUUCACAGAUAUAUAUAUACACACACAUUUGAAAAUACUUUCAACAACCAUAACAACACAUAUACAUACCAAAUCAUAUCCGUGCCAUAUGGAUAUGAUCAUCCAACACAUAUACAUACCAAAUCAAAAGUCCAUAUGCAACAUAUAUAGCUAGCCAACAUAUCCAACAACAAGCAUACAAUGGUUUCAUCCAUACAUACAUAUAUAGGUAGCAAGUUUUACAUUGUUCAUCCUACAAAAUCAAAACAAAAAGGAAGCACAAGGAGAAGAGUAGACUCCAUCAACGCAAGCUUCCUCAUCGAAAGCAAAUCUGCAAAUUGGGAAAGAAGAAAGUUAGAAGAAGAAUAAGAAGAAGAAGACUAGAAGAAGAAGACUAGCUAGAAUACGAAGAAGUAGAAGACUAGAAGAAGAACACUAGCUAGAAGAAGAAGAAGAAGAAUUUUUCUUCUCUUUCUUUUUCUCCUCUCCUCUUCUUUAUCUUCUUCUUCUUCUAACUAAGGUGGGUAAAAAUGCCAUUUUUUAGCUAAGCUAGGUAAAAAUGCUAAGUGUAGGUCAUUUUAGAGCUAAGCUAGGUAAAUAGGUCAUUUUGGAGCUUAGAAAUGUUAUUAUGUCAUUUUCGUGGAAAAUAAGCUAAGUCUAUGUCAUUUUGGAGGUAACAAAGAUUAUCAUGCCAUUUUUGACCUACGUAUGCUAAGUAUGUCAUAAAUGGACUAAAGAAGCUAAGUAUAGGUCAUUUUUAGCUAAGCUAGGUAGUUAUGCCAUUUUUGACCUAAGUAAGCUAAUUAUGUCAUAAAUGAACUAGGUAAGCUAAGUACAGAUCAUUAUUGAGCUAUCCUAGGUAGUUCUGCCAUUUUUAGCUAACUAAGCAUAUUAAGUCAUUUAGGAGGGGGGAAAUGCUAAGUAUAGGUCAUUUUAUAGCUAUCCUAGGUAAAAUAUAGGUCAACUAUGCUUAUUAUGUCAAUUUGGAGAAAAAUAAGGUAAGUAUAGGUCAUUUUUGUGGUAACCUAGGUGAUGAUGCCAUUUUUGAGCCAACUUACGUAAGUAAAGCUCAUUUUUUUAUCUAACUUAGGUAAUUAUGCCAUUUAGGAGGAAAAUAAGCUAAGUAUGCAUUUGUUAAGCAAAACACUAGAGAAAACUUACCCUCAUCACAACAAAUGCGAUGAAGAUCACAACUAAGGUAACAAUUGAUCCAACGGCAUAAUGAUACCAAGCCUCAUUAUCAAUGGCAUAUUUUCUAAUCUGCUUAAGCUUCAGGCGCAUUGCAUCCAUCUUCAAGCGCAUUGCAUUCAUCUUCAUCUUGUGAUCAUCGACGACAUUGGCAACAUACAACUCCAAUGUCAUCUUCUCUUCUACAAUUCUUUUAUUUUUUUCUUUCAAAUACUCAUUUUGUUUUUCAACUAAAUUUAACUUCUCGACAAGAGGGUCGGUUUCAAAUUCCAGUUCACAUACCUCAUAGAUUAUAAUAUCUCUAUGUCAACUUGAUGGCCAUAAUUGUCAUAAAUGCAAAAUGCAACAAAUAGUUAUAAAAGAGAAUUUACCACAUCUAAAUCAUAAAGCGGGCGAGGGCCGACGGGGACAGACAUCAUGACCAUGGCACUAUGUAUAAGAAACAAUCAUACAAAGUAAGAAAAUUAUACAAGUAACUAUAUAAAUCAUACAAUCAUACAAGUAACUAUAUAAAUCAAGUACAACAUAAAAAAAUGAAUACCUGAUAAUAAUCUGGAUCGUCGGAUUCAAUAAAUGCUCCAGGAUCAAUAGAUGCAUCAUCAUCAUCACUAUCAGUAAUGACAUGCUCAUCAUCAUCAUUAAUAAAUGCAUCAUCAUGUGGAAGGCCACCUUUACAUGAUCGGUCAAGCAUUGACAAGUCAUCCGCAGCAGUAACCUCUUCUAGUUCAGGCUCUUCUUGUUCCGGCUCAGGGGUGAAGUCGGGUUCAGUGUGGCUGUCUACUUCAAUGUUCUGGGGUGAAGUAGAGCAGUUCUUGAAAUGUUUCUGGAAAGACGUGUUUCUUGGAAGAAUUCUCCUUCAUAUGUGUCUAGGUUAAUGUGAGGUUCAUAAUCCUCUUCAUUGGGGGGAGGUGGUCUAACACGUGGCGGCACUUCAUAAACGACAUCCCAACCAUUUUGAGAUUUGGAUCACUUUGAUAGGCCCACGGUAGAUAGAAAACUUGGGUUGCCUGUUGAGCCAUAAUAUAGACAUUGGUAACAUCCAAAUGGGUGCUUUGUUUGAUUUCCACUAGCCCUAUAUGUUCAUGAGUCCUUCUAGUCUCCUAUGGCUGGAACCAAUAACAUUUGAAGACUACGACGUUUGGAGGGUUUGCACCAUAGAAUUGAAGUUCAUAAAUUGCUUCAACUCUUCCAUAAUACUCGGUAUCUCCUUUGCCGAUAGCAGAGGCACAACAAUUUGUAGACUUUCGGUCAGCCAUAGCUACUAAAGCGAUACCCGUUGAUGUUGUAUUUGUCAAAUGAGCAGGCCUUAAAGUCAAAACCAUUAGCGACUUGUUUCAAUUCGGCGUCCAUAAACUCUGAAAUAGACUACAGGUUUAAUACGAAAGGGAUUGUUGCAUUAGCCAAAAAUUAGAUGAAGAAAUGAAAUGGUCUAAUGGAAAUUACCGUUUGUUUGAACCAAGAGAUGAAACCGGGAUAGCCACCUCCAUGCUUUGCCAGAAGCUCAUACUCUUCGACGGAAUCCUUUUGGAUCACCGCUCCAUACGAGAAUUUGGCGACAUAUCGACUGUAUCAAAUUUAUCCAGGAAUAAGAGCAGUUCAAAGGAAUUAGAAGUUGCGAAACAAUGUACCGAGAACUUACUCUAUGUACGGCCACACUUCUAUUAGGUUGGUGAAGAUAUACAACGAAAUGAUCUGCCAUUCUUCGAAAUCCAACGUUAAGGAAUUAGAAGCACCGGCUGGUGCGAGAUCCCCUUUGAAUAGGCUGAGGUUGGAUCCACCCUUUUUAGGGUCGUCAGCAUUGUACCGAGGCUUCGGAUUAUGCAAAUGACAAGUUUUGGCUUCGUAGUGUGCUGUCACGAAGUUUCCCGCCUCCUUAGUAAUGAAUGCCUCAACCAUCGAUGCUUCAAUUAUACGUCUAUUUUUGCAUUUUGCUCGUAGCAUCUUCUGCAUCAUCUCAGUUGAGUAGCACCAACGAUUUUGCACGCCCCCCCCCAAUCUUGCCUCGGUUGGGAGAUGCAAAAUCAAGUGUUGCAUUGGAUUAAAGAAGCCCAGCGGAAAGAUCUUCUCUAACUUGCAGAUCAACUUCGACGCCAACUCUUCCAUUUCUUCUAGCAGGCUAGGCGAUAGUUCUUCGCACAAAGAACAUGAAAGAAUUAGCUCAGCUCUGCCAGUACUAGCCAUUCAUCCUCAGGGAUGAAGCCACACAACAUCACCGACAUUACCCGCUCAAUCCAUAUGUGCCAAUCAUGACUCUUGAGACCAAAUAUCUUCAAUUUAUCAAGACUCGCUCCCCUGUUUAGAUUCGUUGCAUACCCAUCGGGGAACAUCAACUGAUUUUGCACCCACAAGAUAAUUUCCCUCAUAGCUGGCCUUCCAAGAUUGAACCAUGCCUUUGGCUUCGUCCAGUUCUACUUUCCUUUCGAUUCUUUCAUGUUUUGUAACGGUCUAUCACAUAGCGCCUCCAGAUCGACUCUAGCCUUAGUAUUAUCCUUUGACUUACCCUCUAUGCUGAACAAUCUACCAAGAAGUGCCUCGGCGAUAUUCUUUUCAGUGUGCAUCACGUCGAUGUUGUGUGUGCAAAGGAGGUCUUUGAAGUAAGGCAGAUCCCACAAGCAUGUCUUGUGAGUCCAGGCAUGUUUCAAAUUAUACCCCUUGAAAUACACUGGACGCUCUGGAUCUGGCUCGAGAGCGUUUAACUGAUCCAGGGUCUCUUGGCCUGUCAACGCAGGUGGUGCAGAGUUUUUGACAACUCUACCUUUGAUGAAGUUCUUCUUGUCUUUCCUAAACUUAUGGCGAGGAUUCAGGAGCUGUCUAUGCAAGUCGAAGCAAGAAAACUUGCGACCCACCUGAAGCCAAUGAAACUCAAGAACUCCCUUGCAUGUGGGGCACGGGAACCUUCCAUGCACACACCAGCCAACGAAUAGCGCAUACGCCGGCAAGUCAUGCGUCGAGUACAUGUACCAGACACGCAUUAUGAAAUUCUGUUUGCUAAAGGCGUCGUAUGUCUUGAACCCAUUAUCCCAGGCUUCUUGCAAUUCGUCCUUUAGCGGCUGCAUGUACACAUUCAUAUUCUUCCCCAGAUAGUUGGGUCCUGGAAUUAUCAACAUCAGGAAAAUGUUCUUUCUUUGCAUAAUCUGUCCGGGGGGAGAUUGAGUGGAAUGACAAAUACGGGCCAACAACUAUAUUGGGUUGCCGUCAGACCAAACACACUGAACCCAUCCGUGCUGAUGGUGACUCGAGGAUGCCUCGGAUCUGCCGCUUUGUCCUCAUGCAAUGCAUCGAAGCGCUUCCAAACUUCACGGUCUGAUGUGUGCACCAUCAUCAGCUUCCCAUCUACAUCUAGUUGGGUUCUUUUGCCCGUUUUGUGCCAUGUCAUCUGUCUGGCCGUCUCUUCGACCAUGAAAACACGUUGAAGUCUUGGUACAAUUGGCAUAUACCGAAGAACAUUAGCUGGGAUUUUGGCCUGCGUCUUCUCACCCAUACCAUUGUCUACCACAACAUACCUGGAUGACUUGCAAAUGGGACAAUAGUUCAAGUCCUCAUACUGAAGCCUAAAUAAGGCACAUCCUUUCUCACAAGCAUGUAUCUUCUCAUAGGGCAUUUUAAGAGCACGGAGGAUUUUGUCUGACUGGUACAGGUUUGAAGGUAGUACAUGGCCAUUGGGUAGAAAAUGUCCAAAUACUGUCAUCAUCGCGUUGUAGCAUUCUCUGCCCAAGUUGAAUUGAGCCUUCAGAGCCAUUAUUUGUGAGAUGGCAUCCAGCUGACAAAGCUCAGUAUGCUCGUGAGAGGACGUUUUGAAGACUCCAACAUUUCAUUCAAGGCCUUUGCAGAUUCCUCCAUCUCAUCGUCCGAGUCCCGAGCAUCAUCAAAGCCUUGCACCAUGUCUUGCAUCCCGGUACCAUGCUCGUCGGUGCGACAAUGAAGCACCUCAGCUCUGGCACGUUGGGCAGACUCGCCAUGAAAUGUCCACACCGUAUAACCUGGCGUAAAACCCCUCUUCUGCAGGUGUUUGCCCAUUUCAUCAUCUGUCCUCUUGUGCCAAUUGUUGCACCCGGCACACGGGCACCAUGUUGUCCUCUGGCCAUUUGCAAAUGCGGCUCUCAGAAACCCCUUGGUUUUUGUUAACCAUUCAAUGGUCAUGUCUUUCUGACUAGUGUGACCGGUGGACAUCGCAUGAUCACUCAUCUUGCCUAGCUACUGCACACAUAAGAAAUAUAUAUAUAUAUAUAUAUAUAUAUAUAUAUAUAUAUAUCAGCAUGUAUAUAUAUUCAUGAGUUAAUGGAGUUUGUCACUUUUAUUACGUCCAUGCAACCUAGACGCUAAUUGGUAAAGAUAUGUCCUAAUCCCACCCGAGUAUGUGUAGAUUGGGUUCGUUUUCCCAUGCUCUGCUCUGGAUCCGACGCAAAAUUUUGGUAGCACCUCCCCACUGUUCUCUUGAUACACGUCCCGGCAAUAAGCAGAGGAUGUGUACCCAGAGAGCAACAGGGAGGCACUGAUGAAAUUCUGCAUCAGAUCCGGAGCAGAGCAUAUGGGAAAACUAACCCAAUCUACACAUACUCGGGCUGUCCAUGGAUAACGUUGGAUAAUUCAAAAGAAUCACGGUUAUAAAUAUGCAAAUGCAUGUGUCGUGGUUUUGUCACGGCAGAUGUCCUAGUGAAAGGACUUAGUCGUGAGGCCAACGCAUCUAUGUAGUAGCUUGAGAGGGGUUGAGUGGAAUCGAGAGACGCAACACAAGACAAGGAUUUAGACAGCUUCGGGCCCCGGGAAACAUCAUCCGGUAACAACCCUACAUGCUGUUUGAGGCUAGGUCUCAUUAUGAUCACAAGGGAGUCGCCGGUAAACCGGCUCUUUGUGUCUAGCCCUAGAGAUUGUUUCUUCUAUCUCUGCUUGUCCCUUGUCCCUCUUUGGGGAGCCUUGCCCCUCCUUAUAUAAGUUGAAGGGGCGGGUUACAUGUGGAGUCCUACUAGGAUUAGGACUAGUCUAUCUCUAAUACAAACCGGAUACAAGUCCUGGUCUUAACUCCUUGUAAGGUAAAUAUUCCUCAUGCCUUUCCUCUUAAACCGGCCCACCAUAGUAUGAACUGGCCUUCAUGAACCACCCGUUGGGCCACCGGGUCUUGUCGCUCCUCUGACCCGCCUGCCGGAUUACAAAUGAAUCGUAAACCGCCAGGUCCAAACGGGUCGCCAGUGAAUCGUCAAGUCUCAGCCGGGUCUGAAGUAAACCGCCAAGUCCGGCCGGGUUAUACCUCCGGCCGGUUUACGCCGUGGGGUAUAUCCCCGACAUUAGCCCCCAGUUUAAUUUGGAUUUAUCCAUGUUAAACUGAUCCUGUAAAACAAACACAAGAACAAAUUUGACAGAUUAUGCUCCGGGUUAAGAAUUCUUGUAAACCGGCAUCUGAUCAUCCUUAAGUCCUUGUCAUUUCCUCCUUCUAGAAAAUCCGGGUCAACAAGUCAGCUUCAUACUCAAUUUGCUGACAUUGGUUUCUCACAGAGAAAUAUUGUGAAGAAUAACCCACAUGAGUCGGCUUCCAAAGUGCCGGUUUAAGAAAUAUGGGUCUUGAAAUACUCAUCUGAUAUUCAGCCGGUUUGAAGAUGUAAAACUUGCCGGUUUAAUAUUACCAAAAUUACCGGUUUGUAAAUAUGCAUGGCGCCGAGUCAUAAUUAUUACCGACGCCGGGUCAUAAUUGUUGCAGACACCGGGUCAAUCUGGUUUGCUCAGAACUGAGAAUUUGAAGACUUUUCUCCCUUAUAUCCAUAUUACCUGUAGCCCCCAAGUCUUGAGCAGAACAAAGUGAUGGCUUAAGACUUGUUUCCAUAUAAUUACUGCCACUUUGAAGAAAUCCAUGUUGUUCAUCUCAGCCACUAUUAAAAACUGAAUACUCCAUAUAUGUAGCCCCCAAGUGCCGGGUCAUUAUGCAAUAAUGAGCAGGGACUUUAUAAAUAUGAUCGUACAGAUUUGAACAAUAACGUGUAGCCCCCAAGGGCCGGCUCAGUAAGAUAAUAUUGAGCUAGUACUUUAUAUACAUUUCUUUGAAAAGAACAUCAUAUAAUGUAACCCCCACCAUGGGGCUUGAACCCACGUCCACAAGGUUAAGAGCUUGUGCUUUACCAACUGAUCAAUGGACCUUUCAAUAUAAUGGUUUUAAGACUUGUGUACCUUGAAUUGUUGAUAGGAGCAAUUGGUAGCCCCAAGGGCUGGCUCAUUAUGAUGUGAUGAGUCGGGUCUUCAAUAAGGCCAAUAAAAAACGACUUUGCAUUAGCCCCCAAGUGUCAUGGUGCAUGCUUGCAGCGACAUGAGACUUGCAUGUAAUCUCAAUUUGAAUAAUGUAGCCCCCAAGUGCCGGGUCGUAAGCCUGCAGCGACUCGGGACUAUUCCUUCCAUUGUAGAAUAAAUCAUAUCCUUUGAUAAAAUAAUAGCCAUUGCGCUAAAGCGACUUUGAAAACCUCAAUAAUACCGGUUAUUAAUAACCAUAAUAAAAUCCAGCCAUGUUGGCUAUUCAAGAUAAUAUAAUCCGGUAUGAAAACCUUAUUCAUUCAAUAUCAUAAUGAAAAUUCAACCAAGUUUGGCUAUUUGAAUAAUAUAACCCAAUGAUUUAUAAGCGCAUGAUUCCAAUGGUGCAAUCCAAAUAUAUACUGGCGACUUAUAGUCCAAAGCCAUGCCGGUUUAAUAAACACCGGAUAAUUUCUCAUCAUAUACUGGCGACUUAUCGUCUUAAAGCCAAGCCGGUUUAAUAAACACCGGAUAAUUUAUCAUCAUACUGGCGACAUAUAGUCGAAAGCCAGGCCGGGUUAAUAAAUGCCGGUGAUUUAUAAUCAUGCUUUAUUCAACCUGUUUCUGCAUACAACAAGUUUAAAGUGUCCUGGCGGUUUACCGCCGGACGGGUCAUAAUGCCCAACAUAUAACCCGGGUUUAUAACCAAGGCUGCGCUUAAGAAUAAUCAAAUAUGAAAUAUAUCAUACCUGUGACAUUGAAUCACAUCGUUGGUUUACCAACUUUUUGUAGUAAGGGUGAUAACCCCAAUCUUGAGUACUGAUAACUCCUUCCAUAUUGUGCCGGUUUAUGAUAAAACCGUGCCGGGUUGUGAUAAACACCGGAUUAACCAUAUUAAUACUGGUGACUUGUAGUCGAAACCAGAACGGGUUGAUAAUCUCCGGAUUAUGACUGAUCAUAUACUGACAACUUGUAGUUGAAAGUCAAGCCGGGUUAAUGAGCACCGGUUUAAAAACAUCACAAAUCUUAUCAAAAGAAAGAGAAACUUAGCAAAUAGCAAAUAAAAACGUUGUAGUCGAGGCUUUUCACGGGGUGCCAGGCCCUAAAUUCGACAGCAAAGAAUCCCCAAGCAACAUUGUGAGCUGUGCUCAGUGGGUGCCUAUGUUUGAGUUGUUGUUUUACAACACUCUCUUUGGCCCCGGAUUGAUGUGGCUUUGAGCCGAUCGAGAGGUGUGACUGUGGUUCGGAUACGACCAAGCCGCCAAGUGAUGCUGUGGCAUUGCGCCGAUCAAGAGGUGUAGCUAUGGUUCGGGUACGACCAAGCCCCCAAGUGAUGCUGUGGCAUUGCGCCGAUCAAGAGGUGUAGCUAUGGUUCGGAUACGACCAAGCCCCCAAGUGAUGCUGUGGCAUUGCGCCGAUCAAGAGGUGUGGCUAUGGUUUGGAUACAACCAAGCCCCCAAGUGAUGCUGUGGCAUUGCGCCGAUCAAGAGGUGUAGCUAUGGUUCGGAUACGACCAAGCCCCCAAGUGAUGUUGUGGCAUUGCGCCAAUCAAGAGGUGUAGCUAUGGUUCGGACACGACCAAGCCCCCAAGUGAUCAAUAAUAUGGUAAGCCAAUAAGGCAUGAUACCCAUGUUUGAACCGCGCAUCAUGGUAGCAGGUCCUCUUUGGCACCCUUUAACUUUUUGCAAGAGAUAAAUCCUUCUUGAACCGGGAUUUUGAACCGGAUAUUGAGAGCUUCAAAGCUUUGUGGGAGACAUCUUUCCCUUGAACUGGAUUUUAAACCGAAAUCUUCAUUUUCAGCCGGAAAUUUUCUGACGCCUUUAAACUCGUACUUGCGAGAAGUUAAUUCCUUUUUGAACCGGACAUUUUCAAACCGGAUUUGAGAGCUUCAGAGCUUUGUGGGAGAACAGAUUUCCCUUGAACCGGAUUGUAAACCGGAUAUUUGAGAGCUUCAGUGAGACUGACUUCCCUUGAGCCGGAUUUUAAACCGGCAUCCUUUCUGAUGACCCGGAACUUCUUCAUUGAGCCGGGAUUUUGUAACUGUCAUAUACUUUCUAAGCCGGAAAUUUUCUGACGGCCUUUAAAUUUUCAUCAAUAUAACAGUAGCCACCGGGACCGGGUUAUCUGUCCCUCCAUUGUCCCGGGGUUCUUAAAUUUGCUGAAACUGGCAAGAUUUGCUGAAUCAUGUCAUCGUAGCCCCCGAGUCUGAAAGGUGACUCGAGGAGUUGUUGAGAUUCUCCAUAUUUUGACCGUGAUAUAAACCGGCAUAACUUGUAUAUCAUUGGUGUUGAUAGCACGAUGUGAAUCCAUGGAAGGUUGAGGUGACUGCGGCGGUUUAUAAAUGAUCUGUAUGAGCCGUGUCAACAACUCGGCCAAUGGUUCCUUCCAACUGGCUAUUUGAAGUUAUCCAAACUGUAGUGGCGGCGACUUGCGUGCCUGCCCAUUGAGCUAUCCAGUGCAGACGGCGGUUGAUAGUAUAUGAUAAUUUGCCUCCAUUUUGUUGAAAGAAAACCGGGCUACCCAAGCUUCGACUUGCUCAAACAGCUCAUGCAGACAGGUGCGGCCCGGUAUGUUGAUGUAGACCAGGCCGCAAGAGACGGACGACAAAGACGACCGCAACAUCAGAGGCGACUCGGAUAGAUGAGUCGGCCGCGACAUUGUAAGCCGGUGCGGACGGGCGAGUCGAUCAGGCGGUUCGGCCUCGUCAUGUUGAUAUAAACUGGUCUGCAGAAUGGCGGCUCGCAGAUAUGUUCAUCGAGCUUGAUGGUGUGGUCAGAUGCUAGCGCAUAAUGGUGGCGUGAGCUAUACAUCCAUGACACGGCCAUAGCUUUUGCAGCGAAUAAUUGUCCUGCAUAAACAAUAUCACAGACCAAGGCAAAGAUAAAUUGCUCUUUGACAAAAAUAAUAUGUGCUAAUAAAAUAUAUUUUAGAUGGAUACCACCUGACUCGUCCGGACAGUAAAUGAGUCGGCUGUGGGGUUGUAAGCCGAUGUGGACGGGAAAAAUCAGCACCGGUGUUGUAAACCGGCACGGACGGGCGAGUCGGCCGUAUGUUGAUGUAACGGGGGUGGCGACUUGCGCACAUAUUCGUCGAGCAGUACGACACGGACAAGAGCUAGCGCAAAAAUAAUGUUGGCACAUGUCCCUCCGCGACACCUUUCUAAUGAAUAACGGUCCUACGAAAAUAUUAUAAGACCAAGUAAUUGUUCUUUGAGAAAAACAAUAUCUUUUAAGAAAAUAAAUUUGGAUGGAUAUCACCUGUUUUGUCCGGAUGAUGUAUGAUCUGUAUAUAGCAUCCAUGGAGAAAUUGCUAACAUUGUGGUUCAUCCAGCGCAAACAUGAUAGCAACUCACUUGGUCUCUACCAAGCGCUCAAAGUGCCGAAGAAUUCUGUUUGGUCCAUCAAGGGCGAAUAGUACACAGUACAUUUGAUCAAUUUGACCUUAUGUACCAGGCGAAAAUCAUUUUGCCCGUUUGUCAGGGAAGCAUGUAUUUUGGGAAAUCCGCUACCUCUUCCUAUCAGCUGCACUUAGCUGAUGCCAUGAAAUCCAGGAUGUUCCUCAAUAUACGCAGAAUUGAUACCUCCUUAUACUGUCUCUACUGCAGCAUUAAAUCCCAAUGUCGUGUCCAUCAGUAGUAUGUUAUUAUCCACUGUUUUGAGAGAGCCAAUAUCGACACUUUCAGUUUUCUCUUCCUUUCUAUUGGCACGUAACACUUGGACGAUAGCAAUAGCAGCUAGUAUCUCCGUCCCGGCGGAUCAAACAAAAUGACCAGCAAAAACUUCCAGUCGGUCAAGAGCAAAUGUGACACAAAUCUUCAGGUGACUUGGCGUGAGGCCACCCGACGCCCGGGGCGGAACCAAACCGCAGGGGCGGCUUGUAGGCAAAGGUCACUCGAUGGCCGGGCGGCUCGCAGCAGCGGAGAUCACUUCGACGCGGGGCGGCUCGGCGCAAGAUGCGCCCGCAGCAGCGAGGUGGCAAACUGGAAGCAGAAAGGCGUCGUCCACGGGCGGCUCAGGAGGCCGUGGCUGCAGCAGCGGCGGAGGCCUCAGCAGUGACGGGCGGCUCAGCGCGGCGUCGGGUGGCGACUUGUAACAGAGCGGAGUCAGCCGACUCCGGAGCGAGGCAGAACAGUGGAGGCUCAGCAGCUUGGUGGUUAAGCCGCGGCGGAGGCAACGGCGGGUCGAUGAGGUGAAGCCCGGGCCACACAGCCGGGCGCGCGGGCUCAGGAGACUGUGGAUGCGGUUCGGGCGGCUCAAAAAUAGGUAAAGCAAAGUGCGGCGGCAGCGGCUCAGAGCGAGACGGAAUCGAACCCGCAUCAGCAGGCGCGGGCGGACCCAGCGGCAUGACCUAGCGAAGCAGAGAAGGGAUCCGCGGGCGUGGCGGCAGAAAAGGCACAUGCCCGGUUUAAGGAUGAAGAGACGCCCUGCGGCAACGGAGGCUAAGGCAGACGGUAGCUCGCAGGGCUCGGCAGCCGGCAGCUCAACGCGGUGGCCGGCCUCCAGGGAGGAGUCCGGGUUGUAGCCUCGAGGCACCGACGGCGGAGGAGUCCAGAUCGCCACCUUAUCCGUUUCCGGGUCGUGGCCUCCGGCCCCCCUCUUUUUUUUACAUAUCGCUUCCUGUUUCUUGAUGCGUGGAGCAACCACAACUUUUUCUCAUGGAGCAAAAUUUGUGACCUUUUCGAUCCUGAGAAAGAUCCCUCCAAGAACUCAACACCACCGUGCGCGAGCCCCACGGUGGGCGCCAACUGUCGUGGUUUUGUCACGGCAGAUGUCCUAGUGAAAGGACUUAGUCGUGAGGCCAACGCAUCUAUGUAGUAGCUUGAGAGGGGUUGAGUGGAAUCGAGAGACGCAACACAAGACAAGGAUUUAGACAGCUUCGGGCCCCGGGAAACAUCAUCCGGUAACAACCCUACAUGCUGUUUGAGGCUAGGUCUCAUUAUGAUCACAAGGGAGUCGCCGGUAAACCGGCUCUUUGUGUCUAGCCCUAGAGAUUAUUUCUUCUGUCUCUGCUUGUCCCUUGUCCCUCUUUGGGGAGCCCUGCCCCUCCUUAUAUAAGUUGAAGGGGCGGGUUACAUGUGGAGUCCUACUAGGAUUAGGACUAGUCUAUCUCUAAUACAAACCGGAUACAAGUCCUGGUCUUAAUUCCUUGUAAGGUAAAUAUUCCUCAUGCCUUUCCUCUUAAACCGGCCCACCAUAGUAUGAACCGGCCUUCAUGAACCGCCCUUUGGGCCACCGGGUCUUGUCGCUCCUCUGACCCGCUUGCCGGAUUACAAAUGAAUCGUAAACCGCCAGGUCCAAACGGGUCGCCAGUGAAUCGUCACGUCUCAGCCGGGUCUGAAGUAAACCGCCAAGUCCGGCCGGGUUAUACCUCCGGCCGGUUUACGCCACGGGGUAUAUCAGCAUGUAUAUUAUUCAUGAGUUAAUGGAGUUUGUCACUUUUAUUACGUCCAUGCAAUCUAGACGCUAAUAGGUAAAGAUAGGUCCUUAUCCCACCCGAGUAUGUGUAGAUUGGGUUCAUUUUCCCAUGCUUUGCUCUGGAUCCGACGCAAAAUUUCGGCAGCACCUCCACACUGUUCUCUUGAUACACGUCCCGGCAAUAAGCAGAGAGGAUGUGUACCCAGAGAACAACAGGGAGGCACUGAUGAAAUUCAGAGCAUAUGGGAAAACUAACCCAAUCUACACAUACUCGGGCUAUCCACGGAUAACGUUGGAUAAUUCGAAAGAAUCACGGUUAUAAAUAUGCAAAUGCAUGCGUAUUUAUAGAUGUAACCCUUUCGAACAGGAGACGCAUAGUGUCACGCAUACUGAUGAUUGAAGACACCUAUAGCUAGCAGGUUUCAUUGGCACGAAAACCGGAACAGAGCAAAUGAAGGGGGAAGAGGAGAUAUCAUUUGUGCUCACCCACGAACGCAGGGGCGGAGCUCAUCUAACACUAGACCCUCUGAUAGAUUGUAAGUACAGUGGGAUAUUUCGCCCCGAACUGCAAGUGUCGUGUUCUCCACAGGGACUGGGCAACGACAACAAUGCUCAGCUAAAGCUAGGUGACCCAAUUUUAAGAGAGGAUUGCAAGAAAAUAAUAACCUAAACUAGCCAGGGUUGACGACAAAGAAAGCCUAAACAGCAAGGGGAAAUUCAGAUUUUACUCAUUGUCUCUUUGGUAUUUUCGUAAUGCUUGAGAAGUUAAAAUACUAAUACGAGCAUACAUCAAUGACAAUAGAAGUGAAAGGACAUGAACGUAACAUGACAAGGACACAUAUAUAACUAUCAAACAUGUACCAGAGGAAAGAAACAAGAUAAUAUGACAGGGACAAAUAUAUAUCACAACACAAACAUAUAUAUUUUCACAUGAACAUAGUUAACACAGGAACUACGGUAUAAACAUAACCACACAUAUGGGAACAAAGUACUACACCAAGGUUCAGGUUACACGAGUGACAACACAAACGAAAUUACACAAGCCACUAAACUAGUACUCGCAGAUCAACAGAAGCAGCAAGACAGAGAGGAGAGGCUGCAGGGGAUUAGACUCCCCUGUGACGGUGUCUUGUCAGGGGCGUGAGUAGAAGUAGUGAAGGGGUUCAGAGAAGAAGCAUGAGCAGCGGCAGAGGGAGUAAGUAGCAGGAGCGCAUAGAGAAGAAGCAGCAGCAUGUAGCAGAUGCGUUCAGCAGGGGCAGCAGGAAAGAUGUGGGAGAGAGAGAGAUCGCAGCAGGUGAAGAGGAGAGGAACAAUAGCAAGGGGCGAAGGGCGUAGAAGAAUUGCAGGUUGAAGAUGGGAGGAGCAGCAGAAGGUUGAGGUAGGCGAGGCGAAACAGCAGGGAGCAGCGGAGGUAAGGGAAGAAAGGUAGCAGAGAGAGAUGGAGAAGGAGUGGAGUCGCAGGGAGGACCAGACGCCCGUCUGAUCGGGCGCACGAGGUGCGGCGGUGGAGCGGUGGCGCUGGGCAAUGCAGGUGGUGCUGGUGGCGGUGUGAGGUGCGGCUGGUGGUGGAAGGUGCUGGUGGCGCGCCGCCACGCCGGCCUCGCCGCGGCGGCGACCGGAUGUGGAGAAGAGUGGUGAGAGGGAGAGAGAUGAGAUGCCAGGCCCAAAGGGGAUCGAGGCUGCUACUAGGGAUUUUGACCCCUCCUCUAGUCUGCCACUUUUCUGAUUUGGCCCUUCUCCUUUCCUUCUUUCUUCCCAAGUCGAUCCCCUCCAUCUUUAGUUUUGGCCCCUGGUUUCUUCUUUCCUUCAUGCUCAGGUCCCUUUGUUCACUUCUUCCCUGCCCUUCUCUCUUCUCAAUAUCCAAUUCGUCCGAAUCUUGAAGAUUAUAGUGCCUUUGCACACAUUUCUGCAAAAUAGACCAAAGACUAGUAAAUGACCCUUUAUAUGAUUUUCAUGCAAAUAUUCAAUAUUUCACAUCAAGAAUUGAUGGUCAUAUCUCAAUAAACCGCAUAUUUGAGUGCCAAAAGAUUUAUAUGAAAUGUGCUUAUCAAGUUCCCCCACACUUAAAUCAUUGCUUGUCCUCAAGCAAAGGAAUAUGACAAGAGUAGGAUAGUGAAUAGUGAGCUGACUAGAGAAUGUCCAAGUGAAGUAGAUCUCUAAACAAUGCAUGCUUUGGACUUAGCUAGUGAAAAUCAAUGGUUAAGAGUGCUACAGAGCAAUAGGACACUAGUAAACUCAAUCAUUUUAAACUUUUACAAAGAUAAAAGUGGAUCAACAAGUUCAAAUGCUGAUUGCGCCAAAGGGUUCCUAAAGAGAGCAUGAUCCCCAAAAAAGCUUAUUACCCGGAACAUAACAUUAUGGUUGAAGCACUUAUUGAAUGUGAAGGAAGUAAUGAUAAUAUUUUAUCGAUCUCACCAAAGGAACAUACCACCAAUCCCAAGAACAUGGUAUACACCUGGCUCGACCAAUUAUUAGUUUUUUUGUUUGUCUCCCCAAAGGAACGUACCACCGAUCAUGAGAACAUGGUAUACACCUGGUUCGACAAUUACAUUUUUAUUUAUUUAUUACUGUCCAAGCUACCAGAUUUCACAUGCCACCGAUCCAGGGAACAUGACAUGCUACUGUAGGUAGACUAGACUUAUUCAUUAUAAGAUAUACUUUUUUUACUUUUCAAAUUAACAAAAACAAGAAUCAUCACUCAGCCAUGUCUGGUUCACAUACUACCGAUCCAGGGAACAUAGCAUGCUAAUCCAUAGUGGUAAGUGAUUGCUCUGAAUGGGAACACAAUAGGCACAAACUCAGCAUCUAACACUUAAUGAUCUAAGUGUAGCAUGGUAAAAGCAGAAAAUGAUUAAGUUUACUAGUGCACUAGGGAUUUGAGCACUCAAAACUAAUAGCUUUCACUACUUUCAGCCAAGCAAGCAGUGUGUAGAUCACUAGUUUACAAGGCAUUCAACAAUUAGUUCGCAUAUUCUCAUCAAGCACCAUAUGUCAAAUAAAAUUCAGUGGGGCAACAUUUAAGAAAUGGCUUAAUAAGCAACCCAAAUAACAUUUGAUUUUAGCAUGUAUCAAUGGAUGAUAUACUCGGAAUGGGUCAUGAAACAGCUCACGGGCACUAUGAAGUAGCACUCGCUUGAUCACUAUCUAAGCUGCUGCUCUUCUCCUUUGCUUCCUCAUGGAUGCUCCAGCUUCACUCUUCUUCGUGUGUGCCCCCUUGCUUCUCCUCAUCCCCAUGCUCUGAGUCCACCAGGGUCCCAAGGAAUGUCACCUUGAACCUGGUCAGCAUGAAGGGAACGAUGCAGAAGCAAAAAACCUAAAAGAACACUCCACAAAGGAGACGAUGCAAGCGGUAGGGAUAAUACCCUCCAAGUCAUCAAUCGAGUAUCCAAUUACAUAAGCAUAGCUAUAAAGCACAUGUUUAGGAUGGUAGAAAUCAGCAAGGUCAACACUAACAUGAGGAUGAUAUUUAUCAUUAAGCUCAAAACUAGCAUGGGAAUGAUAUGUUUCAUUAAGCAAAGGACUAGCAUGAGGAGAAUAAGUGUCAUCAUCAUAAAUGAGAGCAAUACCACCAACCGUGUAUGUAUCAUCAUAUCCAAGCAAAUGAGUUUUCAAAUCAAUCUUAAGUGAUGAUAUCAUGUAAUGCAAGGAAGUAGCAAAGAAAUUAUACGGACGCAUGCCAUCAAGAGGAUUAGAUAAACAUGCUACAUCACGCUCCUGUAUGACGAUGGGAAAAUGUAUUUCUGGUUCUUCAUCUUCAAUCACAUCAACUUCUUUUGCUUCUUCAAGAGUAAUAGAUGAUGAGUCUUCAAUUGAUUGCUUGGGCUUUCGAGGUCUGGAUCCUCUUGUUCGUCUUGUUCCUUGUUUUCCAGUUCAUCUUCUUCAAUCUGAGGUAUCUCUUCCUCAAGUCUCUUACUAUCUUGCGCAGCUAGAUGUGACAGUGUUGGAACCUCAUAUGUUUGACUAGAGAUCUCAGCAGCACUCAGCUCAAGGAGGGAUGAGAUAGUACUGCCAGCGUCGAUGUUCUUCUCAAUCUUCCUUACUUCUUCCACUAGCUCAUUCCCACUCUUGAUCUUCUUCAUUUCAUCUAGUAUCACCGGCCUAAUUGGAUCAUCUUCAGCACUCAAAGUGAACUCGAGACUAAGCAAUGUGAGCUUGUCUAUAUCAUCAAAAUCAUCUUGUGUGGGCACUUGUGUUGAAGGUGUUGGUUGACCAAAUGGAGGACCAUUUAACUCCAUUGGCAACAUCUCCUGGUGUUGAGGUAUAUGAGUAGGAAGUGAAUAAAAUUGUUCUGGUGCAUAAUUGUUGCUCUCCUCAUUGUACCUAAUUCCCUGCAAUGGAUAACUAGAGGCAAACGAUGAGAUCUCAGGGCUGUUGUUCCUAUAUGACAUAUUCUGGUUUUCAGGCCACCCAUAUGAGUAAUUGUUUUGGUAUGAGCUAGGCUGUGGGGCGAAGCUCAUGCCAUAACAAUCGGGAGGGUGAGAGUAACCACGCUGACAUUCAGCGGGUGAAUGGCCCUGAAAUCCACAAAUAUGGCAUGUAGGAGCAACAUAAGGAUGACCUCUAGAAUAAGGAUCAUAAGAGCUAGCCCUAUCCUCAAAAACUACUUCUCGCUGCCGAGCUAAAUCAUCUAAUCGAUGGGAAAUCUUACUUAUCAGUUCUUGAAUACUUUCCAUGCUGUUUGUAGUGUUGCUCGUAUAAGCAUGAUGACCUGAGUUCAAUGCCAUUUCCAAGAAGAAAAUCCAACUUACAAAAAAAGAGAAAAUAACUAGAACAGUGGUUAGGGGUUAGUUAUAUAUCACAUAUAAAUGUCGCAAAAAGAAAACAAUAAAAACCUAGUCUAUAGCCUAAUACGGUCACUCGACGCUAGUCCACGGCAAUGGCGCCAAAAUGAUCGAUUGUAAGUACAGUGGGAUAUUUCGCCCGAACCGCAAGUGUCGUGUUCUCCACAGGGACUAGGCGACGACAACAAUGCUCGGCUAAAGCUAGGUGUUGGGGAUAUAACUAUUAGGUAUGACCCACCCAGGAGGGGCCGGGUUAUACCUAUGGCAAUUCAUGAAGCCCAAGACAGCUCUGGAAGAUGGCGGUUCAGUUAAGGGCCCAAGGUCCAAAGGCGACUCAAGGCCCGUAGAGAUAAACCGCCAUAUGUACGUAACUUGUAUUGUAAGGCAGGGAUAGUUAGAGACCGAGCCGGACACUGUUUAUGAGCCGUCCGGGACUCUGUGAGCCUCUGGACGUCGACCUCUGUAUAUAAAGGGACGACCCGGCGGCGGUUCAGGGGGGAAGUAACAUCAGAUCGAAAGCUAGGUCAAGCGGAUUCGCUCCCUAGUAAUCAAAACAUAAGCAAUACCAUUUCAAACUGGAUUAGGACUUUACCUUCACCGUAAGGGGUCGAACCAGUAUAAACCCUCGUGUCCUUUGUCCUGUUUUAACCCCUUUAAGCUUCCUAGUUGCGAUGGCUCCACGAUUAAGUCCUUUCACUAGGACAUCUGCCGUGACAAUUCCACGACAGUUGGCGCCCAUCGUGGGGCAUGCGCAUGGUGGAUUUGAGUUCUUGAAGGGCAGCUUCGAAGGGCUCAAGGGAUACGCUGUGGGCCGGAUGACCAAGAGUCGUCGCGGCAAGCUCUACAUCGACGACGCAGGCUGCGGCCCCGACGCCGGCUCAAUUGAGUACGGGUACCGGGUCCCCUUCGGCGGAAUCCAUGUCUUCAUCGGCCAGAUCGGCAAGCCGGUCCUGAGCCGGACAUCUACACCGACAUCGUCGAGACGGCUCAGCGUGCGAAACCCGCCCGAGCUCAGCCCGCCAUGAAGCGUGCCUUCAUGGGAUGCAUCCAUGGAGGGGAAUUUUUUGAAGGAUCUGUGUCUGGCGGUGAGACGGCCAUCUACUCUGAUGGUGAGUCAUCCACGGGCGAGACAAAUUCAUUGUAUCAACUGCAGGACGGUGGGCUUGGGGGCUGUUCCGAUGGCAGCAGUAUUCCGGACCCCUUUGAGCCGCCAAGCAGAGUGGGGAUCUUCAUGGCUGGCAUGCAACCCGGUCAAAACUCUACGGCUGCGGCAGCAAUAACCUCUGGGUCAGUGGCGGCCGUGGCAGGAGGCCCUGCGCGCCCGCUGGCUCAGGUGCUGAUGGAUCUCAUGGAUAGGAUGACAGCCCUGUUAACCGCCGUGGUUAAUCCGGCGGAUCAGGCUCAACAUGAGGCAGAAGUGGCACGGUUACAUGAGGAGGUAGCACAAGGCAAGGAAAACCUAGUAGCAGAGGAUGUUAGGAUGGCCACAGAGUGGGCGGCUUUGGAUGCUCGGGCGCAGCAGAUUCAAUCAGAGGCUUUCCAGCUUAUGAUGGAUCUGAACACAUCAAAUGAGGUCAUGAGGAGAAGGCACCAGAAGGCUAAUUCCCGUCUACCUCCGACUUAUGAUCCUAGAAACCUCUUCCGCACACCCGGUGCAGGCCCCAGUAACCCGCCGGAGGGAAACGGGGUUGCAACGUCCGGGGCUGGGACGCCGGUUCAACCACGGGUGAUGGAACCUCCUCGUAUGAAUACUUCUUCACCUCAUUAUGUACCAACACCACCGGGUCAUUAUUCUAACACUUUGGAGAACAUGGUCACUGCGGCGGCACGAUUGGCGGCUCUCCCGGUGGAGGGCGACUCUCUGACGGCGAUUGAAACACGAAGGGUUAGAGAACUUCAGACGGCUCUGGCGCAGCAGGAGGCAUAUUCGUAUAGUCAAGACAGGAUUCAUUCAACCCCUCGCCCAAGACGGAUCCCGAGUUAUAGCAGGCACAUAGAUUCAGCAGCCGUUUCAAGCAACGCCCAUCGUCGUGACCAGCCGUGCGGGCAUGACCCGGCGCGUUAUGGAGCUCCUAACUUGGUUUACCAGGACAGGAUACGCCAAGAGGCUGAGUGGGCGGUUCAGCAAGCGGCUAAGCGGGCGGCUCAGCGGGCGGCUUACCAGUCUUUUUUGGUUUAUCCGAUGACUUCUAUUGAGGCAGGCGUGACUACGAGGACUGGAGGUGUCCCUUGCCUGAUGCUGGCUCUGCGUAACGAGCGGGUGCCCAAGGAUUUCAAGGGGCCUCGAAAGGUGCCUAAUUACACGGCCGAUUUACAGCCCGGGGCAUGGAUUGAAAGUUAUGAGAUGGCCAUGGAACUACUGGAGGUCAGUGACGCUGCAAUGGCCAAGUACUUCACCAUAAUGUUGGAUGGGAUGGCCCGCACUUGGUUAAAGGGCCUGCCACCUAAUUCCAUUAGUUCAUGGGCAGAGUUAAAGGCCCGGUUUAUUCAGAACUUCAAAGACACAUGCAAGCAGCCCAUGUCAAUUGUGGAUUUGACUAAUUGCAAGCAAGAGGAAGGUGAGUCCACAACCCAUUGGGUGCGCCGGGUCAAAGCCAUAAUACAUUCAUCUGAUAAGAUGGAUGCCGGCUCUGCAGUCUUAAUGUUGGUGAAAAAUUACCGUUUUACGCCUCUGAAACAGAAGCUAGGGCGGCUCAAGCGCGAUUGUAAUGACAUGGGCCAGCUAAUGGCGGCUCUAGUCAAGUACGUUGAUUCUGAUAGUACCAAGGAUCCCAAGUCUGACAAUGAGAAGACAGGGAAGGGAAAGAAGAAUGACAAUGCCAAGGGUCAUCAGCAUAACCCGGCGAAUCAAGGAGGCAAUAAUAAACGUAAGGCUGACGGUAGCUCGAAGUUUGUGGCUAACACCAAUGUGCAGGGCAACAAUCAACGACGUAAGGGGAGACCACCUCCUCGGUCCGGCGGGUCAGGUCCCACUCUUGAGCAGUUGCUAAAUGAGCCAUGUCCAAGGCACGGUACUCAACAGAAACCGGCCACUCACCUAUGGAAGGAAUGUACAAUCAUGAAGGCUUUCAAGAACUCUAACAUGUUCAAUGACAAUCAUGGGCCGGGCGGCGGCGGUUUUCAUGGCUCGGGCGGCGGUUCAAAUUCCAACUUUCAAGGCUCUCAAGGAAAGCAAGGUGGCUAUAAUCAGCAAUCUGGCCAGGGAGGUCAGCAGCAGCAGCAGUGUGGAUAUCAGAGCAAUCCAAAACAACUGAAUAGUGGACAGUAUCAUGUGUUCACCACCAGUUUGUGCAAAAGGGACCACAAGCUUCAUAAGAGGGCUGUGAACGCUGUUGAGCCGACAGUUGCUCGUUAUUUGAGAUGGUCUGAGCAGCCUAUUCUAUGGAGUAGGGAAGAUCACCCUCCCCGGGUUGACAAUCCGGGUCACUUGGCCUUAGUGGUGUCACCUCAGGUUGGUGGAUAUAAAUUCACUAAGGUGCUCAUGGAUGGAGGUAGUAGCAUCAACAUCCUCUAUUAUGAGACUUUUCGUCGCAUGGGUUGACUGAUAAAAAUCUUAAGACAUCCAACACUAUUUUCCAUGGAGUGUUGCCUGGUAAGUCGGCGUACCCAGUGGGUAAGAUUGAACUAGAAGUAGCCUUUGGAGAUGAGCAUGAUUCUAGGGCUGAGAAGUUAACUUUUGAGGUGGUCAAAAUCAAAAGCCCAUAUCACGCCCUGUUUGGAUGGCCGGCUUAUGCCAAGUUCAUGGCACGGUCGUGUUAUGUUUAUCUGCAGCUCAAGAUGCCGGGUCAUAAGGGCACCAUCACAGUGCAUGGGAGUCGGAAGAUAGCCUUGGAAUGUGAGGAAGGCGAUGCUGCUUACGCUGAAUCUGUUUGUGCAACAGAGGAGUUGAAGUUCUACAAGGACAAUGUUGACCCGGCGGACAUGACGUCUUUGAAGAAGCCAACCACAGAACAUGAGCCGGCGCUGAAAUUUAAGUCGGCUGAUGACACCAAGCUUGUCAAUUUUGUUCCAGGUGACUCAUCUAAGCAGUUCAGUAUCAGUGCUAAUCUGGAUCCAAAAUAGGAAAGCGCUCUCAUCGAGUUCAUCCGUGAGAAUCGAGACAUCUUUGCAUGGAAACCUUCUGACAUGUCAGGUGUACCGAGAGAUCUUGCUGAGCACACUCUCAAUAUUGAUCCAAAGUUUAAGCCGGUCAAGCAGUUUCUUCAGCGGUUCAAUGAGGAGAGGCGUAAGGGCAUUGGUGAGGAAGUGGCCCGACUCUUGGCGGUCGGGUUCAUUAUUGAAGUUUUCCAUCCAGAGUGGUUGGCUAACCCGGUGCUCGUGCUUAAAAAGAAUGGCACCUGGCGUAUGUGUGUGGAUUACACGGACUUAAACAAGGCUUGUCCGGCUGAUCCUUUCGCGCUCCCUCGUAUUGAUCAAAUCAUUGAUGCUACGGCGGGUUGUGAGCGUUUGAGCUUUUUGGAUGCUUAUUCUGGUUAUCAUCAGAUCAAGAUGGCAGUUAAGGACCAGGAGAAGAUGGCUUUUAUUACUCCGUUUGGAGUCUUCUGCUAUGUGUCUAUGCCUUUUAGGCUUAAGAGUGCCCAGGCGACUUAUCAGCGAUGUGUGCAGAACUGUCUUCACAGUCAGAUUGGGCGCAAUGUUCAUGCUUAUGUGGACGACAUUGUGGUGAAGUCCAGAGAGAAGGAGACCUUGACAGAUGAUCUGAAGGAAACCUUUGAUAACCUCCGGGUCUACAAGAUGAUGCUUAACCCGGCCAAGUGUGUUUUUGGAGUGCCAGCGGGCAAGCUUUAGGGUUUUCUGGUUUCUAACAGAGGCAUCGAGGCUAACCCGGAGAAGAUCAAGGCAAUCACGUCUUUGGCUAAGCCGGCGUGUAUCAAUGAUGUUCAACGUUUGGCGGGUCGUAUUGCUGCCUUAAGCCGGUUCAUAAGCCGGUUAGGUGAGAAGGCCAUACCGUUGUAUCAGAUGAUGAAGAAGACAGACAACUUUGUCUGGAGUGAUGCUGCUAACGCUGCCUUUGAAGAUUUGAAGAGAUAGCUCGCUGAGCCGUCGGUCCUUGCUGCUCCCAUUGAUAAGGAGCCAUUAUUGUUAUAUGUGGCUGCUAACACACGUGCUGUCAGUGUGGCCAUUGUCGUAGAGCGCAAGUAGGAUGGCAAGGAAUAUCCAGUUCAAUGGCCGGUUUACUACGUCAGUGAGGUGCUUAUUGAGUCCAAGCAAAGAUAUCCACACUGGCAGAAGCUCGUUUAUGGGGUAUUCAUGGCGAGCUGGAAGCUUAAGCAAUAUUUUCAGGGUCAUCCCAUCACUGUGGUUAGUUUUGCUCCUUUAGGAGAUAUCAUUCAAAAUAGAGAAGCCACAGGACGAGUCGCCAAGUGGGCCAUUGAACUUGGGCCUCAUGGUUUAAAGUAUGUGCCACACACUGCUAUCAAGUCCAAGCAUUGGUGGACUUCAUCAACGAUUGGACAGAGCUGUAGAUGCCUGAAGAGAAGCCGGACAACACAUAUUGGACUAUUCACUUUGAUGGGUCCAGACAAUUGGAGGGCUCGGGGGCUGGAGUUGUUUUAGCUUCCCCUGGAGGUGACAAAUUUUGGUAUGUGCUACGGUUGAUGUUUCCCUGUACUAACAAUGUAGCUGAGUAUGAGGCCUUGCUCCAUGGUCUUCAGAUGGCUAAGGAGAUGAGCUUAAGCCGGGUAAGGUGCUUUGGCGACUCAGAUUUGGUGGCUCAACAAGUAUCAGACAAGUGGGAUUCCAAGGAUCCUCUUAUGGCGGCUUAUCGCCAUGAAGUUGAUGCCAUUACUGGACACUUCAAGGGUUACCAAGUGGAGCACAUUGAUCGCAGAAAGGAUGAGGCGGCUGAUGCUUUAAGCCGGCUGGGGUCUCAGCAUAAGCCGGUGCCACCUAACACUUUCUUAGAUAUUCUGCAUAACCCUUCUGUCAAGUUGCCUACAGAGGAAGACUUGGCUGUUCCAGACCCGGAAGCACAAUUGGUGGCGGCUCUUCACGUCAUCCCAGAUUGGACAGUGCCAUAUUUGGCUUAUAUGACCCGGGGCGAGUUGCCUGAGGAUGAAACCCUGGCUAGACAGAUAACCCGGCGGUCUAAGUCAAUGACAAUUGCCAAUGGUGAGUUGCAUCAUCGCAGUGUCACUUGGGCGUUUCAACGAUGUGUCUCUCCUGAGGAAGGUCAAGAAAUUCUUCAUGAAAUCCAUGAAGGAGAUUGUGUCCAUCAUGCCGGUUCAAAGUCUCUUGUGGCCAAAGCUUUCCGUCAUGGAUUUUAUUGGCUGACGGCUCACGCUGAUGCGGAGGAUCUAGUCAGUAAAUGUGAUGGUUGCCAGAAAUUCUCACGACGGGCUCACAUGCCGGCUCAAGAAUUGAGGAUGAUUCCAAUUACUUGGCCAUUUGCAGUCUAGGGGCUCGACAUGGUUGGGCCUUUCAAAAGGUCCAAAGAUAAAAAGACACACCUUCUGGUGGCGGUUGACAAAUUCACAAAGUGGGUUGAGGCAGAACCGGUUAUUAGUGUGACGCAGCCACAACGGUUCAAUUCAUGAAAAAGGUGAUCUUUCGUUUUGGCUUUCCACACAUCAUUAUAACUGACAAUGGUACUAAUCUGUCCAAGGGUGCCAUGGAGGAGUUCUGUCAACGUGAGCACAUCCGGCUUGAUGUUUCAUCAGUAGCUCACCCCCAAUCCAAUGGUCAAGCUGAAAGAGCCAAUCAGGAAAUCUUGAAAAGCAUCAAGGCCUGGAUUAUGGUUCCUUUACAACGGACGCCGGGUUGUUGGGUCGAGGAGUUACCCUCUGUGAUAUGGAGCAUCAAUACCACCCCUAACAGGUCUACGGGUUACACGGCUUUCUUCAUGGUUUACGGAGCCGAAGCGGUUCUCCCUAGUGACAUCCAUCAUGACUCGCCCCGCGUGGCAGCUUAUGUUGAGGCUGAUAAUGAACAAGCACGUCAGGAUGCAUUUGACCUGUUAGAUGAGAAGCGCGACUUGGCAGCAGCCCGCUCGGCGAUUUACCAGCAGGACUUGUGCCGUUAUCACAGCCGCCGGGUUAAGUCCAGAACCUUUCAAGAAGGUGAUUUGGUGCUCCGGCUCAUCCAGGAUCAAACUGACUCACACAAGUUAUCCCCACCUUGGGAAGGGCCCUUUGUGGUCAGCAUGAACUUGCACAACGGGUCAUACUACCUCAUCGAUGUUCGAGAGCACAAAGACUCACGUAAGUCGGAGGAAGAGAACCGUCGGCCGUGGAAUAUCGCUCAUCUUCGGCCUUAAUAUACUUGAGCCACCAGCGCUCAUAAUGUACAUAUUUUGACGAUGUAUAUAUUAUGAUAAGUAAUAAAAUAGGACCUCUGUCCUUUUCAUCCUCAAUGAUCAUAUGUCUUCAUCAUCAUAAUUUUAAAUGACCAAUUGGGGGCUGAUCGUACUCGAAUCCAGCUUAACCCUUUGGUCCGGCUCAUGAUCGCAUUCGAAUCUAGCCGUUAAACCUCAUGAUCACUAGGGGGCUUCCUGUUCAAACAUAGGCCAUAUUCGAACCAAAGAGAACAUAGCUGUCGGUAUCCUCUUGAUCGGCACAAUGCCAAACUCACUAGGGGGCUUCUUGAUCGUAUUCGAAUCAUAGCUUAACCCCUUUUGGGUCUGACUUUGAUCGUAUUAGAAUCAGAGUCGUUACAAAAAAACUCUCAAGGUCAUUCGGGGGCUUCCUAUUCAAACAUAGGUCGUAUUCGAACCAAAGAGAACAUAGCUGUCGGUACCCUCUUGAUCGGCGCAUCGCCAAAGCCACCGGGGGCUAGAUGAUCGUAUUCGAAUCCUAGCUUAACCCAUUUGGUCCGGUUUACUGAUCGUAUUCGAAUCAGAAGCCUCAAAUUUUUCUUUCUAUUUGGUUUAAGUUUUUUGAAAACAAUCUUUGUUUUUGUCUUGAGGCUUUUUAUCCAGAUCUAAGUAUAAGUAUGGUUUAAAUUUAACCCAGCUUGGUUUUGGAUGAUCAGUCGCCAGCGCAUGACAAUCAUCAUACAUGUGGAAGUGUUGGCUUCUAAAGGAUGGGGUUAUCACCCUUACUGUUCAGGUCACAUGAACCGGCAGUGCAAAUUCGAAAUCACAGGUAUGAUACUAUGGUUGUGGUUCAACGCUAUAAUUCAUAACAGGCUUAUCUGUGUCUCUUCUUUCAAUAUUAAUGGUUGUAUGUAAGAUGUUAUGACCCGCCCUGCGGUAAGCCGCCAAGGGUUCUUGUGAUCUAUUUCUGUGUGCAGGACAGUUCAAAGACUUUCUUAUGCAUAAAUAAAACAAAUGAUAAGUUUAAAAAGGGGAGAGUAUAAGGCGGCGGCUUAACAGUGUUGAGCACCAAAACGUGCAUGAUGGCACGACAAAGCAAAGUCAUUUCUACCCUAUUACAUGACUCGCCGAGUCCAAAUGAUUAAAUUGUUUUUCAGCAAGGUACAAAUAUGAGCUGCCCGGCGGUUCAGUCUUCUUGGCCUUGUUGCUUGGAGUCUUCUGCGUCAUCCUUUGCCGGCUCUUCGUCUUCUUCCGCUAGCUGAAAAGUUGGUGAUGACCAAUCGAUACCAGAUAAAGCUUCAUUCAGCUUCAUCAUCUAUAAGCUCAGACAGAUCGACUUCAGGAGCAAAGGUGUGCUUACGAAUUGGCGGGAUUAAGUCCAUCACUCUGUAAGCCGGAGUUGGCAUCUUCUUAUGGUCCCGGUCAUAAGCCGGUUGGUACUUGGAGAGGUCCGAGUCAUUCGCAAUCAUUGUGGCCAUUGGACGGAUUUCCUUUACACAGGCCGCGAAGUCUUUCUGAUUGAAAGGUGUACCAUAUUCUUUCAGACUUGGGUAACCAGUAGCUACCUCAGAUGGAUCAAGCUCUGGUACCCAUGCCUUGGCCCGACUCAAGGCUGUCACGACGCCGGCUCUUGCAGAUGAUCGCUUUAUUUCAUCAAAUCUAACAGGAGCACAUAAAGCUUCUUCAAAACAUCUAUGAACAUAGUUGGUGCUUGACCUGUUGGUGAGAUAGAGGCCAGUGCACGUUGAGUCCCGGUGCACAGCUGUUCAACAAGGGUAUAGAAAACUUUCAGCUUGACAAGCAUGUCUUGAUUGAGGUUGCUGCUCCUGGGACCUGAAUAGAUUGUAGUACGAUUAAGAUGGCGAGUUAUAUGAUCAAAGAUAAUGAUUCACUUCUGAUGCUUGAUAAAGGCGACUCACUGAAGAUGGUUGAAACCAUCUGAUUAACACGGCUUUUUAAAUCGGACAGUUCAGUGGUCGCUUCUUGAAGUGCUGCUUCUGCCUUCUCAGCACGUUGGGUCAAGGCCGUCUUCUCAUCUGCCCAGGAUUUUCUCUCUGCUUCAAAGCCGGUCUUCAAUUUUUCCGACUCAGCCAAGCUAAAUUGGAAUUUGGACUCAGCCUUCCGGGAUUCAGUUUCCUGAGUCGCCAGCUGGCUCUUGGCAUCAUUUAGUUGGGAUUCCAGUUCAGCAGUGGCAGACUGCACAAGGAGCAGAAUUGUCGAAUAUCAGAUUUAUUAGAUUGCAAGUCCCAAGUCUUUUGCCUGCAACAACACUUGACACUUGGGGGCUAAUGUCUAUCGAAGCUAAAUUUUCAAAAAAGCGGCUCUAAUAAAGUCCCAAGUACUUUGCAAGCAAAACUACUUGGCACUUGGGGGCUAAUGCAUACCGUUUGUUUUUUCUUUAUUAUGAGCCGGAAGUAAUGUAACUGUCCUAACCGAUUCAUAGGGGCAAUGCAGUCAAAAUCUUUCUUCUUAUACAAAGACAAACAAGGACCGGCUAAUUCCCAUGGAUUAAGCCGGCCCUUUGGGGCUACGGACGGAAAGUUAAAAUCCGCUUUACAUUUAAACCGGCCAAAGAGGGAUUCUAUGGCAGCAGUUGUGAAUUGUUUUUCAAGUCCACAACCUAUAUUAUCAUAAAUAGUAGACUUGGGGGCUGGCAGGAUAUGUAUACAAAUUACUUAAAGAUGGAAAUUCAUACCUCAUAUUUUUGGUGCAUCUGCUUCACCAUAUCAAUUUUGAGGCCGCGGCUGGAGUGGACCUGGAUGAGAUAGCCGGAGAGGAUCUCAUUGCUGUUUAGUUGGGAGUAUUGAGAAAUAUCAAACUUCUGUUUCCGCCUCUCAAUGACUUCUUGUUUGGCAGUAUGUUUGGCCAGAGCUAUCAGAUUUCCCGGCUCUACAAAGCUGGUGCCAGUAAUCAACACAUCAUCAUUUUGAGGCUCUGACGGCUUAGUUGAGUCGGAGGGGGCAGAAGUUGAAGGACUGAUGGCAGUGCCACCAACGCUAAGUUCCGGAAUCUCAGGAGGGGUGACAGUGACAGUGUCUUCCGGAUGCUUAUUGGAAGCCUCAGGGACAGGUAUUUGUUGUUCCGGCUCAGGGAUUUCCGGUGCUUCUAUUGGCUUGAUCACUUUAGCGUUUUUGUUUGGCUUUGCUUGACCACUACAGAGGUUAUGAAAAGUCAGUAUUAAUAUAAGUACAUAUGAAGGUACAGAGUAAAGCUAAUUGAUAUUACCCAGGGGCAGUCUUGAAAGCCGACAUUUCAGUUUAUGAUGAGCCGUCAGAAGAAGAACGAGCAAGUUCUUGGUCAAUGAUCAUUAAAAGAGUUAAGUAACAAAUAAGCAAGACCCGUUGACAGAUGAGAAGAAUUUUUCGAGUUUAAACACCUCGUUUCGGCGUUUCCGAGGGGCAGGGGUGUUCGGUAAGCCGGAUGAUAAUUCAUCACCUCCGCUGGUCCGGGUCUGGAGAUAGCUUUCAUGCUGUUGUCGUUUCAAAAGAAAGUGAGGAUCUAAAUAAGCCAAGGGGUGUGAAAACCUUACUUUCUGGGUUACUUGUCGAAGUUUCUGUCUUAGCAAAGAUUCUGAGCCGGAGGAAAUAAUAGUUACCUCUUCUUCAACUGCUUGGCUGGCUCCCGUCUCAGCCUGAUAAUAAGCAGUGUCAAUAAGAUGGUUGAAAAAUAAGCCAAGAGAGUCAAGGGCUACCUCCGACUCAGAGGUAUCAUCCAACUUAAGCAUGUCAGAGGCGCUUGGUUUCUUCUUCUUCUUGGUGGUCUUCUUGGCGGUUUUCCUAGCGGCCUUCUUGGCAGCUCUGGCCUUCUUAGCAGCCUCGUGGUCAUAUUCCGCCUUCCAGAAUUCCGACUUACCCUGUAGAGGUUGUCAACAGUUGAGUUAAUCAGAUAUUCGAAUAAUGAGGUGAAGAUACAGUAAAGUUCAGAGGCUUACAUCUGGAGCCGGGUUAAGCUUGCAGAAAGGGGCCAGACCCACUUUGACACAAUCCUCCGGGUCUUGAUUUAAAAGAGACUUCACCAUUUCAUUGAUUGCUUCUUCAGACAAUGGUUCGGAGCUAUGGCGCAGUGAAUCUGUUGUAUCACCACUAUAGGUGCCCAUUAAGCCGGUGCGACGGCUCAACGGGAUGAUCCGCCAAGAAACCCAGCACCUGACUAAAUCAACACCAGUCAGCCCGUUUCCUAGCAGAGCUUUGAUUUUCAUGAUGGUAUGUGCAAUCUUCUUCCGUUCAGCUGCAAAGAGCUUUUCAGGGAGAUUAUGUUUGGGGUCCAGGCGCUCAACACGAUAACCCAGUAGAGGAUUCUCAUCAGCCGGAGAAGUGUCUUUGCAGUAAAACCAUGUCUGAUUCCAGUCUUUAGGGUGACUCGGCAGCAUGGCGUAAGGAAAGAUGGCGUCUCUGCGAUGUUGAAUCGAGAUUCCGCCUAGUUCCAAGCUAGGGCCAUUGGUGAAUGCAGUCUGGCGGUUUAAGUAAAAAUACUCUCGAAAGAGUUCAACACUGGGCUCCUCUUUAAGAUACACCUCACAAAAGACUUGAAAGUUGCAAAUGUUUGACACGAAAUUGGGUUCGAUGUCUUGAGGGUGGUGCUGGAAGAAGUGCAGCACGUCUCGAAAAAACUUAGAGCUGGGCGGUGAGAAACCCCAGUUCAUGUGGUCAGUAAAGACAAUGACUUCGCCGUCUUUUGGUUGGGGUUUCUCUUCACCCGGGUUAGGAGCACGAUAAUGCAUCACGCUCUUGGUGGGUAAAUAUCCGAUUUUGAAAAAAAAAUCCUUGAGGGUGCUCUCGGUGACGAUGGAAGGGACCCAAUUGCAGGUGUACACUAUUUUAGGCGGCAUUGUGGAAGAAAACCUAAAGGAAAGAAAUAUUGCCGAUUCAAACUUAAGCCGGAGAGGAAAAUAUUACAGUGCAUAUUCAAGAUGGCGGCUUACAAAGGGGCCUAAUGGUAUAUGACUAAAUUAUGUCAGGUUAUGUAAACCGCCAUGAGCAGUGCAAAUUAUUUAAGCCGCCAUGAUAAGUUGGAUGAUGUCUGUUGAGCAUUUCAAUUUAAGUCGGCAAUUUGAGCCACCAUGGCUAGGUGGAUCUAACAAAUGCAGUUUUUGCCUAAGUGUUAUACAAAAAAGUUUCAUAGGCUGCAACUAUUAUUUCGGAUCAACGUUUGUUCAGGAAAAGAAAAAUAAAUCUAGACCUAAAAACCAGUACAGAUGAGUUCAUGAGCUUUCACAAGAUUUUUCUUCCAGGAAAGGGAAUCUACUGAUAUCAAAAGUGGGAAUAAAACAACUACCGCAUUGGUUGAACACCAUUUUUAGAUCAAAGAAGCUCGCGGUACAGCCUGGAAGAUGAACUACGAAGAACACAGAGAAACUCGCAAACCCGAAUGCGGAUCUGAGGUAUGGGAAGGCAGAAAUUUACAGCUGCAGAUCUACUGCGGAGGGUCGCCGCCGUUCUCUAGAUCGACUCAGGUUGAUGCAGCGGCCGAGGUUGAGGAAGACGAGGUGCUCUGCGGCGGCAGUGGAGCUCGAGCGGCAGAAGGGUUGCGAGAGGAAGAAGACGCUGGAAAGGGGGAGAAUGAGGAAAGACCGGUCGUGCCUAUUUAUAAGGAGACUCUUAAGUGGGAGCGAAAAACGAGGAGGCCAAAAAUAUGGUUAUCCAGCUACCAGGACGCCUCGAUUCUUGGGAUGGUCAUUAAGAUAAGGAUCCAUUGAGAUACGUUGGAUAAAGUGUGAAGUAAUGGCAGAUGACAUCAUGGCGGGUAAUCACAAAUCCAGAAGAUGACGUCAUGGCGGGUUACAAAUUCUCGCACAAUGAAGAGCAGAAAAUUUUAUGUAAGUGUUGAAGAUUGACAUGAACCAGCUCAAAUCAAUCUGGGGCCUAAUGUUGGGAAUAUAACUAUUAGGUAUGACCCGCCCAGGAGGGGCCGGGUUAUACCUAUGGCAAUUCAUGAAGCCCAAGACAGCUCUGGAAGAUGGCGGUUCAGUUAAGGACCCAAGGCCCAAAGGCGACUCAAGGCCCGUAGAGAUAAAUCGCCAUAUGUACAUAACUUGUAUUGUAAGGUAGGGAUAGUUAGAGACCGAGCCGGACACUGUUUAUGAGCCGGCCGGGACUCUGUGAGCCACUGGACGUCGACCUCUGUAUAUAAAGGGACGACCCGGCAGCGGUUCAGGGGAAGUAACAUCAGAUCGAAAGCUAGGUCAAGCGGAUUCGCUCCCUAGUAAUCGAAACAUAAGCAAUACCACCUCAAACUGGAUUAGGCCUUUACCUUCACCGCAAGGGGCCGAACCAGUAUAAACCCUCGUGUCCUUUAUCCCGUUUUAACCCCUUUAAGCUUCCUAGUUGCGAUGGCUCCACGAUUAAGUCCUUUCCCUAGGACAUCUGCCGUGACAAUUCCACGACACUAGGCGGCAGAAUUUUAAGAGAGGAUUGCAAGAAAAUAAUAACUUAAACUAGCCAGGGUUGAUGACAAAGAAAUCCUAAACAGCAAGGGGAAAUUCAGAUUUUACUCAUUGUCUUUUUGGUAUUUUCAUAAUGCUUGAGAAGUUAAAAUACUAAUACGAGCAUACAUCAAUGACAAGAGAAGUGAAAGGACAUGAACGUAACAUGACAAGGACACAUAUAUAACUAUCAAACAUGUACCAGAGGAAAGAAACAAGAUAAUAUGAAAGGGACAAAUAUAUAUCACAACACAAACAUAUAUAUUUUCACAUGAACAUAGUUAACACAAGAACUAUGGUAUAAACAUAACCACACAUAUGGGAACAAAGUACUACACCAAGGUUCAGGUUACACGAGUGACAACACAAACGAAAUUACACAAGCCACUAAACUAGUACUCGCAGAUCAACAGAAGCAGCAAGACAGAGAGGAAAG
rnacentral:lncRNA from 1 species